AUGCUCUUGAAAUCUUGCGAUUACUGUCGAUCAAAAAGUGCAGCUGACUUUUAAACCAAUGUUGUCCAAAAAGCAUGGGAUGCAUGAAUAACCCAUUUCCAAUAUGUAUUUUGAACCUUUCGAGCUUUCUGGCCAAAAAGCCUUCUGGUAACAUACUCUCAUUUUUAACAUCAAUUUCUAGAGUAGUUAGCCGAGGUAAAUGCAUCAAUUCGUCAAGGCUAGCAUUACUUCUUUUGCUGUUGGCUCUUUCAACCUCCCAUUCAAUGAAGCAAUUACCCAUAUACAAUUCUUCUAAUCGGAUUAAGCUUGAUAUGACAUUUGGGGCAAUAACUUUCAGACGGAAACAGUGUUAAAUCUAACAGCCUUAGCUUAGUCAGUUGACCCAGUGCUUUAGGCAACUCUACAAUAUCAGAUUGCAAAAAGCUAAGGAUUUCUAGAUUUUCCAACUUUCCAAUAAUGGCUAUGUCUAUGCCUCCGAAAAUGCUUUGAUUAAGACAAAGUGUCUGAAGAUUUACUAGAAGACCAAUUGAAGAUGGCAAUGACAAUAACCGCAUUCUAGUCAAAUCCAAAACCCGAAGCUUUUUCGUCCUUUUGAAGAAGUUCUCGGGAAUAUUAGGCACAGCAAAAGAGUUCUUGGGAGACAUGAAUAGAAGUUCAAGUUGUAGAGAUUCCGACCCUUCAGGAAUGUCAUUAACAAUACUAUCUUUAAAAGAAAUUGCAAAAUAUUUUUUAAUUCAUCUGCAUUUGGCCAUUUCCAAUCAUCCUCAUUUCUCACCACAAAUGCAUUCAUGUCACGAAAUGCAAUUGAAAUGGCAACAUCGCGAACAACAUCGUGCAUAGAAAUGUAUUUACUGCCACCAUCCUCAAGCAACAAACAAGAGUCUCUUAGUUGAUGGACCCAUGCAUGUAAUUUGUUAUGUGCAUCUUCUAGCUUAUGGACACUUUUAAAUACACCCAAGCCCAUGCUGUAUUUGAACAAAUCCAUAAUUGGUGCUGGCGUAAUAAGACUACACAGUAAAAAAGUUUUCUUGAGUUGCUCACCUCUUAAGUACUUGUAACUCAGCUCAAUUGUUGAGUAUGCCUCUGCUGGUACUCCUUCGUCGAAGCUUGCCUCUGAAGGCGUUUGGAGUUCUUGCAAGGCAUUCUUCCACACAGGCAGCUCUUUUUUUCUCAGUGCCUUUGCUACUGUGGUUAGGGCAAUAGGCAAACCUCCGCAUGCCUUGGCUACACUUGUUGCUGUAGAUUUUAACUCACGAUUUUCAACAUAAUCACCAGCCAUUAUCUUGAACAAUCUCCAGGCUUCUUGUUCAUUUAAAAUGCCAAUCGAGAAGUUUUUUUCAGAUCCCAUCCUUAACAGCACAUCAAGAUCUCUUGUUGUGAAUAAUAAUUUACAUCCUCUGUGCUCAACUCCAAAAGGAAUGCCAAUAGUCCCCAAAUCAAGAGGAUUCCAGAUGUUAUCGAGAAUCACAAGGAUCUUCUUCUCAUUCUUCAAUCUUUCAUAUAGUCUACUAGCUCUUCUAGACUCAGCUUCCUCGGACAACUCUAGGCCUAACGUUUCCGCAAUUUCCUCUUGGAUCUUUCUUAUGUCUGGACAUUGGGUAACCUCCGAAAAAACCACCAUAUCGUAAAGCUUGUCUUCAAUGGCUCGCCUUGCAAACUCCUUCACCAGUGUCGUCUUUCCAAUGCCGCCCAUGCCGUACACCCCAAUGAUGCUGACAUCAACAUCGAUCAAUGCAUUUUGUAUGGCCUUCAAAGUAGAAAGUCUUGAUUCGAAGGCUUCGUAGCCUUUGUGAGACUUGAGCCAUAUAUCCUCCGGAAUGGUACGGUAGGAAAUUCCAUCAACAAAUCUCCCAGCUUCUUCUCGGAGUUUAACAAUGGCCUUCACCUUUGUUUCUGCUUUCUUGCUAAGCUGAUAGCGGGUCUUCAAAUUAGGACACAAGCCCAUGAGACAUCGUUUAUUUGUUGUCUUCUCAUCAUCAAUGAAUUUGGCUGCCUGCUCAAUGAUGAUGUUCGCACUAACCAGCCACUUCUCAACCUUCUCUUCAAUAUUUUCCCCUUUUCUUUCAGCCUCAGAAACCCUGUGCUGAAUGCUUCUCCUUUCAUCCUUGAGCUUGUCUAUUUCUGCCUUGAGUUUCUCAACGUUGGCUUUAUAGUUACGCAAAUAACCAAGUCGGCGUUCUGUUGGAGGAGCCAAGCAUUUCACAAAUUCUAAAACAAUAGUAACAAUGCUUUCCACCAUCCUGGAUCCCUUUUCUUUUUUUCGAAGUUUCUGACAAGAAAAUAAACAAUGAGCGAAACACAGAGAGAGUGAGGAGAAAAAGAAAAAGAAACGCAAAGAUGGACAGUUUAUCUGGUUGUGGAAGCGGAGAAAUGAAAGAAAUCGUAAUAGCUGUUAUGGAUCUGCUGAGAAGAUGGAAACAAGGAAAAGGUUUCUAGUUCAACAACUGGAUUGCGAGCGGAGAGACUAAUUAACAAAGACUGGAGAUUACAACAAAGCAGAUGCCAAGAGAAAAGUUGAUCCAGUGAAAUUCAAGAGAGUUGACAGCAAAAGGGAGCAAAGAUUAAUAACAAAACAGCAGUGACUACAAUGAACAAAAGCAUAUGCGUUUCUUGAUUGAGAAUGAGUGCAAAGAAUGAUCCUUAAUCAAUAAAAUAUCUAACAAUAUCUUCACCGAAAGUUUGAGACAUGUGAUCCUUAUUCCACUUCGUCAAUUACACUCCAGACCAAUGCUGCCGUCAUUAUCGAACGGUCGAUAUCCAACACUUGCACGAAGAUUCCAAGAAGUUGCGUGGCUGCCGACUUUUAGAUGCAAAGCCUCAUUGUGUCGAUGUUACACGAAAGAGAGCAGUCCGGGUAAUUGCCAAAACUUAGAACUAAACAGUAGCUUAGUCAGAAAAUCAAACGCCAGUACCGGUAAAAUGACCGAUAAAAAUAUAAAAAAACAAAAAUUUUAAAGUUUUACUUCAUUGCUUUUUUAAUCUUAUUACUAUUUCUCCUUGCACUUCUAAAGAAACCAAAGCUUUAAAAGAAAUCAGCCAAAUCACGAAGAUUGAAAACUAAAUCUAUGGUUUUAGAUUUUUAUUUUAUUUUUUUAGAUAAUAGAUAUUGUUGAGUAAUGAAAAGUACCAGCUCAGCUAUCCCCGCUUCCCUCACCUUGGGGCGAAUCUCCCCAGAUGAAUGGCACAAGCAGAUUCCUGGUAAUACAUCCUGUACGGGGCAUAUGCCAACUAGAAACGAGUACCGACCAGAUGUACAUACCGACCAAGUACUCAUUAUUCAAAGAAAGAGGACACGAACUCACAAACUCACGACAAUUUUGUUAUGCCCCAAACCGUUGGGGAGAACAUGACGCCCCACGUUUACCCACGAUUCGGUGGUUGGAGACCCAUGAAGGUUUGUCAUCACCCGAAAAUGAGGGGCAUGAAUAAGACUCAGAAAACAGGGGAUGAUUGCCUAUAAAAGGCCAAGAAAUCGAUGAAAAAUGGGAGACACAAAUUGAGAGUAAAGGGGAAACUCUGUCAAAUUAUAAUCAGAAAUUCAUAUAUCCAAAUCCUUGAUACAUUUGGUAUUGAGAAUAUUGCAACUAAUAUGUACAACACAAAUCAUUCACUUUUCUCGUAAACACCUUGUACUAACUUAAGUAUCGAAGGGUUUAUGCCCAAAAAACCAUCGGCGUCUCUGAUUUGUUUCUGUGAACGCAGGCCUGGAAGGAAGAAGACGGGUGAUUUGGGUCCCAGAAGCUCGGGAAAUUGCUGAAGCUAAUGGAUCGCAGCCUCUGUUCCUUUGCCAAUACAAGCGUUGGUGAACCAAUCUGGUCGGUCCAAAGGCGACUAGAUUUCAGCAUCAACAGAUAUUAUUUUGAUGAAUUUUUUAAUAUUAGAAUAAUGUUAGGAAUUCCAAUAAUAAAAUUCUAACUUGAGACCCAAUUGUUAUGUGUUAUUUUUUUAUUGAAUAAUGAAUUUCACAACUAAUAAAAUUUAUAUUUCCAUCAUCUAAUAAAUGACUACCAUAUCAGUUGGGACUCAAUUAUUAGGAUCCUUAACAUUGCUCUUAGUAUUAAAUUGGACAUCUUAGCUAAAUCAGAUUAAAAAUCAAAUUAGUUUUUAGGCUUUUAUUCAACAUCUCUUUUUUUUUUUUUUUUGUCUAUUGGAAGUGAACGAAAUAAAAAUACAACAGGGUCAACGACUGGGCAAUUGGUAGUCAAGUAGAAGCAAAUCAAGGCUAAAUGGGAAAGAGAAAUGAUAUUUGUGCAAAAUAAGGAGAAAAUCAGUGUAACAGAAGAGAAUCAAAGUGCUUUUGAGAUAAAAAAUUGAAACAAGAAAAGGGUCGCUUGAUCCAAUGAAAAUGCAAAGAGCUGAUGGCAAAAGGGAACAAAGUUAAAUAAGAAAACAGCUAGCGCUAGCAGCGACCACAAUAAACAGAAAAUUUGAGAUGGAUUUACAAUAUUUCUGCCUUUCUUUAUGCUUUAAAAAAUAUUGCUCUAUCAAAAAAAAUAUUGAACAUUUUUAUUAUUGGAGUCACAAAUGACCUACACAAUAUAGCAAGUGACUAGGAAUAAAUAAGAAUAUAUAACUCUCUCUAAUUCUCACUCUGGCUUUUAAUUGUCACUCAAAACCCAGAAUUCAUCCUUAAAGUGUAGGCAAAUCAAGGAUGACACCGUUUGGUUGUCAUACGUGCCUUUUAGUUUUCGGAUGACAUGGCGUACACUUCUUCUGUAAACCCAACAAGACAUGUCGUACUCUUUUGUUUUGAGAUUCUAUUUCAAACUUUUCAUGCUAUGAAUGAAAGAUAAACUCCAAUCAUCAAAAUAUUUAGUGUUUGUUUGGUAAUGUAAUGUCAUAGUUGUGAAUUGAAAUUAUUUCUAUAAAAUAAAAGGAUUUGGGUCAUUGUUUGUUAUUUUCUGACAACAUUUAUUAAAUAUUAAAAAAUAAAUUUAUAUUUAUUAGGUAUUAAAAAUAAAUAAACAAACAAAAAUAAAAGUAAAAGUUUAUACAUUACGUAAAAUAAUGACAAUAUCAAUAUUUCGCACUCUAUAAUUGAGUGAUGUGUUGUCCAACUGGCAUACAUUGGUCCCAAACGGAGACUUAAAUAUCAAAGUCCAAAGUUAUUAUGAUGAUGACUUAUAAUCGCCAAACUUGACAUACGGGUAAUCAUGCAUUAUAAGGUGCUAAUUUCUUCCGAUCGGAACCUUAUUUUUCAUUUACAAAUAAAUAAAUGAUGUGACUUCACGGUUGGCGGGGUCCUUUGUGUCAUUUGGGCAUUUCACUAAAUGAUUGAUUGUAGCAGGAAGAUUCCUGGAAGUUGCCAUUUGCCAAUGCUACUAACAUUUUCAAACUUGGAAAACCCUUCAAUCAAUCUUUUAGUGGUAGGCUCUGGUAACUUGGUUUGAUUAUGACGUAUAAUUAUUUGAUAAUAAAGUUAGAGGAUGUAUUAAUAUAAAAUUUGUUUAUUGGUGUUGAAGUUAAUUAUCUCAUUAAUAAUAGUAUAAAAAGUUAAUUACUAAGAAACACAUAGCAAUAGUUAAUUGGUGUCAUAUUAUUGGGAUUCUGGGAUACAAUUUUAUAUCAUAACUUUGUAAGUGUAUACUUACUCAUCAAACUAAUAAAAUUAUUUAAAAAUUUCAGUUGGAAAAAAUAAAUUAUAUUAUUUUCAUUUCAAAUAAUCUAUAAGUUAACUCAAAACAUAAUCAAGCUGAGAAUUAAAAUAAUGCUACUGUAUGAGAGGAUUUUUAUUUUUUCCCGAAGUUUCACUAGGAAAUUAUUGAUACAUAGCUUUAUUCGGAUCAUCUCAGUUCAAACGACAAAUAAUUGAAAGACUAAGCUAAAUAGACCAGCCAACAACUUUGUACAAGAGAGUUCAAAAAUUAAGGUCAUGGUAUUAAGGUGUUCUAUCUUGAAAAGUAUAGAGUAGUAAUAAAAUAAAAACUAAUAGUUUUUGGUAAGAUAUGACAUUUAAAUAAUAAUUUUCACAAAAAUACAAGGAAUAUUUAUAAAUUACUUUUAUAGUGAGGGGACCCUCACUCUGUUAAAGUGAAAAUAUCAAUAAUAUACAAAAGACAUAUAUUUUAACACAUUAAAAAUUGUAUUUUUUUUAUCUAUUGGUGUAUUGAAAUAUGUGUUAUUUAGUUUGUUAGUGAUAUCAUUACUUUGUUAAAAUGAGAAUGUCGUUACUAGAGAAUCAUUAUGUAUACAUAUAUAAAGUGCUUCUGUCCAAGACCUAGACUUUAUUAAAAUUUGAGAAAGCAAAUAUAUUUUAUAUGGUAUAAUAGUGUAAUAACAUCACACUAUUAUAUCAUAUAGAGUAAUAGUUUUUCGAACUUUAAUAAAAUUCAAGAUUAUAGAAUGAAUGAUUUUUAUAUAUUAUAAAUUUUUUUAUCAUAAAUGGAGGACAAAAUUAACAUAUUUUCAAAUUAUAAUAAGCAUUUAUCAAAUAAUUUAACAUUGCAAUUUCUCCUAACUAGUAUAGUAAAUAAUACGACCUAGGAGAUACAUUCAAAGCAUUUCAUAAGUUAGUUGUUAAUAAUAAAUUAUAUAUGCAGCUCCAAUCAUCAUUGUACGGUGAGUAAUUUCCAGUUAUAAAUAGAUAUUACUCCCUUCCCAGCAAUUUUUGAUGACUUAAUUUAGUGGGAUCAAAAUCAACAUUGAAUUUUUGACCAGCUGCCAACAACUUGUGAGCAGUUCACAGUGGGUACUGCACAUGAUGCCUGUUUCUCCUUUUGCAUCUAUUUUUGUUGUUAACAUUAAUUUCAAUAGCAGCUCGUUAAUCCCAUUUGUUGAUUUGGGACUAGAUAAGAAUUUAUCUUGGAACUCCAAUUCUCCAAUUAUUUUAGUUGACAAUAUAUUUAACAUUAUUAAUUGCAUAUUAUUUAAUUAUCAGUAUAUAAUAUUCUUUAAUUUUCUAAUUUUAUAGGAUUAGACACAAAAUUGAUUAUGCCUUUUGAAAUUUAAGGGUUAUGUCAAUUGAAUAGAAAACUUGGAGGUAAACUUGUGGAUGUUUUUGUUGAUUAUCAAUUUAUGCAUGAAUUUUUGUACGUUUACUUUGGUUUAUAAUUAUUACUUUUAAACAUUUUUAUUGGUUUGAUUUAGGGUCAAUUUGGUAAUCCUGUAGCUUUUAAAAUAAUUACAAUUAGCUAUGCUGUAGAAAUUGAUCAAUCGUCAAGAGAAUCAGCUGAGCAUUUAGUAAAAUUUAUUUUUAAAAGUACUUUUAGUUUUAAAAGCGUUGUAUGAAUAAAACUGUUACACUAAAAAUUAAAUGUAUUGCCCACUUGGGUAAAUAAAGCUAUAUAUUACAACUGUUACACUAAAAAUUAAAUGUAUCUUAAACCCAAACUUCUUCUUCUUCUUUUUUUGACUAACAAAAUUAAAAACAAUAGUGAACACAUUCUUUAAUAAACAAUAAGUAAUAAAUAAAAUCGUGUUAAAUUUCUUAAAAACUUUCUUUCACGGUUUGCUAAAUAUUUUUAUUAGUAUUUUAAAUAAAUAAAAAUAGUUGAUUUAAUUUUUUUAAAUAAACUUAUUAGGUUCAUGUAAAGAUGUUUUUGUUAUUUUAAAAAGUGUAGAAAGUACUCCUAAAAAAAAGCGUAGAAAGUAAAACUUAAUUUUUUAAAUUUAUUAGCUGAGUGCAUAAAUAAUUGAGUGUUCAUAAUGAUUUUUAAAGUAUAGAUAGUCGGACCCUAAUAUUUUUAAUAAAUGGAAAUUUUGCUAAUAUGUUAAUGAGAAUUAAAAAGAUAAUUAAGGGAGGCAAUCGAGACAUUCAGGAUAGUUAGGAUGGGACAUGAUUGUGAGCGGUUAGAUAUUGGUCCUAAUUUUGAUCACAAAUAUAUAAACAGGACGAGUUUAUCUCUACUUACAUUCCAUUUGAUAAUUAAGAUGAGAGUGGAAUUGUCAAAUCCCAAAUCAUCCCGGACCACUGCCACCAAGGGUACUCUCACUAAUAAUAUCUAAAGAAAAAUCUACAUCUAUUUCAUACUUUUUUUUAAUGGAAAGAGCCCUCAUGGGGCUUGAAAUGGUAUCCUAAAUAAUAUUGAGAAUAUCAGGUCAUGAUUGGGUUUGUGACAAACAAAUACUACAUAGUUGGGAUACGUAGUUAUAAUGUCCCAAUUUAUGUAGUAUCUAUCAUUUAGCGCACAUAUAAAAUAUUAAUCAGCUUAAUUAAUUUAUAAAAUUUAAAUCUAAUUAAUAAGUGAUACAUAAAUGCCAAGUGCAAUACUGUAUAUGCAAAUCAUGUUUGUGGAUCAUUACAAAAUUGGCUCUUGAAAACAAGCAAGAAAGCUUAAUUAAGAACUUAAAACAAAAGAAUUAGAUUGAGAACAGUCAAGCCUUAUUUUUUCAAGGAUGGAGCUUAUAAAUCUUCAAGUACCAACAUACGCUUGGCCCAAUUGUUGUUAUUAAAAUUUCAAUAUACAUAUAUAAGUAUGAUAUAGCAAAAAUUUGAUGGUACAUAUGUCGGAAUAUACUAGUUCAUGGGUGCAUUUGAUUAUUGUUUCCAUAAAUUUGAACCAGGAAGGACGACACGAUAAAAUUUGAUUUUAUGGUAUGGUUGAUUUCAUAGCUCAUGCACUCAUUUCUUAAGAUAAUCAAAUUUUCUCUGACAUCUUUUUCAACUGUCGAAAUAUCAAUUAUGAUCAAUCAAAACGAUUUCAAAACCUUUCAACGAGACAUAUUUCUAAUACAAUAUUGUGAAAAUUACACUAAAAAAUUAAUUUAUUAUAUAUUAUUAUCCAACGAGCACACAAAAAUGAUUUCGUACAAAUCUAAAAUACUAAGCAAUUUUCAAAUAGAAUUUACCAUGUACUACAAGAAAAUAGGGUAUAUGUGACCCCUACUGUGAAUGCAAAAGCAGCCAUUACGCAUAACCCCGAGUUGCUUUUGUUACCCUUUAUGUGACGGCCACACUGCUGUCACAUAUGUUACGAACCGCGUGACGGUGAAGAGCCGUUCGGUAUACUAAUAUUUUAGAAUUUUAAAUUUAUUUCCAGUUAGAAAACUAUUCGCUGGACUCCGUGUUGCUGGCCACCAUCGUAAACAUAACUGGUUGCCAGCGAACGGCGUAAAACGCCGGCCAUCUUCUUCUUCAACGUAUUCUCCCUUCAUCUUUUGAGGUAAGCUUGUGAUUAUGAGUUUCUUCUCUUACUUAGCUUGUAAUUAUAGAUUUUGAUUUUUUUUAAUUCGUAUUGUAGCCGUUAUUGUCAAUUUUUGUCCCGCCAGCAAUAUUUUUUUAUUCCUACAAGUUGAACCCCUGUGUUCUUGUUCCAUUGGUGAGUUUGCUCACUCAAAUUAAUUUUGUUCUGCGGAAUUUACAAAGUUCAAAUGGAUUCAUUUGAAUUACUAUUGAAUUUAGCUUUAAUUCCAACAUCCAUUCUAAUGUUUUGCAAUUAGAUUUAAUUUAAUUUUAUGUUUAAAGCUUCUACAAUGAAUAGCGGAGCUUGGGUUUUAGUUUCAUUUUCUGGAUAACUUGUUUUAGUUUAUCUUGUAUGCUCACCAAAUGCUUGUUAUAUUGUCUGAUAAGUUAUAUACAUUGCUGAUUCUACAUUAAUAAUGUUACGUUGUAUUUUCAGAAAUUAUAAUACAAAAGUUUUUGCAAUGGCGUGCAUCUACAAACUGAAUUGACUUGUAGAAUAAGAGCUCGGAGUAGUGUUAUGUUCUUGAAUAAUUGAAAGUUCAUAUUGUGUAAGAGCAUGUAGAUGUAAAGCAUCAUUACCAUUUCUACAAAGUGCUUUCAUUCUGUUCAUAUGCUCUUCUUGAACUUUGAAAGGUGCCUCGUUCAAGUCCUAGCUAUAACUACUAGCUUUGAUUAAUUAAGUUCCUAUACUAGCUGAAACAGAUUUAUUUAAUUAAUUAAUUGUGUAUGUACUAAUUAUAUUGAAAGUAUAUGAAUUUUUUUUUUAACAUGAAUGACUUCUAAAUGACUUAAAAACCUAAAGGAUGUGUGAAACAAUGCUCAUUUCAUUUGAAUGAGCCCAUUAAUACUUUUAUGUCUAUGAUUUUCAAUAUUGGCUAAAGCAUUUCAGUUAAGUGGUUUACCUAACAGAGAAAAAAAUUUAAUAGAAAACUUCAGAGUUCUAACAGAAAUAUAGUUCACUAUGCAGAUAUAGUUAUUUUACGGUAUACAAAUCAAGUUGUCCUAAUCUCAAUGUCCUAUGACCGAUUUUAUUUUAUAUAGUCAUUAAUUUUUUCCUUGGUUUUUUGUGUUUAUGAGUAUGAAAUAGUGGGAUUUGGUGUACCUUAGCAUCUUUUGAAAAUUCUCUUUCAGUGUGGCCAACAGAAAUAUACAUAUAAUCAAGUUUCUUAAUCGUGUAUAUUAGUUUUGGGUAUGAAUGUUCCUAUUCUAGUUCGAGGCAAAGCUUCUUCGUUUUGGUCUUCAGAUUUCCAGUAGGUUAAGUUAAUCAACUAUCAUAACUGGCUAGCUAGUUAUUGUCUGCCUUGGCGCCAUUACCCAGGCCAUUAUAUUGCAUAGCAUAAGGAAUAGUGAUUAGGGGAUUAUUAGUGAUUUGUUGAGCUUAUUAUCGACCAAACAAACAUAUUCGCCUUUGCCCACAACUUAGUUUGAUUAGUUAUUAGACCAUAAAGAGCCUUGAUCUAUUCAUUGGCUUUAUUAUUUUUAUUUGGUUUUUCUUUCAACAAUAUUGUUGAUUUCUUAUAAAAAUAUUCAUUGGUUUUUAAACACCUAAUCAUUGGCUAUAUGAAGCUAAUUAAAACUGAGGCUUUGGAUCAAUUUCUUCUAACAAGAUACAAAUGAGCAUUAACCUAUCUCCUAUGAGUAAAUUUUUUUAAUAUCCUUGAUUUGUAAGGAUCUGGAGGCCUGAAAUCCUCUAGAUUUUUUUUAACACUGUCAAUGUUCUUUUUAUUCUGAGAAGGAAAUAAAAGGUUUUAUCUUUCAUACCCAAAUAGUAAGCUGGCCUUGUCUUAACAUGGCCUCCCGAGGACUUGCAAGAUUCAUAGUGCCCCCCACCCCAAAAAAUAAAAAUAAAAAACACAAAUAGGAAGAUUUUGCAAGAUUCACCACCAGGUUUUUUUUAAUUUGUUAAUUGUGUGUACGUGCUAGUUAUAUGUUGAAAGAAUAGGAAGAAGUAUUUCAACAUGAAUGACUUAAAACUUAUUGCUCAGUAAACAUAAUCUGCAUGUAUUUAUCGUUUGUAUUUUUUAUGGUUUUGCUAAAGAAAUGAUAUGUGAAAUAAUGCUACAUUGCAUCAGGAAUAAAUUGAAGAGAUUUAUGAUAUUUAUGUGUUAUUCAAAUUUCAGAUUCAAUUUUAAACUUUUGAUACGUGCAUUGAAAGCUUAGACUUGUUUAAGAAAUUAUUAAUAGACACAUGUUUUUAUUAGUGUCAUCUUUGGAUGAUAGUGAGGAUCAUAUGUCUAUUAAUAAUUCUUGAAUUGUCCAGGCUUGGACAGUUUGGGAAUGCAUAGUUCACUCUGGUAGCUAGUAGCUGAAGUUUUUUCCCACGUAAAAAUGGGUUUUUCAGUAGCUGCUCCUCGUGUUCUCUGGGUACGUACUAGGUGAAUGGGUGUCAUGUGUUGUUUUGGCAUAACGCAUAAACACUUAUAUAGCUAUGUCGUGUGCUUGGAGAAUUAUAGGGAGAUGGUGCCGAAAUUUUUAUAAACGUGGAAGAAAACUUUAGGUACUUGAGAUUGAAGAAACUUAUGCAUUCUUGAGUGGGAUAUGUAGGAUUACUUACCUUUUGUAAAUAUGAAGGGAAUGUUGGAUAUAUUGGGGAUAGUGUAGGAGCUGAGUUGGAUGAAUGUAAUUGGUGAUGAUUUUGCUGAGCUGACCUUGGUUUUGAGCUUGUAAUUUUGUUUGUAAAUGGAGUGCUAUCUCCAAUGUUGGUUUAUAAAUAUGUUUCAGGACUUGCUGACCUAAUUUUUUGUUUCUAGGUUACAGGCUUUAUAUAUCUGUAAUUGAUGGCGAAGUGAAGUUCCCAGAACUUGGCGAGGAUGUUUCUUUACAGAAGGUAUUGGAAACUGUUUUUUACAUUAAUUAUUGUUGUAUAUAUACUUUGAUUUUCACAUCUUUUUCUCUGAUUCUUGUGGCUUUGCUUGCUUUCAUAUAUGUAAAUUCUAAUGAAAUUAACCAUAAAAUUGUAAAAUGAUCUUUUUAUUAUAUUGCAAAACUGUGCACACACGAAAAUAUAUUGUUUAGUAGUAGAAAUGAAGAACUAAAAUGAUUUACUUAACUAAUUUUUGUAGCGCAUUAAAAGGAGAUAGUCAUGGACAUGUGUUGGGUUGGUUUGCCAAAUAGAUAUCCAAGUCAUAUACUGAUGGGGAUGAAAAAUUUAUAGAUUUUGCAUUUGAGAAUGUUGUUGGUGGUACAAGAAUUUAAUGUCCUUUUAAGAAGUGUUGUAAUCUAUAUUUCGUUAUAAGGAAAGUGGCUGAUGAUGAUAUGGUUGGAAUGAUACAAUGCAUCACGUAAUCAAAUGUUCAAGUUACACGGAGCAUUGUUAUGGACUAUCAGUGACUUUCUAGCAUUGCCAACUUGUCUGGGUGGAGUAUUAAAGGUAAAUAAGCAUGUCUUGUUUGCCAACAAAACACUAGAUCUAAUUGGUUGAUACAUAGUAGAAAAUUUUGUCACGUGGGUCACCGUCGAUUUUUACCAACAAAUCAUAGGUUUCGAAAAUAUAGUGUCUUUUGAUAAAACUAGAGAGUAGGGACCAGCACAUUCUCGGUUGUCUGGAUCUGAAGUGAAAAAGCAGUUUAAUAUACUUACUGAGUAUAAGAUUGAAGACUUGAAAAUAGGAGAAUGAAUAAAAUGAGAGAAAUGAUAAGAUUACUUGGAAGAAGAAAAGCAUAUUUUAUGAACUACCGUGUUGGGAGUUCAAUUUGAUUCAUCAUAAUCUUGAUCUCAUGGGCUGUUUUGAUUUUUGUUAUGAACUCAGAUCAAAAGUUUAAUGUGAUCAAAAUUUCUUAAAAAUAGUGAAAACGACUCCUAAUAAUAUGGAAGAUGGCUAUAAAAGAUAAAAGGAAAGGCUUAAAAAGAAAAGCCAUGCCUGUCCAAAAAAAAAAAAAAUCAACAAAAAUCAAAACGGUGCGUUUGAGAGUGUAUAAAAUACAUUUAGAGUGGGAGUUGUGUUGUUGCUUGAAGGCAGAAAGAUAUUUGUCGACGAAGCCAAAACCAAAGAUGAAGCCCAUAAAGCUCAAAACUCCACCGGAGCAAAUUCAGACAAUUACGAGGGUUAUGUUUGACAUAGUCAAGGAAGACGGUCCUCUCACCGUUGCCGAAACUUGGGAACGCGUCAAGGUGUGUGUAUCUGUUAAAUUGAAUUUCAACCGUUUGAUCUGUAAUUAUAAUUAAUCCAAUCGAUCUGACAGUGAUCACUGACCAUAAUACUAGUAGUUGUUUUACAUUUUCAGCAGGCUAGAGCGGGUGGAUUGACGGGCAAAAGCUCAGGCUCGUCUGCAAUCACAUGGGCCCUCAUAAGCAAAUCCUGUACACAACUUGGUUCACUAAACCCAACAACUUGAAGCAGCCAAAAUCAGGGAAUGAUCCUUCUCCGUCACAACCCUAGCUGCCUUAACCUUGUAGUGACACGGUGAAGAUGGAAGCCCCUCAGCAUGUAAACUUUUCAACAGCGACAGAGCUCUUAUUCCAGAGGCUGCACAGAAGAGCGACCUGAAUCCUCUUCAAAACUUUCAAAUUUUUAUCAAGUAAAGCUUUCAAAAUUUCUCAACAAACUGAUUAUUUGGUGUGGUUGCCACAUUUUGUGCAACUGCUAUUCGUCUUCAAGUACAAAUUCCUUGCCUUCUAAGUUAGGGAACAUAGAUGUGGAGCAAACAGGGAAAUAGAUGUGGAGCAAACAGGGAAACAGCAAUGAUGGCAAUUAACAAACUAAUAGCAGUAUUACAUUUGAUUCUUUAGCCCAAUUUUGUUCCUUCUGUCAGCCAUUCUUCAAAAGUUUUUGAAAAUUAGAUGUGAAGCAAAAAAAAAACAAAUUUAGACAACAGAAGCCCUGUGCUCAACAUCAUAUAUAUACCUUGAAUACCUAAUAUACUAAAUUUCACAUAUAAAAUACUAGAGAUUUCAAACAGUACCAGCAAUAGAAUAAUGACAACGACAACAAUAACAGAAAAUUACAAGAUUGCUGACAAAAUUUAUGUGAUUUACUGUGCCUUUAUGCAUGCAAAAUGAAACUGAAGAUAAAAAAUUUAGGGAAAAGGACACAGAGACCCCCAACGUUUGAAUAAGGGACACAAAAUCCCUUAAUGUUUCAAAAAAGACACUCAGACCCCCAUUUGUUAACAUUAAAUUAUAAUUUUACCAUUGUACCCUUAUAGCAUAUUAAAAAAUAAUUAUUCAUUAUCCAAUUUAUUUCUAUAUUAUUAAUAAAAUUACGAAUAUAACUUCAUUACUCAAUUUUUCCAUUUAAUUUUUAUCAAAUUUUAUCUUCAAACUAAAUAAAUUUAAUCCAUUGCUCAAAAAUAAAAAUAAAUUAAAUUGAUUAUUAAUAUAAUAAAAAUAACAAUUCUCCAUAUGUUAUUUCUUAUAAUUUCUUAUAUAUAAAUUAAAUUGAUAAUUUCUUAAAAAUAACAAUUCUCCAUAUAUAAAUUAAAUUUAUUUUAAUUUAAUAUAUGUUAUUUUUAUAUUAAAUAUAUGUUAUUUUUAUUAUAUUAGUAAUCAAUUUAAUUUAUUUUUAUUCUUGAGUAAUGGAUUAAAUUUAUUUAGUUUGAAGAGAAAAUUUGACAAAAAUUAAAUGGAAAAAUUGGAUAAUGAAGUUAUAUUCGUAAUUUUAUUAAUAAUAUAGGAAUAAAUUGAACAAUGAACAAUUAUUUUUUAAUAUGCUAUGAGGGUAUAAUGGUAAAAUUAUAAUUUACUGUUAACAAAUGGGGGUCUCAGUGUUUUUUUUGAAACAUUAGGGGUUUUGUGUCCCUUAUUCAAACGUUGGGGGUCUCUGUGUCCUUUUCCCAAAAAUUUAUAAACUAGAAAUUUAUAAUAAUCUAACUUAUUCUCGUUACUAUUAAAAAAUAAGUAAACAUAUCAAUAACAAUAUAGUUUAUUAUGAUUAUAAUUCAUUCAAUUAAAAUAAAUAAUUUAUUCUUAUUUCUAUUCUCUAUUCUAAUUUCAGUAAAUUUUGAUUUUAGUUUAUUUUAAUUAUUGAUUAGUUGUAAACUUAACUGGAAAUUUAUUGCAUAUAUUACGAGAAGCAGUACACACCAAUGGUAAAUUGAUACAUCGUUUUUGAGCUUAAGAUAGUCAAAUGAAAGAAACACAACGUAGGGUUCAUGAAACACUUUCAAAGCUGCUGAUGACUUAAAGUGAAUAACCUCAGCAUGUAAACUUAACUUCAAAGGACGGAGCACAAGUUUCACAGAAAAACAGCUCUUAUUUCUGAUGCUGCGAACACAGAGGAGUGACCUCAAUCUUCUUCAUCACUUGGGAAUUCUGCAAUUAUAGAGCACGACAUUGAGCAUGAACUAGAAAAAAUAUUUAUUUUCUACAAUUUUCAUAUAACCUCACUAACCAAGAUUAAUUUUGUGGUAAUGUAUUGGGUCAUUAAUUCAUAUGUUUUUACUGUCAUCACUUUAGAAAAAACUAAUUUCUCAAUGUGAAAUGGCCCAUAAAAGGUAUUCUCAUUUAAAAACUAAAUUUGACAAACCCCUCGAUUAAAGCAGGGGAGAGAAAAGAAAAAAAAAAAGAUCUGAAGGCUUUCCACAUGAAAAUGUUGUCACUUUGGAUGAUAUUUUCAAGGGAUUUCAUUCUAAAAAUAAAAUACCUGGGACCUUAUUCUUCAAAUUGACAGCUCGCCCAGUACUAAACGCGUAUGAGAUCAGUACUGGGACAAGUAACGAGACGACCCCUCCAACAGCUGAAAAUAAAAUUCGCAUUCAUCAAUUUAAAUUGAAAUUCAUAUUAUGAAAUUAAAACUAAUGAUUAAUGAAUUUUCAAGGAAUUUAAUAAGAUUCUCAUAUAUAAACGUGAUAAAAAAUUCACUCAUCAAUAACAAAUAUUCUAACAUUUUGUUGAUGUAAUUGUUGUAUGGUUGUGUUAAGGUCAUUAUUAGACCAACGCAGUUUGUCAUCACUCAUUCCGUACCAGACGUUUACUCUCGGAGGCGUGAUUGAUUCUCCUUUGGUGAAAUCUUCAUCUUCGGACAACCAAUCACAGUAAGAUAUUCCAAAGAUGGGAAUUUGAAGGCGUAAUUGCCAGAGGAGAAGCUUGUGAGACUAUCUAAAUCAAACAGGGACAACGUAGUCAGUUUGCUGAAAACAAUCUCUUCUUUUAAAUAUGCUGUUUCAUUUCAAGACUGGCAAAAUUCAUUGUGUAAUCAAAGUUUUCAAUGAUCCAACUAAUAUAUAUAUAUAUGUAUGUAUAUUCCUUCUCUAGUGCAGACAUUCUCAUUUUUUUUUUUCAUGUGGACCAGUUUUUAGAUCCCCUGGUUUAAAAGAGUUAGUUUUUAACUCUUUAAAACCGCAUGGCUUCAUAAUUUAUUUAAAAACUAACUCUCUUAAACCGCACGGUUUAAAAGCGUGUCCACAUUAAAAAAAAAAUACGGACCCCCACACCUGAGAAUGAUUAUAUAUAUAUAUAUAUAUAUAUAUAGACACACGCUCUUAAACCGUGGGAUUUGAAAGCUUCUCCGCAUGAAGAAAGUAAAAAAUAAGGGCAUUCCCACUAGAAACAAACUCCAUAUAGGUAUUUAUUAAACCUCCUGAUCUGUGAGUGAGGAACAACAAAUAUAAUUGAUAAAAAAAAUCUAAAAUUUGGUUUCAUACCUUCUUGAACGAGAACAGGGUUGUUGUGCCGGAAUACCAAAUUGAUCAUUCUCGUUAUUCUGGGACAACGUUAUUUUAUCACAAUUACAGGCCUCCAAUGUUUUUUAGUGCUGGCCAUUCUGAAGUAUGCAUUCCAGGGUAUAAACAUCCGAGUUCUGGUAGACCUUCGAGAUUCAGAGUGGUCACUUGUGGAAAGACAAAAUAUGGGGUCACUUGAUCUGCUCUGUCUUUGGAGAUGAUCUCUUGUAAACCCAUACAUAUCCGUAUCUCCAGGUGUUGGAGGUGCUCAAGGCUUUGGAUCAUAGAAGCUGAAAAUAUGUAUUUUAAUUUGUCACAGCCCCACACUAUCAAUCGUGUCAAACUUUGAAAGCCGCAAGUUGAUUGUCAUGCAAAAUCUCGUCGACAUUAAUAGCAUUCAGCUCCAAAGCCUCCAAAUUUGGCAACACUACCUGAAGAUAAUUUUCUCUUUAGAUCCAAUAUCCGUAUGGAAAGCACUUGUUUUGACACAAUAUCCAUAUAAGAAGCACUUAAUUAAGAGCUUAAUUAGCGAGUGUAUGAGACUUUUUUUUUUUCAAAUGCCAGUGCAUGAUAGAACUAAAAAAAAAAAAGAAGCAUUAGCCUACGUACCUUCUCGUUGAAAAGCAGAGUUGACGUUUCCGAACUGAUCUCGUUGGAACUGGCUGUCAAUUCCUCUUGCGACUCUUGUCUGUUUGGUGAUGUGGAAGAAGUCUUCACUUCACCGCAAAACCUUGUAACCUUUGGAAGCUUUCCCAGACUCAAAGAUCUUAAUUGACCAAACUCUAUCUUCCCAUCAACAUCAACAUCAGCUUCUCCUCCAGUUGCAAAAAUCUCUUCCAUGCUGCUGCAAUUGAUAACUGCAAUCCUCUCCAGUCUUGGAAGGCAUUUUGUACUACUAGAGAGCCAGAAGAUAUUACUCAACUCAUCACAAUUUUCUACUUUUAUGGUUUUGAGUUCAUUGAAGGACUCUAUUUGAGUCGAUCAAUACAUAUCCUCUCCAUAUUGAUCAAAUUUUGAAGAGUAUGGGACUCCAAAAGAGGAAAGGCGACACAUGGUUCUCUCUCCAUUGAAUCGACGAUACACAGGAAGUCUGGAUUAUUUUGAACAUGGAGAUGCUUCAAUUGUGAAAAGCCCUCAGUGUCCAAUUCUAAAACAACAUUCUUGAUUCCUUGCAACUUAUCCAAACAUAAGUAUUCAACGUUAUUGAUGCGCUGCAACUUCUCGGAGCAAAUGGCCAUAGAAUCAAGCUUGAGCUUCAAUGUUCUUAAACUCUCAUGAUUACUGAUCAUAAAGUGCUGCCGACUUCAAACCAAUCAUUCUCAAUAACCAGGGUAGAGUCGAAUGAUGCAUCUCCUAUUGAUAUAUCAAACCUUUCCAGCUUUUUGGAAAAAAAGCCAUCCGGUAAAAUGCUAUCAUUUUUAACAUCUAUCUAAGGUGGUCAAUCGCCUCAUAUGCAUCAAUUCGUCGAGGGUGGCAUUACUUCUUUCACUAUUGGCCUUUUCAACUUCCCAUUCAAUAGGGGAAUUACCCAUAUACAGUUCUUCCAAUCGAGUGAAGCUUGAUAAGACGUUGGGCACAAUAAAUUUUAGUUGCAAAACAAUCUGUUAAAUCUAACAGCCUUAACUUAGUCAGUUGACCUAGUUCGCCAGGCAACCGUACAAUAUCAGAAUUUAAAAAGCUAAGGAUUUCUAGAUUCUUCAACUUUCCAAUUAUGGCUAUGUCUCCCAACAUGCUUUGAUCUAGACAGAGUGUUUGAAGAUUGCUAGAAGACCGAUUGAAGAUGGCAAUGAAAAUAAUCGCAUUCGUGUCAAAUCUACAACUCGAAGCUUUUUCAGCCUUUGAAAAUGUUGUCAGGAAUAUUGACCUCAACAAAAAGUGUUUGGGAAAUAUGUAAAAAUUCAAGUUGCAGACAUUCAAAUUCCUCAGAAACUUCAUGAAUGCUACUAUUUAGUAAAAGAGAUUGCAUAGCAUUUUUUAAGUGCAUCCUCAUCUGGCCACUCCCACACAGCCUCAUUUCUCACCAAUAAAGCAUGUUGGUCUCGAUUUAAACUUUAACUCAAUUUGAAAAACUGAGCAAGUAUGCGUUACAGGAAAUCAAAAAAGCUCCACAUACCCAGAUCAUGAUCUCACGUUGAAUCCAGGUGGGAGAUAUAUUUAUGAUCAAGCCCAACAAUCGAAGGGGGCAAAAAAAAAAAAAAAAAAAAAAAUCUACCAGACAUAUGAUCAUAUUGACCACGAGCUUCAUACGCCGUGGAUUUAUUAACAAAAGUGGAAUUAAUUAAUCAUGAGCAUGUGUUCUAGUUAAGUCAAAAGAGAACUUAAUUAAGAACGCAUAUAUAAUUCAUAAUCAGCACAUAAAAAAUCACUAGUGCUUGCCCCUCCUGCCCUUGCCGUGCUUGCCGUGCUUGCCCCUGCCCUUGCUCUUUCCAUGCUGGUAGUAGCCGCCGUGCUUGCCGUGUGUGUAUGCACCGUGAGCUCCAGGAUAUGCGUUAUUAUCUGCAACAAAAUAAGAAAUUAAAUCAUAAGGCUUAUAAUUAGCUCGCUCGCUAAGAGUGAUUAAAAUAAUACCGUGCGGAACGGAUGGGCCAGGAUAUCCCGUUGGUGUGUAACCACUGGCGAGUGCUGCUCCUGUAGGCGGGUAGCCGGCACCGGCUGGGCAGCAUGAUCAGCACCUUCCAUGAUUUUGAUGAUCACCUAAUAAAUAAUAACUUGGUCCAAAAUAAACAACAAUAAAUAAUUGUGAUUAAUAAAAAGUAAUAUAUUCUCUAAUUAAAAACAUUAAUGAUCAUUGGAGAGCAAGCGAGAAAUACUUACUGAAUGCGAUGGGACAGACAACAUCAUGCAUAGAGAAUUGUUCAUCUUCAACGAAUUUGGCUGCCCGGUCAAUGAUGCCGUUAGCACUAACCAGCCACUUCUCAACCUUCUCUUCAAUCUCUUCCCCUUUUUCUUUUGCCUCUGAAACUCUGCGCCGAAUGCUCGUACGUUCAACCUUCAACUUCUCCAUUUCCGUCUUGAGAUUCUCAAGGUGGCAUUGUAGUUCCGCUUGCGCAAAUAAACAAGUUGGCGUUCUGUUGAGGAGCCAAGCAUUUACAAGUUCCAAAACGAGAGUAACAAUGAUUUCCAGCAUCUUGAAUCCUGACAACAAUGUAGAAGUGAAGAAGGCCAAAGGACAGUCAAAACAGAGAGACAGCGUUACGACAACAGUUAUGAGCUAAAAAUAAAUAACAAACAAACAGAAGCAAAGUGUUUUUCGAAUGAGAAGAAGGAAGCAAGAAAAACUUAAAACUAGUAUAAUAAAUUUAUACUAAAACUAGUAUAGUAAAACAAGAAGUCAAGAACCAGCAACUUUUACACACAAAAUAAAACCUUAAAACUAGUAUAAUAAAUUUAUCAUCAAGUUGCAGCCUUCUUAUUCAACAAUUACAGCAUUAUCUUGAGCUCUGUGUUUCUUUUUUUAAAAAUUAUUCAAAAAAAUCUGCAUUUUUUUUCAACGAUAAAAAUUAUAUUUUUGUCUCAUAUAAUAUAAAAUUAAAAAAAAAACAAACAUAUAUUAAAGGUCUGUUUGGGAUUAUUUUUAGAGGCUCAAAAGUAAUUUUUUAAAAAGUUAAAUGCUAAUUUUGGUAUUUAAUAAAAUUUUUAGAAGUCACCUUUGGUAAAAUCAUCAAUCCUACAACAAAUUUUGAAAGCAAAUAGUUUUUCAAAUUUUUAUUUUGAUAAUUAAUUUUAUACUUAAUAUAAUUCCAUAUACAUCCCUACAUAUAUUAAUUAUCCUUAUUAAUUAGAAAAUAAAAUUAUUAACUUUAAAGAUAUUAUCAACAAUUACAUUGAGAUAACAAACUAAAAAUAAAAUUAAUAAUAUAAAAUAUUUAUUUUAGUAAUCAAUUAUUAUACUUACAAGAUAAAAAAUAUUUUAUUUAAAUGUUUAUAAAUGUACAAAUAAAUUUUAUUUAAUAUUAUAUUCAAUUUAGUCAUUUACAUUGUCAAUAGGACUUCUAAAAAUAAAUUUUCCUAAAUGUUUAACUAAUUCUCUUCAUAGUGAUUAUUUNUUUUAUUAUAUUAGUAAUCAAUUUAAUUUAUUUUUAUUCUUGAGUAAUGGAUUAAAUUUAUUUAGUUUGAAGAGAAAAUUUGACAAAAAUUAAAUGGAAAAAUUGGAUAAUGAAGUUAUAUUCGUAAUUUUAUUAAUAAUAUAGGAAUAAAUUGAACAAUGAACAAUUAUUUUUUAAUAUGCUAUGAGGGUAUAAUGGUAAAAUUAUAAUUUACUGUUAACAAAUGGGGGUCUCAGUGUUUUUUUUGAAACAUUAGGGGGUUUUGUGUCCCUUAUUCAAACGUUGGGGGUCUCUGUGUCCUUUUCCCAAAAAUUUAUAAACUAGAAAUUUAUAAUAAUCUAACUUAUUCUCGUUACUAUUAAAAAAUAAGUAAACAUAUCAAUAACAAUAUAGUUUAUUAUGAUUAUAAUUCAUUCAAUUAAAAUAAAUAAUUAUUCUUAUUUCUAUUCUCUAUUCUAAUUUCAGUAAAUUUUGAUUUUAGUUUAUUUUAAUUAUUGAUUAGUUGUAAACUUAACUGGAAAUUUAUUGCAUAUAUUACGAGAAGCAGUACACACCAAUGGUAAAUUGAUACAUCGUUUUUGAGCUUAAGAUAGUCAAAUGAAAGAAACACAACGUAGGGUUCAUGAAACACUUUCAAAGCUGCUGAUGACUUAAAGUGAAUAACCUCAGCAUGUAAACUUAACUUCAAAGGACGGAGCACAAGUUUCACAGAAAAACAGCUCUUAUUUCUGAUGCUGCGAACACAGAGGAGUGACCUCAAUCUUCUUCAUCACUUGGGAAUUCUGCAAUUAUAGAGCACGACAUUGAGCAUGAACUAGAAAAAAUAUUUAUUUUCUACAAUUUUCAUAUAACCUCACUAACCAAGAUUAAUUUUUGUGGUAAUGUAUUGGGUCAUUAAUUCAUAUGUUUUUACUGUCAUCACUUUAGAAAAAACUAAUUUCUCAAUGUGAAAUGGCCCAUAAAAGGUAUUCUCAUUUAAAAACUAAAUUUGACAAACCCCUCGAUUAAAGCAGGGAGAGAAAAGAAAAAAAAAAGAUCUGAAGGCUUUCCACAUGAAAAUGUUGUCACUUUGGAUGAUAUUUUCAAGGGAUUUCAUCUAAAAAAUAAAUACCUGGGACCUUAUUCUUCAAAUUGACAGCUCGCCCAGUACUAAACGCGUAUGAGAUCAGUACUGGGAAAGUAACGAGACGACCCUCCAACAGCUGAAAAUAAAAUUCGCAUUCAUCAAUUUAAAUUGAAAUUCAUAUUAUGAAAUUAAAACUAAUGAUUAAUGAAUUUUCAAGGAAUUUAAUAAGAUUCUCAUAUAUAAACGUGAUAAAAAAUUCACUCAUCAAUAACAAAUAUUCUAACAUUUUGUUGAUGUAAUUGUUGUAUGGUUGUGUUAAGGUCAUUAUUAGACCAACGCAGUUUGUCAUCACUCAUUCCGUACCAGACGUUUACUCUCGGAGGCGUGAUUGAUUCUCCUUUGGUGAAAUCUUCAUCUUCGGACAACCAAUCACAGUAAGAUAUUCCAAAGAUGGGAAUUUGAAGGCGUAAUUGCCAGAGGAGAAGCUUGUGAGACUAUCUAAAUCAAACAGGGACAACGUAGUCAGUUUGCUGAAAACAAUCUCUUCUUUUAAAUAUGCUGUUUCAUUUCAAGACUGGCAAAAUUCAUUGUGUAAUCAAAGUUUUCAAUGAUCCAACUAAUAUAUAUAUAUAUGUAUGUAUAUAUUCCUUCUCUAGUGCAGACAUUCUCAUUUUUUUUUUUUCAUGUGGACCAGUUUUUAGAUCCCCUGGUUUAAAAGAGUUAGUUUUUAAACUCUUUAAAACCGCAUGGCUUCAUAAUUUAUUUAAAAACUAACUCUCUUAAACCGCACGGUUUAAAAGCGUGUCCACAUUAAAAAAAAAUACGGACCCCACACCUGAGAAUGAUUAUAUAUAUAUAUAUAUAUAUAUAGACACACGCUCUUAAACCGUGGGAUUUGAAAGCUUCUCCAUGAAGAAAGUAAAAAAUAAGGGCAUUCCCACUAGAAACAAACUCCAUAUAGGUAUUUAUUAAACCUCCUGAUCUGUGAGUGAGGAACAACAAAUAUAAUUGAUAAAAAAAAUCUAAAAUUUGGUUUCAUACCUUCUUGAACGAGAACAGGGGUUGUUGUGCCGGAAUACCAAAUUGAUCAUUCUCGUUAUUCUGGGACAACGUUAUUUUAUCACAAUUACAGGCCUCCAAUGUUUUUUAGUGCUGGCCAUUCUGAAGUAUGCAUUCCAGGGUAUAAACAUCCGAGUUCUGGUAGACCUUCGAGAUUCAGAGUGGUCACUUGUGGAAAGACAAAAUAUGGGGUCACUUGAUCUGCUCUGUCUUUGGAGAUGAUCUCUUGUAAACCCAUACAUAUCCGUAUCUCCAGGUGUUGGAGGUGCUCAAGGCUUUGGAUCAUAGAAGCUGAAAAUAUGUAUUUUAAUUUGUCACAGCCCCACACUAUCAAUCGUGUCAAACUUUGAAAGCCGCAAGUUGAUUGUCAUGCAAAAUCUCGUCGACAUUAAUAGCAUUCAGCUCCAAAGCCUCCAAAUUUGGCAACUACCUGAAGAUAAUUUUCUCUUUAGAUCCAAUAUCCGUAUGGAAAGCACUUGUUUUGACACAAUAUCCAUAUAAGAAGCACUUAAUUAAGAGCUUAAUUAGCGAGUGUAUGAGACUUUUUUUUUUUUCAAAUGCCAGUGCAUGAUAGAACUAAAAAAAAAAAAGAAGCAUUAGCCUACGUACCUUCUCGUUGAAAAGCAGAGUUGACGUUUCCGAACUGAUCUCGUUGGAACUGGCUGUCAAUUCCUCUUGCGACUCUUGUCUGUUUGGUGAUGUGGAAGAAGUCUUCACUUCACCGCAAAACCUUGUAACCUUUGGAAGCUUUCCCAGACUCAAAGAUCUUAAUUGACCAAACUCUAUCUUCCCAUCAACAUCAACAUCAGCUUCUCCUCCAGUUGCAAAAAUCUCUUCCAUGCUGCUGCAAUUGAUAACUGCAAUCCUCUCCAGUCUUGGAAGGCAUUUUGUACUACUAGAGAGCCAGAAGAUAUUACUCAACUCAUCACAAUUUUCUACUUUUAUGGUUUUGAGUUCAUUGAAGGACUCUAUUUUGAGUCGGAUCAAUACAUAUCCUCUCCAUAUUGAUCAAAUUUUGAAGAGUAUGGGACUCCAAAAGAGGAAAGGCGACACAUGGUUCUCUCUCCAUUGAAUCGACGAUACACAGGAAGUCUGGAUUAUUUUGAACAUGGAGAUGCUUCAAUUGUGAAAAGCCCUCAGUGUCCAAUUCUAAAACAACAUUCUUGAUUCCUUGCAACUUAUCCAAACAUAAGUAUUCAACGUUAUUGAUGCGCUGCAACUUCUCGGAGCAAAUGGCCAUAGAAUCAAGCUUGAGCUUCAAUGUUCUUAAACUCUCAUGAUUACUGAUCAUAAAGUGCUGCCGACUUUCAAACCAAUCAUUCUCAAUAACCAGGGUAGAGUCGAAUGAUGCAUCUCCUAUUGAUAUAUCAAACCUUUCCAGCUUUUUGGAAAAAAAGCCAUCCGGUAAAAUUGCUAUCAUUUUUAACAUCUAUCUAAGGUGGUCAAUCGCCUCAUAUGCAUCAAUUCGUCGAGGGUGGCAUUACUUCUUUCACUAUUGGCCUUUUCAACUUCCCAUUCAAUAGGGAAUUACCCAUAUACAGUUCUUCCAAUCGAGUGAAGCUUGAUAAGACGUUGGGCACAAUAAAUUUUAGUUGCAAACAAUCUGUUAAAUCUAACAGCCUUAACUUAGUCAGUUGACCUAGUUCGCCAGGCAACCGUACAAUAUCAGAAUUUAAAAAGCUAAGGAUUUCUAGAUUCUUCAAACUUUCCAAUUAUGGCUAUGUCUCCCAACAUGCUUUGAUCUAGACAGAGUGUUUGAAGAUUUGCUAGAAGACCGAUUGAAGAUGGCAAUGAAAAUAAUCGCAUUCGUGUCAAAUCUACAACUCGAAGCUUUUUCAGCCCUUUGAAAAUGUUGUCAGGAAUAUUGACCUCAACAAAAGUGUUUUGGGAAAUAUGUAAAAAUUCAAGUUGCAGACAUUCAAAUUCCUCAGAAACUUCAUGAAUGCUACUAUUUAGUAAAGAGAUUGCAUAGCAUUUUUUUAAGUGCAUCCUCAUCUGGCCACUCCCACACAGCCUCAUUUCUCACCAAUAAAGCAUGUUGGUCUCGAUUUAAACUUUAACUCAAUUUGAAAAACUGAGCAAGUAUGCGUUACAGGAAAUCAAAAAAGCUCCACAUACCCAGAUCAUGAUCUCACGUUGAAUCCAGGUGGGAGAUAUAUUUAUGAUCAAGCCCAACAUCGAAGGGGGCAAAAAAAAAAAAAAAAAAAAAUCUACCAGACAUAUGAUCAUAUUGACCACGAGCUUCAUACGCCGUGGAUUUAUUAACAAAAAGUGGGAAUUAAUUAAUCAUGAGCAUGUGUUCUAGUUAAGUCAAAAGAGAGACUUAAUUAAGAACGCAUAUAUAAUUCAUAAUCAGCACAUAAAAAGAUCACUAGUGCUUGCCCCUCCUGCCCUUGCCGUGCUUGCCGUGCUUGCCCCUGCCCUUGCUCUUUCCAUGCUGGUAGUAGCCGCCGUGCUUGCCGUGUGUGUAUGCACCGUGAGCUCCAGGAUAUGCGUUAUUAUCUGCAACAAAAUAAGAAAUUAAAUCAUAAGCUUAUAAUUAGCUCGCUCGCUAAGAGUGAUUAAAAUAAUACCGUGCGGAACGGAUGGGCCAGGAUAUCCCGUUGGUGUGUAACCACUGGCGAGUGCUGCUCCUGUAGGCGGGUAGCCGGCACCGGCUGGGGCAGCAUGAUCAGCACCUUCCAUGAUUUUGAUGAUCACCUAAUAAAUAAUAACUUGGUCCAAAAUAAACAACAAUAAAUAAUUGUGAUUAAUAAAAAGUAAUAUAUUCUCUAAUUAAAACAUUAAUGAUCAUUGGAGAGCAAGCGAGAAAUACUUACUGAAUGCGAUGGGACAGACAACAUCAUGCAUAGAGAAUUGUUCAUCUUCAACGAAUUUGGCUGCCCGGUCAAUGAUGCCGUUAGCACUAACCAGCCACUUCUCAACCUUCUCUUCAAUCUCUUCCCCUUUUUCUUUUGCCUCUGAAACUCUGCGCCGAAUGCUCGUACGUUCAACCUUCAACUUCUCCAUUUCCGUCUUGAGAUUCUCAAGGUUGGCAUUGUAGUUCCGCUUGCGCAAAUAAACAAGUUGGCGUUCUGUUGGAGGAGCCAAGCAUUUUACAAGUUCCAAAACGAGAGUAACAAUGAUUUCCAGCAUCUUGAAUCCUGACAACAAUGUAGAAGUGAAGAAGGCCAAAGGACAGUCAAAACAGAGAGACAGCGUUACGACAAGCAGUUAUGGAGCUAAAAAUAAAUAACAAACAAACAGAAGCAAAGUGUUUUUCGAAUGAGAAGAAGGAAGCAAGAAAAACUUAAAACUAGUAUAAUAAAUUUAUACUAAAACUAGUAUAGUAAAACAAGAAGUCAAGAACCAGCAACUUUUACACACAAAAUAAAACCUUAAAACUAGUAUAAUAAAUUUAUCAUCAAGUUGCAGCCUUCUUAUUCAACAAUUACAGCAUUAUCUUGAGCUCUGUGUUUCUUUUUUUAAAAAUUAUUCAAAAAAAUCUGCAUUUGUUUUUCAACGAUAAAAAUUAUAUUUUUGUCUCAUAUAAUAUAAAAUUAAAAAAAAAAACAAACAUAUAUUAAAGGUCUGUUUGGGAUUAUUUUUAGAGGCUCAAAAGUAAUUUUAAAAAGUUAAAUGCUAAUUUUGGUAUUUAAUAAAAUUUUUAGAAGUCACCUUUGGUAAAAUCAUCAAUCCUACAACAAAUUUUGAAAGCAAAUAGUUUUUCAAAUUUUUAUUUUGAUAAUUAAUUUUAUACUUAAUAUAAUUCCAUAUACAUCCCUACAUAUAUUAAUUAUCCUUAUUAAUUAGAAAAUAAAAUUAUUAACUUUAAAGAUAUUAUCAACAAUUACAUUGAGAUAACAAACUAAAAAUAAAAUUAAUAAUAUAAAAUAUUUAUUUUAGUAAUCAAUUAUUAUACUUACAAGAUAAAAAAUAUUUUAUUUAAAUGUUUAUAAAUGUACAAAUAAAUUUUAUUUAAUAUUAUAUUCAAUUUAGUCAUUUACAUUGUCAAUAGGACUUCUAAAAAUAAAUUUUCCUAAAUGUUUAACUAAUUCUCUUCAUAGUGAUUAUUUCCAAACAUAACUACCAAAAAUUACUAUAAUAGAUACAACAUUACCAAAAAAAUAUUGAGAUAGAUUUUAAUUAGGUAAUUGACUUAAUUAUGAAUCAAUUUAUUAUUUCCAUAUGUGUUAUCAAAACCAGCUCAAUAAUGAGAUCACUCUUUUUCUUAAAUAAAAAUAUUUGUGCCAAACAAUUGUUGCAAAAUUUCAAAUAUAAAUUACAAACAACAAAAUUUUCUAAAAUCAUAACAAUAAUUUAUGUUGUGAAUACAUGUAACUAAACCACAUUGAAAUUUUAUUGUUAGUAAAAUUGUUUUUCACGCAAAUGCAGUGACGGAUUCAGUUUCAUGUUUCACCCUCAAUAACUUAAUUUUCAUAUCUAACAAAUCAUCCAUAUUAUUAACAAUAUCAUCACCAAACAUAAUCUACCUAAACAUAAACUAAACAUAACACAUACAUAUAACUAUAUACAUACCGAAUCAGGAAAACAAUGAAAGCUACACGUAUCCGGCUCUACAAUUCCUUCUUGAUACCCUUGUGCUUCUGAAAUAAUCAACCAAUUAUAAAAAUUAGCUUAGGCGCAACUUUACCCCUUUUUUGGAAAACUUAACGAUAAAUAAAGUAUACAAAUCUCUAAAUUAACUUCGUCCCCAUGAAAUUCAGCAUAAAUAGAAAUAGAAUUAUAGAAACCUUACUACCUUUUAUGAGAAAUCCAACUUAUAUAUUUGAGACCUCUCUCUCUAAACACGCGCUUCCUCUCUCUGUACACUUUCCACCUUUGAAUUUUCCUUCACUAAGUCUACCUAAAUGAAUUUAGCAUUCUUCCAGUUUCUUUAGCAUUUUUUCUCCGUGAAAAUAGGUGAAAAAGAGAAAGUGGUUUGAUUAUUUUAAUGUAUGACAGAUCUGGUUUCCAUCUCUGUAAUUUAAGUUUGUCAAAACGAGAUAAUCAACUCUUUGUCGAGUCAGUCAAAUAUAAAAGACAAAUUACUAAACCAAGCAGAGCCCAAAAAAAAAUAUUUCCAAUUAAAUAAUCAUCAAGUCUUUUUCAAUUAAAUUAGGGAGUGCAGAACAACUGUCGAGAGAUAAUCAUUGUUUAUGGAGCCAUAUUAUAUUUUCGAUUAAAAUAGUUGCGCGUGAACAAUUGGCAGAAUUCGUAUAAAUUGUUGUCAGGUCUAUUAUAAUUAACAAGCGGAAUGGCCAAUGGAUGAAGAACCACUGUAAUUUCGUUUAUGAAUUCAAAAUGCUAAAGAAACUGGACAUCAACGCUAAAUGUCAGCCUGCGGCCCUUGCCUCAGUGUCUUUCAGGCGUUACUCUGGGUAGUUGAUAUACUGACCGUCCCUUUAUCAAUUAAUAAUCGAAAUAGGUUAAAAUAUGAAUGGAUUGGAAUGGUAUGACUUGGAAUUAAAAUAUGGAAUGACGAUUAGAUUAAUUAAUUUAUUUAAAUUGAGAAAUUAGAAUCAUAAUAAAUUAUAUUGUUAUUGAUGUAUUUGUUUUAUCUUAAAAUUGCGAUGAGUUGUUACAAAUUACUAAUAUGCCUUUGAUUUUGUAUUAUGAUAAUUAUUAUUUAUUAUAACAUUUGUCAUAUAAUAAUAAUAAUAAUAACAACAACAACAAUUAAUAUUGAAAAAUUUUUAUUGUUAAUAAUAAAUAGGCAAUUAUCCACCGAUCAUGUGAUCUUUUGGACGUUUUAAAAAAUAUACAAACACUUUUUUCUUUGCAGAAAUCCACCUGAAAUUUACAAAGUGUUUCAAUUGUUCACUGUCAUCUAAAUUUUGUUAGAAUUUUCUUGACGUUGUAAGGAUAAAAUUGUUAUUUUUACCUUGACUUCCAAAGAGGAUGUCUUUCAAACAUGAUGAAAAUAAAAAAAAGGAUAAAAAAUUAUCUGUAAACUAUCUGAUCUUUUAGCCAUUAUACAAAAUAUUAAAAAAAUAUACGAACAUUUUUUAUUUUUUUCAACAAUCCAUCUGAUAGUUAUGAAGUGCAUUAGUGCUCCACUACUAUCAUAACCCUUUAAAAAUAUCGCUUAAACACGAGAACCUAUUGCCUAAAAUUAUUUUUCAAGAAAAUGUAACUACAGAUUUGGUUUUGAUCUUCAUGACUUUUAAGUGUACAAGAACAAGAUGAACGAACCUUUGUCGAGUUGAUGAAUUAAGAUAAAUCAAUUACAAAUCGAGAACAAACUUACGGGUGACAUUUUAGUAUUAAGCAAACUAUAAUUGAUCAUCCAAUGAUAGGCUUAUUUUCAAUUAAAUUAGAGUAAAGAUAGACAUUCCAAAUUUUUUCUCUCAAAUUUAAUCCUAGAUAAUGUGUUAUUAAUUGAGUGCUUGGUAAUUCUUUCAAGAUCUAAGUGAAUUAAUUAUAUUAUCUCUCCAACCAAUUGAUGAAUAUUAUAUUAUUUGAGAUAAUUUUUUUUUAUCUCAAAUCCCAGCAAAGAAAACAGAACAAACGGAGCAAAAAUAUUUUUAGAAACCUAAAAUAACAAAAAAAAACUUUUUCUUGUUUUUCUUAUUUUCCACUGUUAAACUUCAAAAUGAACAACUUUAUUCUACCAUCUCUCAAAUAAUAAUAAUAACAACAAUGUCAUCAUCAUCAAUAAUAAUAAUAAUAUAUUAACUUUGUAGGAUGGAGCUCUCGCAAAUCUUCAAGACACAAAAUGUGCUUGACCCCAUUGUUGUUAUUAUAAUUUCAAAAUCAUCUGUAUUAUAUAAUAUUAGGGAAUAUGACAUAGCAAAAUUGAUGGUACAUAUGUUGCAAUAUACUUGUUCAUGUGGCGACACAUUGAAGUAAAGCACAAGCAAAACAACGAAAAAUGUAACGGGAGAGCUCUCAUUAUGUAGAUUUUCAAUAGAAGUAAUGCAAAUUUCACAAGGGCAAUGGCCUUAUUUCGAAUGCUGCACCUGAGGAAUGACUUGAAUCUUCUUUAGAACUCAAGCAUUCUGUAAUCAUAGGGUAUAACAUUUCAACAAAAAUAUUAUAUAGGUCGUUCCUUUAUAUAUUUUCUGGGUACACAUACAGAAAUAUUAUUUUAGGUACAUUUCUCACAAUAAAGCCUGCCCAAUCUAGCAUUUUCGUAAGUUGGGUUUCUUAUUUACAUGUUUUUUCCAUUGGUUAAUUAUCACAAACCUCCACUGAGAUUUAGCAUGUUUUUAGUUUGAUAGAUUGUAUUCGCGUAUUCUCAAAUACCUUUUAGUUUACCACUUCGUAUAAAUUAAGUUGGUGAGGAUAAAAUCAUAAAAGUACACAUUAAUGAUAAAAAAAUUCAAGUAAACUUGAAAUUUUCAAGGGGUAAUUUUUCGGGACCUCCCCUGAGGUUCGGUGUAUUAAAAGUCUCAUAGAAAGUAUUCAUGUAAUUAUAAGAACCUCCCCUGACGUUAGUACACAGUUAACUUGACUGUUAGUGGACUGAUAAAAAGUCAAAAAUGCCAUUGGCUACAAAAAUGAGUGCAACAAUUUGGAGUUAAAUAGUAAACACCACAUUGGAGCACUAAAAAGUCUAUAAUAAUCAUGGAAAAAAAUCAUUGACAUUUACAUAAUAUAAAAAAAAAAAGUAAAAUAUAAAUUAAGAAAAUCAACAAAAUUGUCAACGUAUAGAAUAUUUACAGCAGCAGUGGCUAUAAAUACAACCGUCGUCAAAUUAAAAUAUCACCAUUAGUAAACUACUUCAAUAAGACAAUAAACCAUGAUUCACUCUUCAAAGCAUUCAAAAUACACAACCCGCACAAUAGAAUCACAUACGCACACCUGCUAAUGAAAUAUAAGAACAAACAGGAAAUUGAACUGACAUGGCUAAGAUACUCCUUCCCCAUAGCUAUUAGAAAGAUAAUGAGCGAUUUAUGAAUCAUGAUGCUUGCUUUACUUUCUGGCAGUGUUAGCUUCAAAUUCAAUGAUAGUAAAUGAACAAUGGUUCAUUCAUUAUGAAAGUAAGUGUAAAGCUAGGAAUUUAUAAUAUUCAGAUGUUGGAAUUGGAAAAAUAUUCCUUAAUCGUUUCAAUUGAAGCCAAGGAAGAAAAGAAAUGAGUCUUCUUUUUUCAGGAGACAAGCCAUAUGAAGAAGGCAGACCAGAGCAUAAGAACGAAUGCUACUGCCACAGUAAAAGCCUGGAUCAAUGGGUAAUGGUACCUGCCAUGUCAAUUUCAAGACAAACAAAAAUCAAUUAUCAUCCCCAGACCACAACACCACCAAACCAACCUUUUGAAUCUAAAAUAACAAGUUAAUAAAUCAAAGAUUUCAAUUCAUUUAAGUUUGAAAUCAACUAAAAUAGAAAAAAAAAACCCAAUUUCUUUUUUGUUCAAUAUAACUCAUUCAGCAUCUUCUUCAACACAUUUUUAUCAUUCUUCAUCAUCACAACAAUAAAAAGAAAAAAAAAACAUUGAGUCCAACAUGCAAGUUUUUUUUUUGGGAAACUAACCGUUUUUAGGUUCCAAUUCUAGUAGUCUUAAACAGUAGCCGCCGACGAAAUUCGCUUGGCGACACCCUUUUGCCACCAUUGCAGCUUGUCAUGUUCAUACUCAGCUUAAAAUUACUUGAAGGCAGCAGGGAUUUUAUAGUUACAAAAGUUUCUUCAGAGCUUUUCAAGCUUGAAAAUGGCUGAGAGUUUCAUUUCAUGAGAGAGAAAAUGGAGUUUUCAUUCAUCUUAGAUAAAUUGAAGAUAAUUUGCAUUGUGGGUAAUAAAUUGAUUGUCAGUGCCUAAAUUUGGGUCAUCGACACAACUUUGGAAUUUUUUUUAUUUUUCUUUGAUUUUUAUUAUGAAACUACUAAUUUACCCUCAUAUACUAACAUAUAUGAAAUGGCAUACUAACGUCAGUUAUGUCAAGCAGCUCCCUGUAAUUACGUGAAUAUUUUUCAUGAGACUGUCAAUACACAAAAUCUCAGGGGAAAUCCCUAAACAUUACCUAAUUUUUAAGUUGUGUUCUGAAAUUGGUCUCAACUUUGUAAUGUGUAAUGCCCACAAAAAAAGAAAAGGAAAAAUGGUCAUCUCUUUCCUCCAUUCGAACUGAAGCCAUGAAACGCAAUAUCCCUUUCAUCUUCUCUCUAAUGCUUUGAUUAAAAAACUUGCUUACGAACGGGAGACCAUGACACUGAAUCCGAAGACAGAAAUACCUGAGAUGACUGAUUCACGCCGGCGAUGUGGAAGAAUACCGACCAGUGACUUUCGCCGUCGACCCACAAACAAUCCCAGUGUUUUCGAGCCGCGAAUGAGGUAUGAAUAAGAUUAUUUCCGUGCGUGUCAGUUUUGUAAGGAGAUUUGAUUAAAAAAAAGAAUAAUGGGUCUCGAAAAUUUUUUGAGUAUUUCUGUUGCUUAAAUUUUUUUCCAUCGAUUAAUGUUAGUUGUAGGUGAAUGAUUGUUGCAAACGCAUGUUCGCUUGUGAUUGAUUGAAAAUGACUUGUUAUUUGUUAUGCUGCCAUGUGACUCAUUGAAAAUGCCUCUGAAAUUUUUUUAUUUGUUUAAGGUACUGAUUCUGAUUAUUGAACAGGGAUUCAUGCUAGUUUUUAUUAAAUUAAAGAUGAGAUUAUUUUUUAAGAGAUCUACCAAACCUUCUCUACUAUAGAUUUGGCUUCUGACAUACCUGGUUCGCUGGAGAUAAUUGUUUAUAUAGUCAUUGCUGCUCGUAUUAAUCAGGAACAUUGAUUAGCAAUGUACUGGAAUAGAGAUUGGUAUAAUUUUGGAAAAUUAGUCGUAGAUGCAACCUGAUUAUGGUCUCAAAUAGUGUGAUCUGUCAAUUCCGUUUGCUCUAGCCUAACAACCUUGAAUCUGAGCUAUGCCACUAUACAAAGUCCUGACCUAAUCAAGCUUGUUAGCCAAUGUCCAAAAUUGCAGUGUCUUUAGAUAAGCCCUGUCUUACUUGUUUGAGUUAUAAAUGAAAAUUGAAGUGUCUUUGGAUAAUCACGCUGAAUGUUCAAGUUAUUGAAGAGAAGGGACCCCCAGAUUCAAGGCCGGAGCUCCCUGUUGAGAAGCUUUACAUAUAUGGGAUUGUCGCUGGGCGGAGGAUCGAUAUGCCCGGUUUUGUUUGGAAUAGGGAUGAAGAUUUUGCAUUGAGGCUUUCUUGAUAGAUCAUUCUGCAAAUCAAGCUCCAUGUACCUAUCUUCAGACUCUUGGAUAUGUAUAAAGCAGGUGCAUGCUCUAUAUGUUACUCAUUGUAUCACGAUUAUUUUUCUAUUGCUUAAAAUAAUUGCAGUCCUUGAUGUAGUUGGAGACAACUUAUGGAGGGUAUACAGAGGCUCGAGAGUUUGAUUGCCAUUCAUUUGACACUUGGCUGAGCUACAGCAUACCAACUAGUGAUUAAUAAAGAGAAGGUAUGAAGGUCCUGUUGCUGGUGGUAUUAUCAAUCAGAAUUGUUAUUUUACUUAGUCAUAGUUACCAUGUAUAAGAUUCGUAGACUUUUUGCAUGUUUAUGCAUUCGCAUCAUCUUUUUGUUAAGCUAGAGAUGGUUGAUUUGUGUACUCAUUUGUAUCACUUGUAGCCCUUGAGGAAUAAAAUUUAAAAUUUUGUUGCAUCUCCUGUACUAAAUACUAAUUUUGUUUGCUUUAUGUAUGGGAAAUGGUUCAUUAUCUUAUUUCUUUGAUGUGUAUAGUGUUACACUGUCUAAAGUUGAAAAGUAUUUCUAUCACUUGUGUAAAAAACAAACAAUUUUUUUUUCACUCUUCUUAUAUUGAAUAAAAGAAGGACACCAAGAUCUUCACCAAGAUUGAACGAAAUUUGAUGCAGAAAGCAUAGCAAUUAGGCCAGUGCAAAAUAGCUUCCUUCUGAUUCUCUGAUAUUUGACUUAAAUCUUUUGUUUGUUUCAUUCAUCAAAGUCAUUUUGGAAAGUAGCAGGCGUGAUUUGAUAUUUUCAUUGUAUUCACAUCCGUUGGCACCAAAACAAACAUGCUGGUACUAACCAACAAUUUUUUAUUUUUAGUGUACAAAUUAUUAUUUUUAAGACAAAUAAGCUGGUACUAACCAACAAUAUUUUAUUUUCAGUAUACAAAUUAUUAUUUUUUUUUCUAAAUUAGGGGUAUUAAGAAAAGGUAUGCUAGCACCAGGGGAGGUAUUUGAAAAUAUACAAAUACAAUCUAUCAAACUGAGAAUACACCGAACCGGCAGGUUUCUGAUAAAUCCUUUUUUUCUUUUUCCUCCAUUCACUAUAGGUUCAAUUUAGACGCUGUUGACCAAACAGAAGGUUUGGGUUGGUAAACGCACUGGUGUUAAUGCCAACAACCCAAGGGGCUUCAUGGUCCUCUGGGCCGAAAUAGCGUAAUUAUUAAUUCUCCUCCAGUGAAAAUCUUCAUCUUGGGACAAAUAAUUACGAAUUGACAUUAUAGCUGUGGAAAUUUGGAGGUGUAAUAACCGGAAAAGUAAAAAUCUUAAGAGACUUUUUAAAUAAAAAAGAUACAACACCUUCAAUUUGCUAAAAGUAAUGGUAUCAUUUCUUGUACGGAUAAUGGAUGAUUAGAUUUUGUUUUUUGUUAUCCGACGAAGGAUAUUCAGUUGUUCUUUAUGUGUUCACAGGCAAGAGCAUGAGCAUAUUCAUGGUUUCAUAUAUGCUUCUUGCAUUUUCUAAUUAAGUACUCUCUUUCCUUGCCUUCUUAGUUUUGAAAGAAAGAUGUGAAGCAAAGCAAACCCAGUGAAAUAUACAGAGAAACAGAACCAUCAGAGGAAAAACUAAAUAACAGAACCACAAUUGAACCAAACAAAAUCAAAUAAACCGAGGCAACGGAUACCCUGAAUCAGGCAUCCCUUUUUCUCGAAAGAAAAUAUGUUUGCAUGGGUGGGAACCUAAUAAUUACUCAAGAGUUGGAGUUGGAAAGAUUUGGUAUUCAUAUCUUCACAAUUCAUAAGCUUUAAUGCAGAAUCGACAGCUUUAUAUUAAUUUAUUCAACCAAAAACGAUAAAGUAGGAAAACCACAAUAAUCCACCAACUUUUGCUACUUUUAGGAAUAAUUUUUAGUCAACUUUCAAAAAGUGAGAUGACGAUCUUUGAGUUGAUAAAUCUUGGCCUGCUGCUUAGUACCCUUCCAACAUAUAAAGUACUAGAUGUUUAGCUGAGAAAAUGACGAGAUCAUUUAUCAAAUUUCUUGCGCAUAUAUACAUAUAUAUACAAGAAAUAAGAAUCAGAGUGAUUAUAAGACCUUGCAAUGAGGCAAUAAUACAUCAUCAAAUCUAAAAAUACACAAGAAAUUCGUGACGUAUAUAUAACAAUAGACCUCUCAUUGAGUCAUACAUAUUGAGAAUAAAAUGUCAAAAUGCAUACAAAGAGCUUAUACAGAAAAUGAAUUUACACACAUUUAGAAUAAACUGUCUUUGAACUUCCGAUGGUCAAACAAAGGAAACAGACAGGAAAUGACACACACUAUCAUAUAUGUAGCGACACGAUGAAGUAAAUCACAUGAAGAUGGAAACGGAACCCCUCACAACAUAAAAUUUGAAUAAAGGGGGAAAAAAAGGCUUCAUUUCAAAUGUUGCACAGAAGAAGAGUGACUUGAAUCUCCAUCAAUAUCCAAACAUUCUGCAAACAUAGUGCUGAGAAUUUUAACAAGAAUAACUGUAAUAUCCCAAAUCUCCUAAGGGUAUUUAAGUCUUUUUAAUUUUUAGUGAUCCUUUUUACCCUAGUAUAAAUAGAACAAGAUGUCUUUUUCAUUAUAAGAGAGAGAGAAAAAGAGAGAUCGGUUGAAAAAGAGAGAUGGAGAGACAAGAGAGAAAAGAAAAGAAAAAAAGAGAAGAAGAAAGUCUUCUUCUUCUUCUUAGUUUUUGCCAUAGACAACACAUGGGAUCAAGUUGUUAUUGUUGGGAGAAGUUUUGGAGGUACGUUUUAAUUAUUGGUUUCUAUUAAAUUGUUGUGGAGAAGCAUGAUUGUAAUAGAAGUAGAAAUCAAAGAUUUUACAUAAAUAUGCUGACAGCGAAUUAUUACAGAAAUCAUAGUAAUUUGUACAAAUUGAUUUUGAUUCUGAUUUUUGGGUAUGUUAAACUAGACAUCGUCUAGAAUGUUUUGAAACUUGUUUCAAGUUAAUCGGAUAAGAUUUCAAUUAAUUAUGAUUUUUCAAAUUCAAGUCUGAAAACCUGGAAAUUUAUGAUUUCAGUGAAUAACGUGAAUUACGAAAUUAUUUUUACCAUAGUUAGACUUCUUCAAAAAUUAUGAAAUUUGGACCAAUGCUUUUUAUAUAUGUCUAGUAUGAUUCUGGAAAUUUUCAUGAUUUUAUGAUAAAGCAAUAAAUUGUUUUGUAUUUGUAAAGCAAGUGUGUUCAAAACAGAAAACUGUUUGACAGUAUUGAUGAUGUCUGAAACGUGAAUUAUUUUCAAUAGUUUUUGAAGGAAUUAUGUUAUGAAUUAUGCUAAUCUUCUCUGUAUCGUUCCAAUUUUAUUGGAUGGGAAUUGCUCUGAUACCAUUUGAAACACCCCAGUCCGAAAUCCAAGGGCAAAUAUGUCCACAACUCACAUAUGAUUUAAAUAACUCUUUACAACUGAUAAAAUUCGAGCCUCAAAUACAAAAGCCAGCGGAAUAACUUAAAAACUUAACCAAACCAUCUACUAUCCUCAAUUCAAAACCAUCUUCUCACUCAUCACGAAUCAAUCCUGACUUCUGAAAAUUGAAUCACAAUAAACUAUAAUGAGUACAAAACCCAGUAAGCAAACUAGUUUUUCUUAUACGGAAAAUACAUACAGACUUAUACAUAAUGCAAUGGUUGAUAUGUCAUGAUCUUUUGGAAAUACUGUAAAAUAAAUUCAUAAAAAUCUCUUUCUGUCGCUUUCAAACUUUCUUAUUUUCUUUCGAUGAAAUACGUAUCCUACAAUGUGGCACUUUGUGCUGUACGUGGCACUUUGCGGCGCCCUGGCCCUCAAGAGGUGGCCCCCGCAUAGUCCCAAGAGGUGACCCCCACACAACUUCAAGAGGUGGCCCCCAAUGCAAAAUCUCAUAAAACAUAAAUUCUGUUUGCUAAAAUCCACUUUCUCAUUCGUAGAAAACUCAAUGCAUUUUCGUGCUCAUGCCAAUGAACCAUCACACAUACAUAUGCCCAUGUACAUAAUCACGCUCAACACAUGCCAACACAUCACAUAAACACAUGGGCAAAGACAUCUAAAUCCAUAUCCGUAUAUAUAUCAAAAUAUGCUUUUCACACAAGUCAAACAUAUAUAUUGUUUAGUGUGAUUCGUUUUAAAGUCUAGUUUACUUACCUCUUGGCAUCCUCAUGUAACAAAUGCGUACUGAUACCAUUAACCUAAAAUCAUCAAUAACGCCUCAUAAGAUAUAAUCAAAUCUCAAUCACAAACUGUAAUGUCCUCAAAUAUCUCAAUUUAAACAACUCCUAAGCUCAACCUCAAAUGUCCUCAAUAAUCGGCCCUCAAAACAUAAAUCCUUUACAAAUACUCUUUAUCAGUUGUAAAGAGUUAUUUAAAUUAUAUGUGAGUUGUAGACAUAUUUGCCCUUGGAUUUCAGACUGGGGUGUUUCAAAUGGUAUCAGACCGAUUCCCAUCCGAUAAAAUUGGAACGAUACAGAGAAGAUUAGCAUAAUUCGUAACAUAAUUCCUUCAAAAACUAUUGAAAAUAAUUCACGUUUCAGACAUCAUCAAUACUGUCAAACAGUUUUCUGUUUUGAACACACUUGCUUUACAAAUACAAAACAAUUUAUUGCUUUAUCAUAAAAUCAUGAAAAUUUCCAGAAUCAUACUAGACAUAUAUAAAAAGCAUUGGUCCAAAUUUCAUAAUUUUUGAAGAAGUCUAACUAUGGUAAAAAUAAUUUCGUAAUUCACGUUAUUCACUGAAAUCAUAAAUUUCCAGGUUUUCAGACUUGAAUUUGAAAAAUCAUAAUUAAUUGAAAUCUUAUCCGAUUAACUUGAAACAAGUUUCAAAACAUUCUAGACGAUGUCUAGUUUAACAUACCCAAAAAUCAGAAUCAAAAUCAAUUUGUACAAAUUACUAUGAUUUCUGUAAUAAUUCGCUGUCAGCAUAUUUAUGUAAAAUCUUUGAUUUCUACUUCUAUUACAAUCAUGCUUCUCCACAACAAUUUAAUAGAAACCAAUAAUUAAAACGUACCUCCAAAACUUCUCCCAACAAUAACAACUUGAUCCCAUGUGUUGUCUAUGGCAAAAACUAAGAAGAAGAAGAAGACUUUCUUCUUCUCUUUUUUUCUUUUCUUUUCUCUCUUGUCUCUCCAUCUCUCUUUUUCAACCGAUCUCUCUUUUUCUCUCUCUCUUAUAAUGAAAAAGACAUCUUGUUCUAUUUAUACUAGGGUAAAAAGGAUCACUAAAAAUUAAAAAGACUUAAAUACCCUUAGGAGAUUUGGGAUAUUACAAUAACAGACAAAAUAUUGUGCUUAUAUACUUUUCACAAAACUAGACCAAAUCAGUUCCCUUUUUGGUUUGUGAAAACUUGAUAUUUUUGAAAAUUCUAUCCAAUGCUUUCAAACAAUAUUUCCACAAUAUAGUUGUUCAUAGCUAACCUUUGAUGGUGUAAGGAUUUGUUGUAGGCAUAAUGGGCUAAUUAUAUAUAUAUAUAUAUAUAUUUUACCCGCUGAAUGAUAUUCAGCUUCUUAAUUAUGUGUUCAUAGGCAAGAGCAUUUUCUUAAGUACUUUCGUUGCCUUCCAAGUUUCCAAAGAACAAACAGAGCAGAAACAAAUAUAACGGAACAGCAAUGAUGACAAUAAAUGAUUGGCAAAGAAAGAAAGAAAAAAGUUCGCAUGAUUUCAAGGAAUUAUAAUAUCUGAAGACAUUCAACAUGCAAGUGUUGCCCCUUUUAAUGAAAUUUCAUCAUAAAAUGCUUGCAAGGAAUUAUAAAAUUUUAGAGAACAAGCGAAUUCUCAAACAAAAUACUCAAAUUAAAUUAAAUUAGACCAAAAGACAAUCAAUGACGCAAAAUCUUCCCAUAAAAGCCUGAACGAAUCAUGAAAAGUGCAUUCCAUAUUGACAGUAAACCAAGUGACCCAUUCUAAACAAUUGAGAUGAAAUUGUGAAACAACCCACGAGAUCAAAUAAAUAAAAUAAGAAUUAAUUACCAGCUGGGACUUUCUUCUUCAAAUUCGUAACUCCAAGUCAUAAGAAGCCUAUGAAAUUAGUCGUAAUCCACAGAGUAUGACGACGACCCCGCCAACAGCUGAAAAUAAAAUUCUUAUUCAUUAAUUUAAACUAACUUUAUAACAAAUAUCUUAUCGAUAUUUUAUUUAAAAAGAAAAAGCAAAUUUUGUAAAAUUUUUCCAUGGGAGAUAGAGAGUAACAUGUAUAUCCGUACCUUCUCAGCAUGUAAUUGUUGUAUGGUCCUGUUAAGAUCAUUAUUAGCCCAGCGCCGUUGAAAACCCGCUGUCUCUCCAUACCAGACAUUUACUCUAGGAGGCGUGCUUGAUUCUCCUGUAGUGAAAAUCUUCAAUUUGGGACAACCAAUCACCCACAACGCUUGCAAAGAUGGGAAUUUGAAGGUGUAAUUGGCAGAGGAAAAACUUGUGAGGCUAUCUAAAUCACUCAGUUCCAACGUCUUCAAUUUGCGGAAAACAAUCUCUUUACUGCUCUGCCCCCACAUAAUAAAGUAGCAUUAGAGUACUAGACAAGCUCACCACGUCUAAGCUAAGCGGAGAAUAGACUUCAUCAACAACGCUUUCGUGAAUAUGUGUUGCAUUACAACGCUCCAAUGUGAUCCUCAUCCAAUACCCAUUAUUUGUGAUCCUUAUUCCACUGCGUCAAUUACACUCCAGUCCAAUGCUGCCAUCAUUAUCGAACAGUCGAUAUCCAACACUUGCACGAAGAUUCCAAGAGGUUGCCUGGCUGCUGACUUUUAAAUGCUAAGCCUUAUUGUGUCCAUGAUACACCAAACAGAGCAGUCCCGGGUAAUUGCCAAAACUUAGAACUAAACAGUAGCUCAGGUCAGAAAAUCAAAUGGAGUGAUGAUAAGAAGCUGAGGCACACCAAUCGAUUGCCUAAGCCUAACAGCAGAUUGGAGGAAUAUGCAUGGACACAUGCGGCUCGACGUCCACGCCAUGCAACACGUGCAUGAGUAGUGUAAGGCACGUGAGAAUUGAUUUGCUAUUAAUUGGGAGCUGAAUAAUUGAUGAUUUGGAGCUGACCUUUUCAAAAGUUGUUGCUGAUUUGGAAAGGAUCUCACGCAUGAGUUGUUCUUUUCUUUGAUUUGAUAUUUAUUCCAAAAUAAUAAAAGUUGUUUAAAUCAAUAUUAACAACUCGAUCUUGUAAGCUUUGAUUAAGCCUAACUACACGCUACAAAGCAUAAUAAUUAGUUUUGCAUUACAACUAUAAAUAAGCUCCAUCAGUGAAUAAAAUCAUCAUCAGACUUUUAUCCAAACACUACUAGCAAUUGUGGUAGUUCUCACUCUAAGAAGAACAAAUUAUUCACUUGUUAUUUCUACUAAUUCUGACUGGGACCUAUCAAGAUGAAACCAUAAAAUUUGAUUUUAUUGUAUGGUUGAUUUCAUAUCUCUUGCAGUCAUUUCUUAAGAUAAUCAAAUUUUCUCUGGCAUCUUUUGCAACUGUAGAAAUAUCAAUUAUGAUCAAUCAAAACGAUUUCAAAACCUUUCAAUGAGACAUAUUUAUAAUACAAUAUUGUGAAAAUUACACCAAAAUUUUUAUUUAUUAUAUAUUAUUAUCCAACGAGUACACACAAAUGAAUUCGUACAAAUCUAAAAUACUUAGCAAUUUUCAAAUAGAAUUUACCAUGUACUACAAGAAAAUAUGGUAUAUGUGACCCCUAAUGUGAAUGGAAAAGCAGCCAUUACGUAUAUCACUAACUUUGUAACCCCGAUACCUUUUAUGUGACGGCCACACUGCGGUCGCAUAUGUUACUAACCACGUGACGGUAAAGAGCCGUUCGGUAUGCUACUAUUCGCUGGACUCCGUGUUACUAGCCACCAUCGUAUAAUUUAAUCUCCCUUCAUCUUUUGAGUUAAGCUUGUGAUUAUGAGUUUCUUCUGUUACUUAGCUUGUAAUUAUAGAUUUUGAUUUUUUUUUAAUUCGUAUUGUAGCCGUUAUUGUCAAUUUUUGUCCCGCCAGCAAUUUUUUUUUAUUCCUACAAGUUGAAGCCCCUGUGUUCUUGUUCCAUUGGUGAGUUUGCUCACUCAAAUUAAUUUUGUUCUGCGGAAUUUACAAAGUUCAAAUGGAUUCAUUUGAAUUACUAUUGAAUUUAGCUUUAAUUCCAACAUCCAUUCUAAUGUUUUGCUAUUAGAUUUAGUUUAAUUUUAUGUUUAAAGCAUCUACAAUGAAUAGCGGAGCUUGGGUUUUAGUUUCAUUUUCUGGAUAACUUGUUUUAGUUUAUCUUGUAUGCUCACCAAGUGCUUGUUAUAUUGUCUGAUAAGUUAUAUACAUUGCUGAUUCUAUAUUAAUAAUGUUACGUUCUAUUUUCAGAAAUUAUAAUACAAAAGGUUUUACAAUGGCGUGCAUCUACAAACUGAAUUGACUUGUAGAAUAAGAGCUUGGAGUAAAUGAAAGUUCAUAUUGUGUAAGAGCAUGUAGAUGUAAAGCAUCAUUACCAUAUCUACAAAGUGCUUUCAUUAUGUUCAGAUGCUCUUCUUGAACUUUGAAAGGUGCCUCGUUCAAGUCCUAGCUAUAACUACUAGCUUUGAUUAAUUAAGUUCCUAUAUUAGCUGAAACAGAUUUAUUUAAUUAAUUAAUUAUGUACUAAUUAUAUUGAAAGUAUAUGAUUUUUUUUUUAACAUGAAUGACUUCUAAAUGACUUAAAAACCUAAAGGAUGUGUGAAAUAAUGCUCAUUUCACUUGAAUGAGCCUAUUAAUACUUUUAUGUCUAUGAGAAAAAAAUUUAAUAGAAAACUUCAGAGAUGUUUCCAGAUAUUAUCUAGAAUCACAAGAAUCUUAUUCUCACUCUUCAAUCGUUCAUACAGCUUGCUAGCUCUUCUAUAUUCAGCUUCAUCGGACAACUCCAGACCUAACUUCUCUGCAAUUUCCCCUUGAAUCUUUUUUAUCUCUGGAGUUUAUGAAACCUCUGUAAAACCACCCGAUAAAACAGCUUCUUUUCCCUGGCUUGCCUAGCAAACUCCUUCACCAGUGUGGUCUUUCCAAUGCCGCCUAUGCCGUACACCCCAAUAAUGCUGACAUUCGCCUCCGUCAAUGCAUUUUUUAUAGUAACCAUUGCUAGACUUAAGCCAUAUCUCCUCCGGAAUGGUACGGUGGGAAACAGUAUCAAACUUCUUAACUUCUUCUCCAAGUUCAAUAAUGGCCUUCACCUCCGUCUCUGCUUUCUUGCUAAGCUGAUAGCGACUCUUCCAAUUAGGACUCAAGCCCUUGACACAGCGCUUAUUCGUUGACUCCUCAUCUUCAAUGAAUUUGGCUGCCCGGUCAAUGAUGCCGUUCGCACUUGGCAGUAACCAGCCACUUUUCAACCUUCUCUUCAAUCUCUUCCCCUUUUUCUUUCGCCUCUGAAACCCUGCGCUGAAUGCUCGUAUGUUAAACCUUCAACUUCUCCAUUUCCGCCUUGAUAUUCUCAAAGUUGGCAUUGUAGUUCCGCUUUCGCAAAUAAACAAGUUGGCGUGCAGUUGGAGGAGCCAAGCAUUUUACAAGUUCCAAGACGAUAGUCACAAUGAUUUCCAGCAUCUCGAAUCCUGACAAAAACGUAGAAGCGAAGAAGGCCAAAGGAAAGUAAAAACAAAGAGACAGCGAUAGGACAAGCAAUUGUGUUUUUCAGAUGAGAUGAAGGAAACAAGAAAAGGGUUUCUAUCACGACGUAAAGAGCUAAAAGAGCUGAUGGGUACAGAAUAAGAAAUGAGACUGAGGAGUGAGCAAAGCUAAAUAAUAACAGAACAAGAACAAUGACGAAUAGAAGAAACAGUAGCAAAGAGCCGUUUAGAUGAUUAGAAUGAAAUUAAGCGACUGGAAAGAGUGGAUGGUAGACUAAAGAGAAAGUGAUUGAUUAUUUUUGGAGGCCUAUUAACGUAAUGACAGACCCGGUUUCGAUGUUUGUAAUUUGAGUAUGAGGUAAAUCGAUUCUUUGUCGAGCCAGUCAAAUACAAAGGCAAAUUAGUAAAACAAGAGCCAGCAACUUUUACUCACACAUAAGCCAAUAAUAUAUUGAGAUCACGCAACAUUGCAAUAAAGUUAUCAUCAAGUUGUAGCCUUCUUAUUCAAUCAAUUAUAGCAUUUUCUCUAGCUCUGUAUUUUUCAAAAAAAAAAAAUUAUUCAAAAGAUGUCUGUCAUGAAUUUUUCAAUGAUUAAAAUUAUAAUUUUUGUUUAAUAUAUAUAACGUAAAAUUUUAAAAGAAUCAGACAUGCAUUAGGGUAAAAAUAAAAAAUAUGGAGGUAGCUUUUAACUAGGUAAUUGGCUCAACUAUGGAUUAGUGUGAGAUCGCUAUUUUUCUUAUAAAAAAAUAUUCCAGCCAAAACAAUUUUCGCAAAAUUUUAAUAUAAAUUAUAAAAAAAAAAAUUCUAAAAUCAUAGCAAUAAUUUAUAUUUUGAAUACCUGUAAAUAAACCACUUAGAAAGCUGUCGAAACACGAGAACCUAUUGCAGUAUUGCUAGUAAAAUCAUUUUUCAAGCAAAUGCAGUGACAGAUCUGGUUUUGAUCCUCGUGACUUUUGGGUGUAAGUACGGGUGAACGACUGUCUAGUCCAGAACAACUUGGGCGCGACAUUUUAGUAUUAAGCAAACGGAACUUUUUUUAAUUAAAUUAAUCUCAAAGUGAUAGGCUUCUCAUGAAUCAUGUAAUGUUGUCGUUUUUCAAGACAUGACAAUGCACAUCACUUGUUUGUCACAAUGUCCAAAUAAAUAAUUUUUUUUUUUAAAAAAAGUUAUUUUCAUUCUUUCUUUUCAAGUAUCCUAAUUCCUUUAGCAGUUUGAUUCCUCUUUUCCUGAAAUUUGUUCCUUCCAUUAAACUAAUAAUUUAUUUAAGGGUAAUUAAGCGUCAGCCCCCAAUUGUUUAGUAUUUCAUACAGCACACCCACAUCUUUCGACCAUGCGCACCUCUUCCCUAUUUCUGUCAAAAAAUCAACUAUCAACUAAUUGUAACUAUUUAGACUGUUAUAAAUUUAAAAGACUAUACUACCCUUGUUUUGAAUGAAUUGGGUAUAUAAGCACUAAAAUAUCCUUACAACUUGUAAAAUUUAUAUCAAAAAGCAAAAAUUUAUUAUAAUAUUUUUAAAAUUAUAUGGAGACGAUUUUUUUUUCUGGAUUACGAACCCAAGAUUAUAAACCUAGUAAAUUACAAAAUCAGAGGCAAAACAUGAUUCCAAUGUGAAAGAAGAAAAUCAAACACACAUUCAUCAAUACAUUACAAAAUAAGUCCAAUAAUCCCACCAAAACAAAUAAAACCCAAUAAGAAAGAAACCCGAAACUAAUGAUACCAAAAUCCCUGACAACAAAUUUCAUUGUAAAAUUCUAUUACAAAAUAAAUUCAUACUAAGAAAAUUCAAUAAAAAGAAACCCAAUAAUCAACAAUCCUAAAACUAAAGAUAUCAAACCCUAAAUUAAAUUAUAGAGGCGGCGAAGGAAAAAGGGUUUUUUUUAAUUAUAUAUAUUAUUUUAAUCUUGUAUUAAUUACCAUUCUACCCUUCUUUCUGUUAACGUUAGAUUUGAAAGAAAUGGGGGUGGUGGACAUGGUCAGAAGAUUGGGGGCACAAUGCAAAAUGUCGAAACAAUUGGGGCUAACGCUAAAUUACACAUUAUUUAAAUUAAAUUAUCCUAGUUGUAUUUGACUGUGACUGUGACCGGAACCGUUACAAUCACUUAGUAUUUUUAUUAAUUAAUUAACAAUUUGUUUCAUCAUUAGACGGUACUAUGAUAGUUUUGUCACUAUGUUUGUUACCAUCUCUUAAAUCGUGUAACAAAGAUUUCAUGAAAAAUUAGAAAACAGCACGACAUGAUACAAACUUUUUUUUAAUACAUGUAGACCUUAUUUUUUUAAAAUGAACAUACAAACUCUUUUUUAAUACAUGUAGACCUUUUUUUGUAUUUAAAAAUAGUUACACAGAUCCUGAAUUUGUGUGUCCCUCAAUAAAUUUUCAUGAUCAUUUUUUAAAAUAAGGGAUUUUUGUGAUUAUUUUGCCACGUCCAAGGAUGCCGCUAUUCUUGUCACCAAAAAUUAUUCUCAUUAAGAGUCAUGAUUAAUUGGACGUCAGCAAUGAGGGCAUGUAAUGAAAAAAUUUUGUUUUGCAUGGGAUCCAAUAAUUUUAAUUACCAUGGUGGUGACAGACCCAGCUGGAAAAUCAACUGAUUUUAGAAUUCUGUUGAAAAUUCUUUAAAUGAUCACUAUAUCUCUAGUUCGAUUAUAUCCUUAAGCUCAUUGAUUCUUUUGUAUUGAUUUUGUUACUUCUUUUCUAAGUACUUAUAUUUAAGCAUUGAAAUAGGAUUGAAUAGACAAAGACGAUAACUUGAGCUGAAAAUUUUUCAAGUAUGGCGGAGGGGAAAGUGAGAGAGCCGCUAUUGAAGAAGAAAUAUUAUAAGAACUGCUCAGGCUGUAAGGUUGAUAAGCUUAAAGAGUCGGAACGAGGCUUACCAAUUCGUAAGCUUUUAAUUAUUUAAAUGUUUUAUUUAAAUAUAACUAGCAAUUAUUUAAUUAAGGGUAAAAUAUGUAUAUAUUAUAUGCUCAUCAAAUACCCCCAAACUUAGAUUUUGCUAGUCCUCGAGCAAAACUAAAACUUAAAACAAAAAUAAAAAUAACAAAACAAAAAGUAAAUCCUAACUAAACCACUUUCGCAGGUAAUCACGAUUGCAUUUAGCAUAUGCAACAAGCCUUUAAACCCCUAGGCGGCCCUAGUGGACGAGUUAUAGUCUCGUGAGGGCUUCAGUGAUGAUACCCACAAACAUCAUUUUUAAAAAAUAAAAUAAAGAGAACAAAAAAUUUUUAAAUAAAACAUGAAAAUAGCCUCAAAGAUUGCAUAAAUUAUAUAACUCAAAGAAAAUUUCAAAUAUUGGCAAAGUUCUAACUUUAAUUCAAUAAUCAAUCCCAUCUCUCUUUCGAUUCUUGUAGUGUGUGUGUGAAAUCAAUUCAAUCAAAUCCAUUCGCAAAAUCUUCAAUAUCAACAGCCUUCGCCUCAAACAAAGAAAAGAGUAGGUCAAACUAAUCUUAUCAUCUUAAUCUCCAUUUUUUUUUUCACAUGCUUUUAUGUGCAUUUUCUUUUGAUUUUUUUUUUGUUCAGCACAUGCACUUGGUUUUUUUCUUCUUUUUUUCUCAACCAUAGUCAGGAGCUUUCACUCUACCCCUUAAGGUAACCUUCUUCUCAUGGUAGAUUAUCCUCUACAUACUGGUGGUACAUAGGCCUAAAUUACUCAAGGAUAGCUUCACUCUUAAGGGUUAUAGGUAGCUAUUUCUGACUUUAGCGCCCGUGUAUACUAUUUUGUAUUGUGGAGAUAAGAAUCAAGACAAACAGUCAUUUACUCUAUCUAAAAUUCUCAACUCAGGCUGCGUCAAUCUCAAAUUUCAAGUCAAAAUUAUGAAAGAAUUGAUAUUAGUGCUCAUGGUUUAAAGAAUCUCAAUCAAGAGGAACUAACACAAGAAUCAAGUAUAAACUAAGACAAUAUUCAACCCUUUCUAAGAACCAUAUUCAUUGUCAAUCAAAUUCUUAUCAUUGGCUUUUCACAUAAAAACAAAUAACAAUACAAUUUUUUUAACAAACAAAACACACACUAUUCCCACCCCCAAACUUAUUUGGAACAUUGCCUCAACGUGUCACAAACAAAAGAUAUGCAUGCAAACAAAUGAGAAAAAAAAAAUAGUAAAAUUAAAAUAAAAUAAAAUAAAAACAUAAAUAAUAAAAAAGAAAGUUGGAGAGAACACACCUGGAUGGGCUAGGAAAGCUUAAAAGAAAAUGCCAAAUGAAAGAAGACGUUAGAAGAAAUAUAAAUAAUAAAAUAAAAAAACAAAAUAAAAAAAAUCCUACUAACUAACAAAUUAAUGUAAACAACAAAUCAACCAGGAUCAAUAAGAAUUUGGUGAAAAUCAAAGCAAUUAUACAGAAAAUACCAGAAAGCAUAAUUGAUUAAACACUGGAGCAUUUUAUCCAUAAAAGGAUGAUGGUAAUGAAACUCCUCAAUAUCGCACUGCUUUGAUCUCUUAUGUUCCAAGAUUUCCUGAGAGUUAUCUGAAGUAGUAUAAAAAUCUAAUAAUUUAAGCACUUUAGAUCUUACCACCUUUUUCAUGUCAAAAUGUGACCUAUGUUGCACUGCUUUAGGACGUAGCUCCAAUUUGAAUGGUUCAAUUUUCUCUUCAGGAGGAAGUGGCUCAAUCUUUUCUGUCCACUUAAUUAGAUCUAUGAUAAGAGUCGAAUCAAGUAAAGCAUUAACUUCUUCAAUACCACUAUCAACAUCAACAGAGAAAUCAGAGUCAGUUGUGCAUGGUAUUAAUAGAUUGUCACAGUGGUUAGAAAUAAGUGAAUCAUCAAUUGAUGCUUCUAUCAUAUCUACUUCAACGACUUCAUCAUCUUCUUGCGCCUGCUUGGGAACAUUAAAAAUGUUUAAUUCCGUGGUCAUGUUACCAAAAGACAAUUGCAUGUUUCCAGUCCUGCAACUAAUAUGAGCAUCAGUUGUAGCUAAGAAAGGACGACCUAGAAUAACUGGGGUGUGUUUCUUACGAUCCUGUACAUGCUGAGUAUCAAUAACAAUAAAAUCAACAGGAUAAUAAAAUUUAUCAAUCUGUAUCAACACAUCCUCUAUAAUACCACGAGGUAUUUUCAUUGACCUAUCCGCAAGUUGCAAAAUAAUAGAAGUUGGGUUUAACUCACCUAAUCCAAGUUGCAUGUAAACAGAAUAAGGCAAGAGAUUAAUACUAGCACCCAAAUCCAAUAAUACUUUAUCAAAACAUUGGUUCCCUAUAACACAUGAGAUAGUAGGAGAACCAGGAUCCUUAAAUUUUGGUGGCAUUGUACAUUGAAGUAAAUUGCUAGUUUGUUCAGUUAAAAAUGCCUUUUUAGUAACAUGCAAAUUUAUAUUUUUAGUGCAUAAGUCUUUCAAAAACUUGGCAUAUGAAGGAACUUGCUUAAUAGUAUCGAGUAAAGGGAUGUUUAUACUUACCUGCUUGAAAAUUUCCAUAAUCUCACAUGUUGAAGUCCCUUUCUUUACCUUUGCUAACCUUUGAGGAAAAGGAGCCUUGGGAAUGUAAGCUGGCGGGCCACUCUCUUCUGGAUCAUUUGGUGAUGAGUCUUGUGAUGGAAUUGGAUCUGAAGAAGUAGGCUCAUAUGUCUUUCUUGUUUGAACCUCUACUUUGUUGUCAAACAAUUUUCCUCUUCUUAAGGUCAUAAUAGAUUUUGCUUCUUCAUGCUGAUGACUUGAACUCGAUCCAACUUCAUGCACUCCUUUGGGAUUGGGAAUUGGUUGACUUGGGAAUUUUCCUUUUUCUCUCUCAGCUACAAUAGUUGCUAAUUGACCCAAUUGAUGUUCAAGUUUUAGAAUAGCUUGAGUGUUUAACUGAAAAGCUUGUUGGGUUGACUGAAUGAAACUUUGAAAUGUAUCCUCUAAAGAAGGUUUUCUUUGUUGGGGUGCAACAAAUUGAGACAUAGGCUGUUGGGUAGGAGGAUAUACUUGGUUAGGAGGGACAAAUUGUUGAUUGGGCAAGCUAAAUUGUUGUCCUCCUUGGUUGGACAAAGGUUGAUUUUGUUUCCAAGAAAAAUUAGGGUGAUUCCUCCAAUUAGGAUUAUAUGUGGAUGAAUAUGGAUUAUUGGAGGUUUUCUCAUAUGAUUGUAAGGCAUGUACCUCAUUAGCUACACUAGGAUGAUGAUUCAUGGAUUGGUUCAGAGCUAAGGCAUCUACUUUCCUAGAAAGUGUAGCUAGAGUGGAUUUCACAUCAAAAUCAUCCUUAACUUUAUAUAACCCCUUUCUAGAAACUUGAGAUGAUUUUUCCCUUUGAUUUGAAAAAUUCCACUGUUGAGAAUUUUCAGAAAGUGAAUUAAAGAAAUCCCAUGCAGCCCCUUCAUGUAGGUUAAAAAAUCUCCCACCAUUCAUAGACUCUACCAUAUGACGAUUCGACAUGGUUAAACCGUUAUAAAAGCAUUGUAUAAGUCUCAAUUUCUCAAAACCAUGGUGGGGGCACUUAAGGAGUAAAUCAUUAAAUCUUUCUCAACACUCAUAAAAUUGCUCACCCUCUCUUUGAUAAAAAUCACUUAUUUCUCUCCUAAGGGCAUUUGUUUUAGACAUAGGGAAAAACUUGGUAAGGAACUUAUUACUCAAUUCAUCCCACGUAGUUAUAGACCAAGCAGGAAGCGAAUUCAACCAAGCUUUCGCUUUGUCUUUUAAUGAGAAAGGGAACAUACGAAGCCUAAUUGACUCAUCAUUAAAAUCUUGAAAACGGAAUGUAGAGCAUAUGUCAAGAAAUUCCUUAAUGUGCAAAUAUGGAUCCUCUCUCUCUAACCCAUGGAAAGAUGGUAAAAGUUGAAUGACUGAGGGCUUAAGUUCAAAGUGUGUUGCUGUAGUUUGUGGCAACACAAUACAAGAUGGUUGGUUGGUUGCAAGUGGUGAAAAGUAUUCUCUAAGGGUUUUCUCUGCUUGCACUGGUGGUAGUAUUGGCAAUAAUCUAUUUGGGUCAUCCAUGACUUGAGAAGAACUAGCUUGACUACUAUCAAUUUUCGACUCUCUUUUAACCAAACGAUUUGUUGAAUCACGUUCCCAAACACUCAUAAACUAACUAGACAAGGAAAUAAAAAAAAAAAAAUAGACCAAAAAAUGAGAAUAAACGAAAUUUAAAAAUAAAAGAAAUCAAACAACCAAACAAUGAAUUUAAAGACAAAUAAUUUUUUUUUGUGUUUUUUUUAAUUAAAAAAUAAAAGACAACCUAAAUUAUAACUAGUGGAAGAAUCAAAUCAACCUAGAUUAAACUGACUUUCUAGCACAAUCCUCGGCAACGGCGCCAAAAACUUGUUGUGAAAAUUUUAAUAUACUCGCAAGCGCACGAAUCUAGAAAUUGAAUAGUGGUAACGAGGUCGAUCCCACAGGGAUUGUUAUAAAUUGAAAAGUCUAAUUUAAAUCUAAAAUUAAUAUUAAUUCUAACCUAGUUGAGCAAAUUGAGUUUUAAGAGAAAUUAAACUAAUUAAACUAAGAAAACAAUUAAAGUAAAGGAGAAUUCAAUAGGAUAGAAAUUACCAAGGUUUCAGAAUCCACCACUAUUCAACUAGUAAUUAUCUAAAUAUUCGUUAAUCCCCAAUUUUAGAGUGACAACUCGAAAUCAAUCUGUCAUCUCAUGGAUAUAACAAUUAAGCCCAAAUAAUUAAAUCUAAUAUAGGUUCUUUUUCCGCUUAAUAGUAUGACAUCUAAGUAUCCCAUGUGAACAUAUUGAAUAACAAAGAGUCAAAGUUUUCCUAAACACUCUAUGUAAACAAUUUAAUGAAAGACAUAGAAUCAAAGAUAAUCAUGUAUGAACUUUAUAAAUCCAAGCAUAGAUUUAAUCGAAUAUUAAUCCUAACAAUCAAUAAUACAUGACAUAAUUGAUGAAAAGAUUUUAAUAACAUCAAAUUAAUCAUGUGAAAUAAAAACCAUAAUCAUUAAAGAAUAUAUAUGGGAAUUAAAUAAAUAAAAAGAUAAUUAUUUUAUUGAAUAGGGUUUCAUCCUUAACCUCAAUAUAAGAAAAUUAGCUGGACAUACUUGAAUUAAGAGUAACAAAAGAGAUAAAACCAGCCAUGAAAGUCGAACUACUGCAGAUUUUCUUCUCUUUGUCUCGUGUUUCCCUCCUCUGGCGGCUCUCCCCUUGCAAAAGCCAAAGUUCGGCUUUUAUAUUGUAACACCCUCCAAAAUCCUCAAAUCAAAAGGAUUUAAAACAAGCCAAGCACAACCGACUUUGAGCCCAUGCACGUGAAGCCCACUUGGAAUUUUCAUUCUUUUUGUAAUGCCAUGCAAUUGCUUCUCACGUGCAGGCCACUUUAGCUUUAAAUUUCUUCUUUGUUUGCACUAGCAUGGAGAAUUCAAUUUAUUGGCCUCGGCUUCUUCGGAUUGAAUUUCAUACAUAUUUACUUAACUGCUUCCACAAAUUGACUUGAUCUUCAAUGUUGUCCAGUUGUUAUUCUUUAUGCACUUUUCAUCCAUAAUCUCUAAUUAAUUCCCUAUUCAAUAAAACAAUUCAACUAAUUAAAAAUAACAAAUAAAUAUAACUAGCAAUUAUUUAAUUAAGGGUAAAAUAUGCAUAUAUUAUAUGCUCAUCAGCUUGCAACUAGUAAAUUUUUCAACUUCAACUCGAUAUAAUGAUUUUGGAGAGAACCAUUUACAAUGAUUUUCAAUUCUUUUGUGAUUUUUUUUUUCCGUUUUGCCGGUCGCAUCUUUCUUUCCCUUCCUUUAUUUUAUGGUGAGUGGAUUAUUAUUGCCUUCAGCGUUGUGGUUAUUAGUGAGAAAAUUUAUAUUUUCCCAUCAUGCUUGGUGAUUUUCUGAGAAAUAUAAGAAAAAGACAAGUUUUAUAUGUCAAAUAAUUCAUUGCUUUUUCACAGCAGUCAUUUAUGAUUUCUUUUCAGAUUAGGGAUUUUCACAUUGCAAAAAAGGAGGAAGAUAUUGGAUUCUAUGCUGGUUACGUGGGUGAGUUAUUCUAUGUUUUUUUUUAACGUAUUUAAUAAAUGACACACAGUAUGGAGUCCGUCUUGGGUACGAAUGUCCACACCUUAUAAAGUGCUGACUCACGCCUUUACAACUCUGGGAGGACAUUCUACCGAGACUUUACAUCACUGUAAACGCACUGUACAAGAGCUUUACAAUGCGGACCCGCGUCUUUACAACUUUAAAGGGCCAAGUCCAUGCUUUAAAAAGUACAUAUGUUCGCACCUGGAAACGAUUUACAUAUGUAUGUAUAUAUGUAUAUAUGUGUGUAUGUGUGUAUAUAUAUGUAUGUAUGUAUGUGUGUGUGUGUGUGUAUGUAUGUACGACCAAUAAAACAGUUCAAAUUCCUCAAGAAGUUAUCCUAACAAACAUCUUAAUACCUUGAUGAAAUUGAAGGGUCUUCAUACAUGCUUGGCAGAGCUCUAACAUCUGUUUUGUGGGGAAUGGUGGCUGACCACCGUGGUCGAAAGCCUGUAAUAAUAAUAGGAAGCAUCACAGUGUUAGUGACUUCUAUUUUCAUAUGAUCAAGCUUGAAAUUGAUGAUACUUCGGCAAUUUCUGGAUUUCUUGUCUGUCUUAAAAUGCUCACAGGGUUAUUUUUAACACUCUUUUUGGGCUUAGUGUGAAUUUCUGGAUGGCCAUAGCUACAAGGUUUCUCCUUGGGGCUUUGAAUGGUUUCCUUGGACCAAUAAAGGUAUUGAUUGGGGGUAUUUGUUGAUAAUUCCAAUUUAAUUCCUGCAAAUAAUUGUGCUCAAACUUCUCUUACACCACGAGGCAUAUGCAUGUGAAAUAUUGUGCGAUCAGCACCAAACUUAUUACGAAACUAAAAAUGUUACUUGUUUUCUGUACUUGCUUUCGCAUGCAUCACCCCCACAAAACUGCUUGACGAUUGUCCUCAUUUUGAACUUACUAUAGGUUUCAGUCUCCUUGUUUUUCAACUUACUCUGUACCCUUAAGGAUUAUUGGGCCAAUAAUCAUAACACGAAUUGCAGGGGGUAAAAUUUUGAGCACCUCAUGCGGCAUUUGGACCAUUUGAUAGUUUGUUUGAAACAUAUCUGUUUAUAAAAUACUUUUCUUCAUGGUUUUGGUCCCAUAACUUUCUAUGUAUGUACAGGUUUUAUCGAUACCGCUUUUGACAAGUUACACUUACAUAGCAAUGUUAUCGGGUUCAGCCUUGCCUUUUUGAUAAACUGUGCUUCUGUGAUGAAGAAUGUUUUAUCUGUAAGUGGAUAUCCUAAUCAUUGAUCCAUAUACUUAGGUUAUAUUAUCCACCAGCAAGUAUGUAUAAAUUAUUUUAUGUCUUAUUUAUUAGAAUUGUUGUAAUUCUUUUUUACUUUUCCUAAAUUGUAACAUCAGGUGUCUAUAAUAACUGGAUUGUUCCUUCUGCAAAACAGAGCAGUGGUAAAUAUAUUUUCUUUUGUUUGUUUAGUACAUUUCCAUGCUUUCAGCUUUUUCAAAUUUUGUAUGUGCCAAAGUUUAAAUUAAUUGGUUGGUUUAUGGUAUAAUAACAGGUACGAUAAUUUACUAAUGAAAUUUCUCACUAGUUUGUGAAUUACUUGGUGCUAAUCAGCUUAGUUAGCUGCUUAAACUAAAGUGCAGGUAACCAGGUGAUUUUUUUCAUCCUGAAUUCGGUGGAGGCACUUGGAGUAAUAUUGACAUUCAAACCGUUUCUAACUCAACGUGCCCCGUGAGUGGAGAAAAGAUGCGUCUGUUGAAAUAUUCAAAUAUAUGUCAAGCAAAUUAAAGCUUUCAAAAUCUUUCAACAAUUUGAUUGUUUGAUGUGGUUGCCACUUGCCAUAUUUUGUGUUACUUUUCUAAAGGCUUAAAUAUGAAAAUGGUUGUUGGUGCUCACGCCAAUUGAUUGCUGGUAACAUUAAUUGUGCAGUACUUGUCAGAACUACCACAAUUUAUCUUCACAAUGAUGCUAGCUAGAAAGAAAAUUUCAUGUUAAGUAAAAUAUUGAAGCCAUAAAGAGUCUUAUUCCAGAGCCUUAUUAAGUACUGAGUUUUCUGCCAUGCUUUCAAAGUUACAAAUUCGAAGCUUGGGAUUCUGUAACAAUGGAGGAUAAAAAUUAUAUAAGAAUAUUAUUUUGUACAAUUUUCAUACCCAGACAGAAGCGAGCAUUAUUUUUUGAUCAUAACUCAGAUCAAAAGACCUUCAAUGAUGUAUAAUAUGCACAAAAAGCUAGCUCAGAACCAGACAUUAGAACUUAUGAUGAAAGGGAAACAUAGAUGUUGAGAUUGAAAACAUAGAGAAAUUUUUUUAAAAAGUCUGAAAUUUUAUUACUAGAAGUUUGAAUAACAAAAUUAGGGUAUUGGACCCUUUUUAUACAAAUUCUAAAUAUUAUGUAUUUAUCAAAACAGGCAAACUUGAAAUAUUAUUACAUAAUAACGUUCUCCUAACUGAAAUAAGAAAAAUAAAAUAAAUCAUACUUGAAAUCUUAUAUUUAGAGAAAAACAUAUCGUACUAUGUCGAGAGAGAUGACGACUCCUCCAACAGCAGAAAAUAAAUUCUUUCAUUCAUUAAUUUAAAGUAAAUUUUGUAAAUUUAGGUACUUGCACAUUGAGAUUUGCAAUUUAAUUUGACAGGACUUUUCAUUGAAUAAUGAAAUUAAAAACUAACGAUUAAAGAAUUUUUUAUAAUUCUCUAAACUCUUGUGGAAAUGUCAGCUGUAAAUAGGACAAUUUCAAGAAUCUUUAUCUGAAAGCGUAAUUGGCAGAGCAGAAACUUGUGAGACUAUCUAAAUCACACAGACUCGAUGUCUUCAAUUUGCUGAAAACAAUCUCUUGUUUUGAAUUUAAAUUUGGUGCUCCAUCUUCUUCUCCGUCACCUAUUACCACCUCUGUCAUUGCCCUGCAUCCACCUACCUUCAUUGAUACGAGCCGCACUAGAGUUUCUGCUGUAGUGGACGGAUGUUACAAUUCCUUGCAAUGGAAAACCGACAGUUCUGUCAGAUUCCCAAAAGAUAUAGAUGAUCAUGGGAAUAGACUUAAAUGCUUGUAAAAUAGUCUUAGAAUGUCAAAAUAUUUAAAAUGGAGUCCAGUUUGGAGUUGCUUCAAUGAUUAAGUCUGGACAGGAUUAACCAUUUUAUCAGUGCCUACUUCCCCACUUGUUUCUACCAGUAUCCGGCUUGAUUUAAGAAUUUCUCUUUGUAUGAACUAUAACCCAGUAGGAGAUACUACCAAAAAAAACUUAUUUCAAAUGACGCACAGGAGAAGAGUUACCUGAAUCUUCAUCAGUAUCCAGACAUUCUACAAUCACAGAGUAAAGAGUUCUAACAGGAAAAACUGAGAAAACAACGUUCUUCUAUACUUCUCAUAAAACUAGACCAAAUUAGUCCCUUUCUUGGUAUCCAACAUUUUCAAACAAUAUUUCCACAAUAUAGUUUUUCAUAGCGAAGAGUUUUGCUUUGAUGGUCUAAGGAUUUGUUCUAGGCAUAAUGCUCUGAUUAGAUUUUGUUUAUUUUUAAUUUUUUAUCCGAUGAAUGAUUUUCAGCUGGUCUUAAUUAUGUGUUCAUAGGGAAGAGCAUUUGGAAAGAUCAUCAAAAAAAAAAAAAAAAAAGUUUCCAAACAAAGAUAGGUGUGAAGCAAACCAAACUAAAUGAACAAACUAAAAUAACAGAACAGCAAUGAUGUUUUCAAGGAAUUAUAAAAUAUGAAGACUUUUAAUGAAAUUUUAUCAUACAAAGUAUGCAAGGAAUUAUAAAAUUUUAGAAAACAAGGGGAACUCUCAAAAAAAGAAAAAAAAUACUCAAAUUAAACUAGACUAGAAGACAUUCAAUGAUGCAAAAUCUGUCCACAAAAGUCUGAACGAAUCAUUAAAAUUGCAUUCCAAAUUUAACAGUAAAGCCGAUUGACCCAUUCUAAAUAAUUCAGAUGAAAUUGCGAAACAAGCCACGAGAUCAAAUAAAUGAAAUAAAAAUUAAUUACCAGCUGAGGCUUUCUUCUAAAAAUUCACAACUCCCAAGUCAUAAGAAGCCUAUGAAAUUAGUACUGGGUAGAGAACGACGACGGCACCGCCAACAGCUGAAAAUAAAAUUCUUAUUCAUCAAUUUAAACUUUUACUUUAUAACAAAUAUCUUAUCUAUAUUUUAUUAAAAAAACAAAUUUUGUAAAAUGUUUCCAUGGGAGAUAGAGAGUACUGCGUAUAUCAGUACCUUCUCAGCAUGUAAUUGUUGUAUGGUUGUGUUUAGAUCAUUAUUAGCCCAACGCUGUUGAUUCGAUGUGUGUCCAUACUGGACGUUUACUCUCGGAGGCGUGAUUGAUUCUCCUGUAGUGAAAAUCUUCAUCUUGGGACAACCAAUCACUUCCAGAUAUUCCAAAGAUGGGAAUCUGAAGGUGUAAUUGGCAGAGCAGAAACUUGUGAGACUUUCUAAAUCACACAGAAUCAACGCCUUCAAUUUGCUGAAAACAAUCUCUUCUUUUUCAACUCCUUCUUUGUCAUUUAUUACCACCUCCGUCAUUGCUCUGCAUCCAUAUAUACUCACUUUGACGAGUUGCACUAGAGUUUUUGCUGUGGAGGAUGUUACCAAGUGUAUCAAUCCCUUGCAACCGAAAGCUACAAGUUUUGUUAGGUUCCGAAAAGAUACCGAUGAUGAUGGCAAUAGAAUUAACAGACUUUGACAAUGAUAUACUCCUAGAAUUUCAAGAUACUGAAAAAUGGGGCCAAGUUUGGAGUCUUGUUUGCACAGCUGCUUCAGAUGAUAGUGCCGGUGCAGCUCUAAUGUUUUUAUCAUUGCCAACUUCCCCACAUGUUUCUCUAAGCUUCCUUCCUCCGAAAAUACCUCUUCGUUGAAUGCCAAAAAAGACAGUACGAGUAUUUCGAGAUUGUGAAAUCUCUCCAGUACGUUCCAGAUUGGAAAACAAGCUGAGUCAUCUGCAGUAAUGUCUAGUUGUCUAAGAUUGCCAAAAAGGUGUUGUGGGAAAUCGGCCUGCAAAAUCAUCUUCACAUCUUUUCCACUUAGUGAUAGUUCCUUCAAGUUGGGUACGAUCUGAUCAUCAUCAAUCAUAAUAACUAAUGAGGUCAAUUGAUGUUCUUUCAAAUGAUUUUGAGUAAUCCAAUCACAAGCAGUGACUUUAUAGUAUUUAUUUUAUAUUAAUUUUACCCCUAAAAAAAAUGAAUUAUAUAAAAAAUGAAUUAGUGAUAAAAUUCAUUAUAUGAUUUUUUUAUAUGUUAGUUUUAGAGGUAAUAAAGAGAUUAGGGAAAAAAACGAAAUUAUUUUAUUGCACGAUAGUAAAUUACUAAUUUAUUUUGUAAGUUUUUCUAUAUGGAAAGACUAAGGAUUCUUUUAUAAAUGCUAUACCUAAAAAUGUUCAUAUAAUUAUUAAUUUACCACAUUGAUCCCUUAGUCUGUGGUCCCUUAGUCUAGACUAGCAAAGAUUAUUGUAUAACAAAAGUUUUCAAUUUAUUAAGUAUUAAUUUAACCAUGCUUUGCAUAUUUUUCAAAGUUAAAAAUAAGCUAUUGAAAAAAAAUCUAGAAAAUGGUUUCAUACCUUUUCCAACGGCAUUAGGGGCUGUUGUGCAGGAAUACCAAGUUGAUCAUUCACAUUAUUCUGCGAUAAAUCUGCAGCGAAUAUCUUUAAUUUGUCACAACGAUACACUAAAAGAAUUUCCAGUGCGGGCCAUUCCGAAGUAUGCAUUCCAGGGUACAAACAUCUAAGUUUUGGUAGAUCUUGGAGUUUCAGAGUGGUGAGCUGUGGAAAGACAAAAUAAGGGAUCACUUGAUCUGCUCUGUUUUCAGAAAUGAUCUCCUGUAAAUCCUCACAGAAGCGUAUAUCUAGGUGUUGGAGCUGCUUAAGGCUUCCGAUCAUAGAUGCUGAAAAUAUGUAUUUUAAUUUGUGACAACGCCACACAAUCAAUCGUGUUAAACUCUGAAAGUGAGGAAACACGGCCGCCGGAAUUUGAUUGCAAUGCCAAAUCUUGGCGACAUCAAUUUGAGAUAUCUCCAAAGCCUCCAAGUUAGGCAACGCAACCUUAAAAAAUAAGAAUUUCUCGUUAGAUCCAAUAUCCAUAUGGGAAGCACUUGUUGAAAUUUCCUUCUUUGAUUACAAAUUAAUGCAAGUCAGAAUCAAUUUCCAACUGACAGCUGAGUUUGAUGCAUUCUAAUUCAUACUACUUGUUAAGAGCUCAAUUAGUAAGCGUGUGAGAUUCUUUUUAUCCUUUUUUCCAUUUUCUUGCAAUUCUUUAAAUGAUUUAAUUAUUUUCCACGUAUGACGUCAAAAGAGAACGCAUGAUAGAAUAAAAUCUGUUAUAUAUAUAUAAAGAAAAUGUUAGCCUACGCACCUUCUCGUUGAAAAGCAGAGUUGAAGUAUCCAAAGUGAUUUCGCUGGAGCUAUACGUAGUCGUCGAUUCCUCUUGCGACGCUCGUCUGUUCGGUGAUGCUGAAGGAGUCUUUACUUCACGGCAAAAACUUGUAACCUCUGGAAGAUUCCCCAGACUCAAAGAUCUUAAUUGAGCAAACUCUAUCUUCUCAAUUGCAUUAUCAACUUCUUCCCCAAUUGCAAAAAUCUCUUUCAUCUUGCUGCAAUUAAUAACUGCAAUUCUCUCAAGUCUUGGAAGGCAUUUUGUUGUAGAGAGCCAAAAGAUAUUACUCAAUUUAUCACAAUUAUAUGCUUGUAUGAUUUUGAGUUCGUUGAAGGACUCUACUUUGAGCCGAUCAAUACAUAUCCUCUCCAUGUUGAUCAAAUUGUGAAGGCCAAGUGACUCCAAAAGAGGAAAGGCAUCAGAAGCGACCAUCUCCUUUGAAUCGACGAUGCAAAAGAAGUCAGGAUUAUUUUGAACCCCGAGAAGCUUCAAUUGUGAAAAGCCCUCCGUGUCCAAAUUGAAAAUAACGUUCUUGAUACCUCGCAGCUUGUCCAACAAUAAGUAUUCAACUUUAUUGAUGCCCUGCAAUUUGAUGGAGCAAAUGUCCAUAAAAUCAAGCUUGAGCUUCAAUGCUCUUGAAAACUUGCGAUUACUGUCGAUCAAAAAGUGCGGCCGACUUUCAAACCAAUAUUGUCCAAAAAGCACGGGAUGCCUGAAUGACUCAUUUCCAAUAGAUAUUUUGAACCUUUCGAGCUUUCUGGCCAAAAAACCUUCUGGUAAAAUACUGUCAUUUUUAACGUCAAUUUCUAGAGCGGUUAGCCGAGGUAAAUGCAUCAAUUCGUCAAGGCUAGCAUUACUUCUUUUGCUGUUGGCUCUUUCAACCUCCCAUUCAAUGAAGCAAUUACCCAUAUACAAUUCUUCUAAUCGGAUUAAGCUUGAUAUGACAUUUGGGGCAAUAACUUUCAGAAGGAAACAGUCUGUUAAAUCUAACAGCCUUAGCUUAGACAGUUGACCUAGUUCUUCGGGCAACUUCUUAAUAUCAGACUUCAAAAAGCUAAGGACUUCUAGAUUCUUCAACUUCCCAAUGAUUGCUAUGUCGCCCAACGCACUUUGAUCCAGACAUAGUGUGUGAAGAUUUACUAGAAGAUCAAUUGAAGAUGGAAAUGAAGAAAACUGCAUUCGAGUAAAAUCUAGAACUCUAAGCUUUUUCAUCCCUACAAAAAAGUUCUCAGGAAUAUUGAUUUCAAGAGAAGAAUCUUUGAGAGAGAGAUAUAAAAAUUCAAGGUUUGGGCAUUCUAAUCCUUCAGGAAAUUCACGAUUACUAUUAUUUCUUAAAGAGACAGCAUUGCAUUUUCGAAGUGCAUCCUCAUCUGGCCAGUCCCACACAUCCUCAUUUUCGGCCAAAAAUACAUGUUGGUGGCGGCAUGCAAUUGAUAUGGCGACAUCGCGAACAACAUCAUGCAUUGAAAAUUCUUCAUUGCUAUCACCCUCAAGCAACAAACAAGAGUCUCUAAGUUCAUGGACCAAUGCAUAUAAUUUGUCUCGUGCAUCUUCCAUCUUAUUGACUCCUUUAAAUAUACCCAAACCCAUGGAGUACUUAAACAGGUCCAAAGUAUGAAUACCGUUACCCAUUAGACUACCGAGGAGAAAAAUUUUCUUGAGUUGCUCACCUUUUAAAUGGUUGAAACUCAGCUCAAUACUUGAAUAAGUCUCUGCAGAUACUCCUUCGAAGUUCACCAUUGAAGGCGUUCGGAGUUCGCGCAAGGAAUUCUUCCAUUGAUGCGGACUCUUGCUUCUCAGUGCCUUUGCUACCGUACUCAAGGCAAUGGGCAAACCUCCACAUGCCCUGGCGACGUCUAUUGCUGUAGAUUUCAACUCACGAUUUUCAACAUCAUCACCGGCCAUCAUCUUAAACAAUCUCCAAGCUUCUUCUUCAUUUAAAUUGUUAAUCAAGAAGUUGUCUUUAGAUCCCAUUUUCAAGAGGACACUACGAUCUCUUGCCGUCAGCAGUAGUUUGCAUCCUUUAUGAUCUUCCCCAAAAGGAAUUCCAACGGUCUCCAAAUCAAGGUGUUUCCAGAUGUUAUCCAGAAUCACAAGGAUCUUCUUCUCAUUUCUCAAUCGCUCAUAUAGCCUACUUGCUCUUCUAGAUUCAACUUCCUCGUGCAACUCCAGGCCCAACUUCUCGGCAAUUUCCUGUUGAAUCUUUUUUAUGUCUGGAGUUUGCGAAACCUCUGAAAAGACCACCAUAUCAAAGUGCUUGUCUUCCAGAGCUUGCCUGGCGACCUUCUUCACCAGUGUCGUCUUUCCAAUGCCGCCCAUGCCGUACACCCCAAUGAUGCUGACAUUAACAUCGAUCAAUGCGUUUUUUAUAGCCUCCAAAGUAGAACGUCUUGAUUCGAAGGCCUCGUAGCCUUUGUGAGACUUGAGCCAUAUAUCCUCCGGAACAGUACGGUAGGAAAUUCUAUCAUCAAAUCUCCCAGCUUCUUCUCGGAGUUUAAAAAGGGCCUCCUUCUCUGUUUCUGCUUCCUUUCCAUGCUGAUAGCGAGUAAUCCAAUUAGGAAACAGCCCCAUGAGACAUCGUUCAUUUGCUUUCUCUUCGUCUUGAAUGAAUUUGGCUGCCUGCUCAAUGCUCUUGUUCGCAUUAACUAGCCAUUUCUCAACCUUCUCUUCAAUCUUUUCACUUUUUCUUUCAGCCUCAGAAACUCUGCGCUGAAUGCUUUCUCUUUCAUCCUUGAGCCUAUCGAGUUCUGCCUUGAGAUUCUCAAAGUUGGCAGAGGAGUUAUACCAAUAACUAAAUUCGCGUUGUGCGUGAGGAGACAAGCAGUUUACAACUCCUGGAACAAUGCUUUUCAAAAUGUCCAUUUUUUUUUUCUUUUUUGGGGAAGUGAACGAAAUAGAAAUAGAACAGAGUCAACGACCGCGCAAUUGAUAAUUAAGUAGAAAACAAGGCAAAAUUGAAAAAAGAAAUUAUAUUUGUACAAAACAAGGGGAAAAUCAGUGUAACAGAAGAGAAUCAAAGUGUUUUUGAGAUCAGAAAAUUGAACCAAGAAAAGGGUUGCUUGAUCCAAUGAAAAUGCAAAGAGCAUGGCAAAAGGAAACAAAGCUAAAUAAGAAAACGGUUAGCACGAGCAGUGACCACGAUCAACAGAAGCAAAGUGUGUAUGAGAUCAAAAGACGAAAAUCAGGAGAGGUUUUCUUGAUUGAGAAUUGAAGGCAAAGAGUAGGAGCUGACGAAUACGGGGAUCAAGAGGGAAAAACUGCUUGCUCGUAAAACUGCUUUCAAGCGAAUCUGAUAAAAUUAUUUCAGUACAAGUGGGCGACUCCCUUUUAAACUGCAGAAGGAAAAAAAAAAAAAUUCUGAUUUUCAAUAUAUUAAUCUCGUAAUCAAUGAUUAAUUAGUAGAUAAUCUUUCUAACAAAUAUGUGUUGAAUAGAUAUAUUUCUUGAUUAUUCGUAGGUUCGAUAUACUUUAGUAUAGGAAUGAAAGUACAAAUUGUGUCAUAUUAGAAUAAAAAUUAGACCUAAAAAUAUUGUCAUAAAACAUGUGAUCCUCAUCCAAAGGCCAGGUGAACAAAUAUAAACGACAAAUUCUUUUCAAUUAAAUAAUCAUCAAGUGAUAAUAUUCUAUUUCAGUACAAAUAGCGAGUGCAGAACAACUGUCAAGAGAUAAUCAUUGUUUAUGGAGCCAUAUAUAUUUUCUAUUAAAAUAGUUGCGUGAACAAUAGCCAGAAUCCGAAAAAAUUGUUGAAAGGUCUAUUAUUUUCGUUUAAAAUUGUUGAAAGGUCUAUUAGUUUCGAUUAAAAUAUUUUCGAUAAAAAUAGUUGUGUGAACAAUUACCAUAAAUAGUGUUUACAUUUUGGAUUGGACUGAGAAUCUUGAAGAGUGGAAAUCUUAGAAUUGAGAGUAUGGAGUAGAAGUGGGUGUAAGUUGUUUACUUACACUGAAAUAUAAGCAUGGAAUGAAGAUUAUAAUCCAAUUUAUGUAUUUACUUUAUCUUGGAUUGGGAGUAAAUAGUUUCAAAUUAUAAUUUUAUCUUCAUUUAAAGAAUUAUAGUUUUUAAUUACAAAGUUAAUAAAAAUAUAUAUUUAAUGAAUAAACAUUUAUUUUAUUAUAUUUAUAAAUUUAUAAUAAUUAUUAAUAUUCUUAAUUAUGUACAUCAUAUUUUUUAUUAAUUUUAAUUUUAAAUAUAUAAAUUAAAAAUUAUUGAUAAGAGCAAUGUAAAUGAAACAUUUUUACUAUUAACAUAGUACAAAAUUAAUAUUUUCUUAUAAUUAACUAUUUAUUAUUACUAAUUAUUGAUAUUAAAUAAAUAUAAUACUAUUAUUUUUAAAUAAAUAUAAUAAUAUUAUAUUUUCAAAUAAAGAUAGUAUAUAGUAAUAUUAUUAAUUCUCUAUUAAUAUAAUAAUAUUAUUUUAAGUAAUUUAAACUUAGAAUCAAACCAAAUUAUUAUUUAGUUAAAUAUAAUAUUAUUAUUUAAAUAAAUAAAAUAUUAUUUAUUUUAUUUUAUUAAAAAUAAUUAUAGUAAAUUUAAUAAAAGGGGGUUAAAAAAGGAAGGUAAAUAUAAAAUGAAAUAUUAUUUUAUUUAAUUAUAUUAAAUUUAUUAUUAUAUAAAUAAUAAUAUAAUAUUAUUUAGUAUAAAAUUAAUAUUUUCUUAGAAUAAACUAUUUAUUAUUAUUAAUUAUUAAUAUUAAAUAAAUAUAAUACUAUUAUUUUUAAAUAAAUAUAAUAAUAUGAUAUCUUCAAAUAAAGAUAGCAUAUAAUAAUAUUAUUAAUUCUCUAUUAAUAUAAUAAUGUUAUUUAUUUUAUUUUAUUAAAUAUAAAAUAUUAAAUUUAAUUAAAUAAAGGUAGAAAAGGGAGAGGUGGGAGUGGAUUUCCCAUGGGAGUCCCACUCACACUCCCCACUCCAAAAAUGGGUGGGGUCCACGGAGUGGGAUUUCCAACCCCUCCUUAAAAUGGUGAAGUAAACACUGGAGUGGGAGGAAUGCACACUGCUCACACUCACCCCAGAAAAUAAACACCGAAAAGGCCAGAUGAUGAAGAACCACUAUAAGUUCUUUUAUGAAUUUAAAAUGCUAAAGAAACUUGACACCAACGCUAAGCUAACAAGUGCAUAUUUUUCUGUGGCCCUUGCCUCAAUGUCUUUUGGGCAUUGCUCGGGGGUAGUUGAUAUAUUGAUUAAAAUAUGAAUGAAUUGGAAUGGAAUGAGUUGGAAUUAAAAUAUGGAAUAGUAAUUAAUUAAUUAAUUUAAAUUGUAAAAAUUAAAAUAAAAAUAAAUUAUAUCAUCAUUGAUAUAUUUAUUUUAUUUUAAAAUCACGAUGAGUUGUUACAAAUUACAAAAUAUCUUUAAUUUUUUAUCAUAAUAAUAAUAAUUUAUUAUAAUAUUUUGUUGGCCUAAAUGGUUAUAUAAUCCUUGAUUUUGAUGAUAACAAACUACAUAGAGUACAAUAGUAAAUUUAUUUCUCACAAUCUCACAAGUUUUUGAAGGGCAAAAAUCAUUCAAGUGGGAUCAAGAUCAAGAUACUCAAUAGACAAUGACAAUCAAGGACGAAUACUAAGGGUACUAGUUUAAGCCAUCUUUAUUGUUAAAUUUCUUGUAAAGCCAGUGUAAUUUAACGUGUGCAUGAUGUAACAUUUAAAAGCUCAAGACAUUUUUCAUGACAUUUUCAAAUUAAAUCAUCAUUUUCUAAAAUAUAAAAGUUUUAACGAUUUUAUAAAAUUAGUUGCUUUUUCCAAAUUUAUGAACUAAAUUGAAAAGUUUUGAGAACUUUGAAAUCAACUAAUAAUGUUUUAAAACAUAGAAAUUGACAUAUUUGUAAAUAUUUCAAACGUUUUGGGUCGUAAUAUAAUUUCAAAAAAAUUAGGUCUAAUCUAUAAAUCCUGGAACAAUAGUGGCUAAUCGCUUAACCAAUAGCGACUAACUACUUCAAGUCCAAAAACAUAGCAGCUAACCGCUUAAAUCAAGUGACAAUCCGCUUGAACCAAAGUUUUCAAAUUUGAUUUGCAACUGUAACUUACCAUAUCAACAUAGUGGCUAAUCGCCUCAUUUUAACGGCGAUCCAGCAAGUCCCUAGAAAAGCCAAUAAUUGCUAGUUUGAUUAUUUAAACUAUAAAAUUCAAAUCUAACAAUUUUUUUUUUCAAUCUCAAUUAAGCUAAAACUUAUUCAUAUAUCUUGAGCUUUCAUUUUGCUUAUCUACAUACAUUAAUCAUUAUAGAGCUAUCAUUUGCUUAUACACUCUUAUAGAGUGUAAUCUUUGUAAUCUUCAAUUAAAUAUCAAAAUUGAGUGAGUAUAAGUGUGGGAAACACUUGGGAAAAGAGGUGUGUGUAUACAUAAUUACUUGUAAAGGUUUAUUGACACCUUAGAAGUCAAUUGUAAAAUUUUGGAGCCUUGGAAGGUUUGGAUAGUAGAAUUCUCAAGUUUGGAUUGCUUGGAGGCGUAGUCAUAGGCGGGUUUGCCGAACCACAUAAAAAUUCAUGUGUUUGUUAUCUUCUCCCUUAUCUUUUUAAUUUCACGUAUAGUUAAAUUUACCAUUAUUAAAUUUCUUGAAGUAUUUGUUUAAUUUGUAUUGUGUUUUUGUUAGUAUAAUUUUUAAUACCUAAUUCGCCCCCCUCUUGGGUUGCUUAGCUAGAAUUUCAUUUGGUAUCAAAGGAAGUUCUCUUGUUAGGACUUAACCAUCUAGAGUAAAAGAUCCAUAGUAAUCCAAAAUGAUCCCAGAUUUGGGGAAGGUUAAUCCCUUACUAGAUCACCAUUCUUUGAUGGGAAUGAUUAUCCAUGUUGGAAAAUUAUGAUAAGAAUUUAUUUGCAAGCAUUAUAUUAUGAAAUAUAGGAAGUUGAUUGUGAUGGUCCAUUCAUGCCUACUGCUAAAAAUGAAGAAGGGAAAGAAAUUCUAAAACCUUCACAAGAAUGGAAUGAGUCGGAAAAGAGAAAAGAUUCUCUUAAUUUCAAAGUCAUGAAUGCUUUGUUUUGUGACUUAGAUAAAAAAGAAUUCUAUAGAGUUUAAGGUUGUUCCAAUGCUUAUGAAAAUUGGAAAAAACAUAAAGUCAUUUAUAAAGCUACAAAUCAAGUCAAAUAGUCUAAAAUUAGUAAAUAUACUAGGCAAUACGAAUUGCUAUAAAUGGAACAAAAUGAGAGUGUUAAUCCCAUAUACACUAGAUUAACAGACAUUAUAAACACUUUAGGAGCUCUUAGAAAGACUUUUUCAAACAGCGAAAAGGUAAAAAAAAUCAGUAGGUCUUUACCAAAAGAAUAGAGACCUAAGAAAAUUCCCAUUGAGGAAGCCAAUGAUAUUUUAUCUAUUGAUGAUUUAAUUAGUUCAUUUAUUUCUUAUGAAAAGGAUUUGACAACUGAAAAAUAUAAUGAAGACGAGAAGAAGAAGAGUUUUUCCUUAAAAGCAUCAAGAUCUAAAAGUGACAACGAAAGUGAGAUCGAAAAUGAAGACAUGGCUAUGAUAGCUGGAAAAUUCAAAAUAAUUUUCAAGAAAUCCAUCGAGCGAAGGAAAUUCAAAAAUUAGAAAGAGAAGAAGGAGGCAAUUAUUUUCUUUAAAUGCAGGAAGCCUAGACACAUAAAACUAGCAUGUCCUUUUCUCAAAAAAUUAAAGAAGAUAGCCAUGGUAGCAACACGGGAUGAUAGCGAUAAGGAGACUAUAGAUGAAGAGUAGUCCCAUGAAGUGUCAAAUUUGGCACUUAUGGUUAUAGGAGAUGAACUUGAUGAGGUAAACCUCUUAGGAUGAGUUGUUUGAAGUAUUCUCUAAAUUGCAUAAAGAUGUAAAGAAGAUUGAAAUGUAAAAUGUUUCUCUUGGAAAGAAAAAAGUAGAACUUUUAAAUGAGAAUGACACUUUGAAUAAAAAGAUUAAGUGCCUAGAAGUAUUUGUGAAGAAAUUGCAUCUUUUAAAGAAAAAACAAAAUGUUUCAUCUAAGAAUAAAGGUUUACUUGUAAAUGAUUUGAAAAAGAAAAAUGAAAUAUAUUGCUUUAGAAUUUGCUUAGUAUUAGUCAAUUGUGUGAUAAAUGUUACAAAGUUAUUUUUAUGUGAUAAAGACUAUAGAGUUAUUUUUUAUAAAACAAAAUGUGUUAUUAAAAAUACAUGUGAUGACAAAGUUUUAUUUGUUACAUAAAGAUGUGUUAAUGUAUACACCAUUGAUAUAGAUAGUGUAUCAACUCAUGAUAAAUGUUUUUUUCACAUUACAUGAUGAUAGUUGAUAUGGCAUGGAAGACUAGGUCAUGCGAGCAUGGAUUUGUUUUCAAAAUUUUUUAAAAAUGAUUUGGUUAUAGGUCUUCUAAAAAUUGGUUCUAAAAAAGAUAAAAUUUGUGAAGUUUGCCAAUUUAGAAAACAAAUAAAACGUCCUUUAAAAAAAAUUCAUAUUUCUACUUCAAAACCACUUUAACUUUUUCACAUGGAUUUGUUUGAAUUUUCUAAAUAUGCUAGUUUAAGUGGUAAAUAUUAUGCAUUUAUAAUUAUAGAUGAUUAUUCUAUAUACACAUGGUAUUACUCUCAACUAAUAAAGAUGACACCUUUAAUGCUUUCAAAGUUUCUAUAAAAAGGUUCAAAAUGAAAAAUGAUAUGUUAUUUCUUGCAUUAGAAGUGAUCAUGGUGGAGAAUUUGAAAAUUAUAUUUUGAAAAUUUUUACAAUAACUUUGGCAUUGAGCAUCAAUUCUUGUUACCAAGAACUCCAUAAUAAAAUGGAGUAGUUGAGAGAAAGAAUAGGUCUAUCCAAGAAAUGGCUAGGACCAUGUUAAAUGAAAAUGUUUUACUAAAAUAUUUUUGGGUUGGAACCGUCAACAUUGUUUGUUAUAUUUUAAAUCGUGCAUUGAUUAGACCUUACCUCAAUAAAACUCCUUAUGAGUUUUGGAAAAAUAGAAAAACAUUGACUAUUUCAAAGUUUUUGGUUGCAAAUGUUUUCUAUUGAAUACAAAAGACAAUCUUGGUAAAUUUAAUCUAAAAUCUGAUGUUGAUAUUUUUCUUGGGUAUUCAAAUACAAGCAAAACUUAUAGAGUGUAUAAUAAAAGAUCCUUGGUCGCUAAAGAAUCUAUACAUGUUAUAUUUGAUGAAUCUAACUUUUCUUCUAUGAAGAAAGUUGUUGUUGAUGAUGAUGCAUAUGAAGAGUUACAAAAACAAAAAGUCUUUAAAAGACAAACAAGAUGAUUUACCGGUAAAAAUCAAGAUGAGCAACAAGAAAAACAAGUUAAACAGAUUCAAAAUGAAGGUAAUUCACAAACACUCUCUAAGGAGCUAAGGUAUGUCUCUUCACACCCUAAAGACUUAAUCUUAGGAGAUCCUUCAUGAGGUGUAACUACUAGAUAAUCACUUAGAAAUACAUGUGAACAUACUGUAUUCAUAUCUCAAGUUGAGCCAAAAUCCUUUUCAGAUGUGGAAAAUGAUGAAUCUUGGAUUAUAGCAAUACAAGAAGAGUUAAAUCAAUUUGAAUGAAACAAUGUAUGGAAACUUAUUCAUAAACCAUAACAUCAAUCUGUAAUAGGCAAUAAAUGGGUAUUUAGGAAUAAAAUCGAUGAAUCUGGUGUAGUUGUAAGGAAUAAAGUUAGAUUAGUAGCUCAAUGAUGCAACCAAGAAGAAGAAAUUGAUUUUGAUGAAACCUUUGCACAUGUAUCGAGAUUAGAAUCCAUUACAUGCUUUUAUCAUUUGCAUAUCAUAAUGAUUUUAUUUUAUAUUAAAUGGAUGCUAAAAGCACCUUUCUAAAUAGUUGUAUUAUGAAGGAAGCUUAAGUGAAACAACCCCCUCAUUUUAAAAAUGAAAAAUGUUUUUGGAUCAUGUUUACAAGUUGUCCAAAGUUUUAUAUAGUUUAAAGUAAGCAUCUAGAGCAUGAUAUGAUAGACUUAGUAAAUUUCUUUUAGAAAAUAGUUUUUCAAUGGGUAAAGCGAAUACUACUCUAUUUGUUAAAUACAAGGAUCAAGGUAUACUUGUUCAAAUUUAUAUUGAUGAUAUUAACUUUAGUUCUAUUAAUGAGUUUCUGUGUAAGGAAUUUUCAUCUUGCAUAAGUAGAGAAUUUGAGAUGAGCAUGAUGGGAGAAUUGAAGUACUUUCUUGGACUUCAAAUUUAAAAGAAAAAAAAGAAUUCAUUAAUCAAGCCAAGUAUUUCAGAGAUCUACUCAAAAGAUUUUGCAUUCAGGACUAAGGACACUCCAAUGAGAACUACAAUCAAUCUCGAUAAGGAUAAAAAAAGUAAAGAUGUUGUAUCAAAAGAUAUCGAGGUAUGAUCAUAUUUUUACUUUACUUUACUACUAGUAGACAUUACUUUAGUGUAUGUUUGUGUGCAUGAUUUCAACCAGAUCUCAAAGAAUCUCAUUUGCUUGCGGUUAAAAGAUUUUUUUCAUUAUUUAUGAGGAACAAUUGAUCUUGGUCUAAGGGAACUCAUAUAAAUUAUUAGCUCAAUAAAUUUUUCAAAGAAUCCCAUUCAACAUUCUAGGACCAAACAUAUUGAAAUUAGGCAUUAUUUCUCACGUGAUCAUGUUCAAAUGAGAGAUAUUGCUUUAGAAUUUGUUUCUAUAGAAAAAUAUCUUGCUGAUAUUUUUACAAAUCCUUUUUGUGAAGAAUAGUUUUCAAAGAUUUGGAUUGAGUUUGGAAUGAUGACAUUUUCACAUCAAUAUUUCAUUGCAUGAUAUUGAGACUACAAAUUUGCUUGAUUUUCUAUCUUGAUUUUAAUGUGUUAUAUGCUUGAAUUUACUUCUUUGAAUGUUUAUCAUCAUAUCUUAUGCAUUAAAAAUGGCUUUUGAAAUACUUCGGGAUCACAAAAUGGUCUCAAAAUUAAUUAAAUUUUGGCCAAAAAGCAAAAUCGUGCAAAAUUUAGGGGAACUAGCUAACCGUUAACAACAAGCGACUAGCCAAUUAUGAGGCAGAAACUAGCUGGUCAGUAGGGUUGGCAAUGGGACGGGAUGGGAUGGGAUUUACCAAUCCCAGUCCCAUCCCGUAUAUGCAAAUGGGAUGAAAAAACGUCCCAAUCCCGUCCCUAUAUUUUUUUUGGGACAAAAAUAUGUCCCAAUCCCGUCCCAAAAGAGAUGGGAUCCUGCGGGAUCCCAUCCCAAUUGGAAAAUUUUUCAUUCUUAAUCGGUAAUGAGACGGGAUGGGACGGAAUUUAUCAAUCCCACUCCCGUCCCGCAUAUGUAAUUGGGAUAAAAAAAAUGUCCCAAUCCCAUCCCAAAUUUUUUUAUGGAACAAAAAUAUGUCCUAAUCCCAUCCCAAAUGGGAUGGGAUCCCGCAGGAUCCCAUCCCAUCGGGAAAAAUUGCCAUCCCUACUGGUCAGCCGGCUUAAAGCAAACGGUUAAUUGCUUGGUUUCUAAAAAUGAAACGGUUAACCGCUUUCUUCAAGAGGCUAGCUGGCUUCACGUUUUAAAUGUUGUUCAUCUUCUUUUUCCCACUUUCAGUUGUUACCCUCUCUCUAUCACUGUCAUCUCUCAUUUCUUUUACUCUCUCUCUAAAAUCUUCCGUUUUUACAUCACUUUUGUGUCAAAUUAAACUUUCCAAAUCAUUUCCCAUCAAUUAAUCUUCACUCAUUUGCUUUUAAAACACAAUCUAAUCACUCUUCUCUCAAAAUCUUAAAACCUAAGUCACCAAUUUCAACAUUCUCAAAUUUGAACCAUUAUUUGACCAUUUUUGACCAAAAUAAACCCAUACAUUCCUUAGAUCUUCUCAAAGAACAUUUUAAUCGGUUCAAAAUCAUCUAUUUCUGUAAAAACUUUGUGAACUCGAAUUUGUGCAAUUUUGGACACAUUUUGAUAAUUUCUUAAUGGCUAGUGGUGAGAAGUCUAAGGGUAAGCAUAUGCCUAAAAUGUAAAAAAAAGAUUCAUAAAGACAUUUUCAAAUUCAUUUCCACCCACUUCCCAAAUCCGCCCCAAUGGAAUGAUUCUCUGAUCGAUUUAUGACAAGGUCAGUCCUCCCAUACUAUAUAUGUUAAUCUUGAUUAAUUAGAAAAUUUGUCAAGUUGUAGCAAAACUCUUAGAACUUUACUUGCUGAAUUGGGUUGGACAAAUGUCUUAGUUCUUAAGGAACAUAUUUGUCCUAAUUUGGUACGAGUAUUUUAUUCGAACAUGCUUAUUUCUACAAAUACUGCCAAUAUGAUUAUUACUAAUGUUAUUGGGAUUCCUAUUAAGUUUACUGUAGAAGAUUUAAACAUGAAUCUCAGAUGAUAGGUUGCAUUUGUAUACAUCUAGGACUAAAAUUGAUUAUCCCUGGUAUUUAGUUGUAGAUGAUGUUUGAAACAUAGAUGUUCGAAACAUAUGUAGGUGAUCUGAUCUAUCCAUGGAGCUUUUUAACUCCUCUCUUAGAUCACAAGUGUUGCCUCUUCAAGUUCGGAUCCUACAUAAUGUUCUUUAGCUUGUGAUCAGUCCUCGCAAGGGACAUGGUGCUGAGGUUACACGCUUAGAUGUUACUUUAUUAGAUAGCAUCCUUGAGGGUAAAAGCUAAAUGUGCGAAUAUUAUCAUUCAGCACAUGCUUAAUACACUGAGUAUAGGAAACCAAUCCUUUUCGGUCGGUAGUGUCAUUACCCACAUCCUUCAAUAUUUUUGGGUCCCUAUAGCUGAACCAUCUCAUAAUGAACCCAAGGAGUUAGGGGAUGAGGUCAUUGCUAGCUUAGGAUUUGGGUGGGUAGAUGACCAAUAGGUUAAAAAUUAGAACUUGUUGAGCAAACCCACAAAGCUGGCUCUUUUUUAUCAUUGCAUCUUUAACGAUGUGCUUCCCCUUACUGGGUUCUUGAUCUUAGUUCUUCCAUGAGGUCACAAGCUCUACAUUGGCCUUCUGAUGCUCCACCAUCAUCAUCUUCAGCCAUUCCCAAUAACCCAAUCCAACAGUUGUUGAAUAAAGUGCGUUCCAUAUCCGAACAAUAAAGCAAAUUUAAGAUAUCGUUCGCAGCAUUCCAGGAUCAUUUUCUUUCUGAGCAACAACGUCUCUUUCUUCAACAAUAACAAAUUCUAGACCAUCACUAGCUUAUUUUCAUUGCUCUCAAAUUUUCGCCACCAUCCUUAUUAUCUUGUUUGCUACCUCAUCAGUGAUUUUCUUUUAUCUCUUUUGCUUCAUUGUUUUAUGCACCGACAUUAUUUAUCAUAUGCAUUUUCGUUUUUAGCAUCAUGGAUACUUGAUGGAUGUUAUUUUACUUAUGCAUUAUAGAUACUUGAGUUGAUAUGGAUUAUCUUUAUGCAUUCUAGUUAUUGAUUGUGGUAUCUUUAUUAAUUAUCUUUAUGGAUUAUCUUUAUUGAUUAUGGAUUAUGUAUAUGGAUACUUGAUUAAUGGUUAUGUGUGGAUUUUCGAUUGAUGAUCUUUGUGGGGGAUAAUUAUUGAUAAUAUUUGUAUAAUAGAGGAGUGAUUUUUCAUGAUGAAGGGGGAGAAGAUAUUGACAUGUAUUUUGAAGUGUUUUGACAUGUUUUUGGCUCAUGGGGGUUGAUUGAGUGUUUGUAGUAUUUUAGUUGCUUUCUGAGUCACUCAAGGAGAGUUUACAAAUGUUGUACAAUUAUUGUUAGCCUAUAUGGUUAUAAAUAUUGAUUUUGAUGAUAACAAACCACAUGUAUUGAUUAAGAAAAGAUUUAUUAAUUGUACUUUUAUAAUAAGAAAAUGAUGUUAUGGAAUUAAAGUAUUUUGGACUAAAAUGAAAGUAUUUUAAAAUCUUUGAUAGUGUUUUAAAUUUCGGAUUUGGACCUGUUUGAAACUAUUUAAAUAUUUUUUGAUUAUUCUAUAAUUUCAUAUAGUUUGGGUGAAAUCAUAAUUUCAGAAAGUUUUGGGAUUGACAAAGCAUUAUUUAAAAUUCUGAAAUUGGACCUAUUUGCAAAGUUUCAUAAAGUUUUGAGCCAUAAUAUAGUUUUAUAAAGUUUUGGGGUCAAACUAUAAAUUUAAAAAAUAUUUCACUGUAGCAGUAACUGUAGCAAGCGGCUUACCGGAUAUGGUUAAACGACAAACUGGAUAUUGGGCAGUAAGCGUCUGGAGCAUAAACGGCUUACCGGAUUUUGUAAGCAGCAAGCCGGAUAUUCUGAAAUUCAAAAUUUUGCCAUAACGGUAACAUAAAAGCGGCUUACCAGAUUCCUAAAUGGCAAGCCGGUUAUAACAGAAAAUGUGCAUAACAGCUAGUUUUUUAGCUCAAACUAUAAGAACUCAAAUCCAAAUCAUUUUCAAGCUCUCCAACAAGCAUAAACAAAAAGCACACGAGAUAUCUUGAGCUUUCAAGUUGCAAAACACAAAACAUUUAAUCAUGUCUUGUUUUUCAUUUUUGAAUAUCUGCUUUUUGAGUGAGUUUUAUUGUAACUUUCAUUUCUUCAUCUCAAUUGUAAGAGUUUGAGUGUGUGAGACACUUGAGUGAAGAGAUUGUUAGAUAAUCUCUUUGUUGUAAAGGUUCAUUGACACCUUGAAGUCAAUUGUAAACAGUUAAAACCUUGGAAAGGCUUGGAUAGUGAAAACCUCAAGCUUGGAUCGCUUGGAGGUGUGGACAUAGGCGGAGAUUGCCGAACCACGUAAAAAUUCGUAUGUUUGUUUCUUUUCUCCCUUACUCAUUAGUUAUUGUGUUUUUAUUGAACUUAUUGCUUUUAAUUUUUAUUAAGACAUUUAGAUUGCUUGUUGUGUGGAUUUGCUAAGAAAUUUUUUAAAAUUCCAAUUCACCCCCCUUUUUGGGUUGCACACUUAUAUUUCAUUUGGUAUUAGAGCGAGGUGCUCUUAUUUGGACCUAACCGUUUAGAACUAAAUAUCAAUGGCAACUCAAAAUGAUUCCACAUUUAGGGAAGGACAGUCCACUACUAGACCACCUUACUUUGAUGGAAACGAUUACCCAUAUUAGAAAACUAGGAUGAGAAUUUACUUGCAAGUCUUAGAUUAUGAAAUUUGGGAAAUCGUUAAUGAUGGUUCUUUCAUGCCUUUGACUAAAAAUGAAGUCGGAGAAGAUAUUCCAAAACCUUCACGGGAAUGGAAUGGAUUCGAAAAGAGAAAAGCUUCUCUAAAUUCCAAGGCCAUGAAUGCCUUAUUUUGUGCACUAGAUAAGAAAGAGUUUCAUAGAGUGUCUAGUUGCGAAAGUGCUAAUGAGAUUUGGCACAAACUUGAAGUUGUCUAUGAAGGCACGAACCAAGUGAAAGAAUGUAAAAUAAGUAGGUGCACUCGACAAUAUGAAUUGUUCCAAAUGGAACAAAAUGAAAAUGUGUACUCUAUGUAUACUAGAUUUACAGACAUAGUGAACACUCUAGGAGCCCUAGGAAAGACCUUUUUAAAUAGCGAGAAAGUCAAGAAAAUCAUUAGGUCGCUACCUAAGGAAUGGAGACAAAAAAGGACUGUCAUUGAGGAAGCCAAAGAUUUAAAUGUAUUACCUAUUAAUGAUUUAAUUGGUUCUCUCAUUUCAUAUGAAGAAGAUUUGGCAGCUGAAAAAGGGCAUGAGGAAAAGAAGAAAAACAUUUCUCUCAAGGCUUCAAAAUGUGAGAGUGAUGGGGAAAGCGAAAUGGAUGAUGAGGAGUUGGCAAUGUUGGCUAGAAGAUUUAGAAAAUUUUACAAAAAGAAUAAUGAGCAGAGAAAGUUCAGAGGCUACAAGAAUAAGAAGGAGAAGAAUGAGUCAAUCACUUGUUAUGAAUGCAAGAAACCCGGAUACAUACGACCGAAAUGUCCUCUUUUCAACAAACUCAAGAAGAAAGCUAUGGUGGCCACAUGGGAUGAUAGCGAUGAGGAAACAAGUGAUGAUGAUGAGCAACAGGAAAUGACAAAUUUAGAUCUCAUGGCCAUUGGGGAAGAAUCAUGUGAUGAACUUGAUGAGGUACGUGUUCUUCCUACAUAUGAUGAAUUACAUAAUGCCUUUAAGGAUUUGCAUGAUGAGCUGAUGAAGAUUGGUAAAAAGAAUAUAUGUCUUAAAAAGAAGAUAAUAGAGCUUAAAAAUGAAAAUGAAUCAUUUAGUGCAAAGAUUACAUGCCUAGAAUUAGAAAAUAAAACAUUGCAUGAUAGCAUUGCAUUAUUUGAGAAUUCUAGCACUCCACAUGAGCACUUAGAGUCACACAUGAAUGACUUGAAAAAUGAAAAUGAAAUGCUUAGAAAGAAGAGCAAUGAACUAAAUGAAAUUCUACUAAAAUUCACAAAUGGGAGAAAGAUGUUGGACAAUUUGCUAAACUCACAAAAAUGUGUAUUUGACAAAAGUGGCAUUGGUUAUAAACCAAAUUUGAAACAAAAAUUUUACAAGAGUUGUUUUGUGAAGAAUACAUCUAUUAACAAUCAAAUUGUAUGUCAUUAUUGUAAUCAAAAUGGUUAUAUGAAAAAUAGAUGUGCAGUGAAGAGAAAUGCAUAUUAUGGUGUGAAAUGUGUUUGGGUUCCGAAAGGAACCAUUGUUAACUCUUAAGGACCCAAAAAGGUUUGAGUACCUAAAACUUGAGAUUUUCUCUACAGGGCUUGAAGAAGAAGAAUAAUAAGUGUUACUUGGACAGCGGUUGUUCAAGACACAUGACAGGGAAUUAUUCUUGGUUUUCAAGUUUUACUAAGAUCGAAAAUGGUGGAGAUGUAUCAUUUGGAGAUAAUUCAAAAGGAAAAAUCAUUGGGAUUGGAAAUGUCGGUAAUGCAUCCUCUACUCUCAUUGAAAAUGUGUGUUUGGUUGAAAACUUGAAAACACAACUUGCUUAGUAUUAAUCAAUUAUGUGAUAAAGGAUAUAGAGUUAUCUUUGAUAAAUCAAAAUGUGUUAUUGAGAAUGCAUGUGAUGGGAAAGUUUUGUUUGUAGGAAAUAAAUGUGUUAAUGUCUAUACUAUUAAUAUAGAUUGUGUAUCAACAAAUGAUAAAUGUCUCUCUGCAUUACAUGAUGAUGGUUGACUGUGGCAUAGAAGAUUAGGUCAUGCAAGCAUGGAUUUGAUUUCAAAAAUCGUGAAAAAUGAUUUAGUUAAAGGUCUUACAAAAAUUAGUUUUCAAAAAGAUAGAAUUUGUGAAGCAUGCCUAUUUGGAAAAAAAAUCAAAACUUCCUUCAAAAGCAAGAAUCAUGUCUCUACUUCAAAACCACUUCAAUUACUUCACAUAGAUUUGUUUGGACCUUCUAGAUAUGCUAGUUUAAGUGGCAAAUUUUAUGCAUUUGUAAUUGUGGAUGAUUAUUCUAGAUACACAUAGGCAUUGUUCUUAGCUAAUAAGGAUGAUGCCAUUGAUGCAUUUCAAAUUUUCUCUAAAAAGGUUCAAAAUGAAAAAAGGUUAUUCUAUUACUUGUAUUAGAAGUGAUCAUGGUGAAAAAUUUGAAAAUCAUGCAUUUGAAAAUUUUUGUAAUGACUUUGGCAUUGAACAUCAAUUUUCAUCACCUAAGACUCCACAAUAAAAUGGAGUAGUAGAGAGAAAGAAUAGGUCUAUUCAAGAAAUGACUAGGAGCAUGUUGAAUGAAAACUCUAUGCUUGAGUAUUUUUAGACCGAAACCGUCAACACCGCUUGUUAUGUUUUAAAUCGUGUGUUGAUUAGACCUAAUCUUAAUAAAACUCCAUAUGAGCUUUGGAAAGAUAGAAAACCCAACAUUGGCUAUUUUAAAGUUUUUGGAUGCAAAUGUUUUGUUUUGAUCACAAAAGAUAAUCUUGGUAAAUUUGAUCCAAAAUCUGAUGUUGGUAUUUUUCUUGGUUAUUCAAAUUCAAUCAAAACUUAUAGAGUUUAUAAUAAAAGAACUUUAGUUGUGGAAAAAUCUAUGCAUGUUACAUUGAUGAGUCUAACCCCUCCUCUACGGAGAAAGUCGUUGUUGAUGAUAAUGCAGAAGAAGAACUACAAGAAGAAGCAUCAAAUGACAACCAGAAGAUGCACCACAUGAAAUUCAAGAGGAACAUCAUGAAGAAAACAAAUGUAGAGCAAAAUGAAGUACUUCUCAAACACUCCCAAGGAGUGGAGGUGUGUUUCCUCUCACCCUUAGGAUGUAAUUUUAGGAGAUCCCUCACGAGGUGUUACCACUAGAUCAUCUCUUAGGAACACAUGUGAGCAUGCUGCAUUUAUUUCUCAAAUUGAACCAAAAUCCUUUGCGGAUGCAGAAAAUGAUGAAUCUUGGAUUAUGGAAAUGCAAGAAGAGUUGAAUCAAUUUGAGAGAAACAAUGUGUGGGAGUUAGUUCUAAAUCCAGAACAUCAAUCCAUUAUAGGCACUAAAUAGGUAUUUAAAAACAAAAUGGAUGAAUUUGGUGUGGUUGUAAGAAAUAAAGCUAGAUUAGUGGCUCAAGGUUACAACCAAGAAGAAGGAAUUGAUUUUAAUGAAACUUUUGCACCUGUAGCAAGGUUAGAAUCCAUUAGGAUGUUGUUAGCAUAUGCAUGUCAUAAGGAUUUUAUUUUAUAUCAAAUGGAUGUCAAGAGUGCUUUCUUAAAUGGUUAUAUUAUGGAGGAAGUUUAUGUGAAACAACCUCCUGGUUUUGAAAAUGAAAAUUUUCCAGAUCAUGUGUAUAAGUUAUCUAAGGUUUUGUAUGGUCUAAAACAAGCACCUAGAGUUUGGUAUGAUAGGCUUAAAAACUUCUUGUUGGAUAACGAUUUUUCGAUGGCUUAAAAAUCAGAAUGCCAAAAUAUAAAACAACAGUUAAAUUCCAUUUAAACUCCAAGAAAAGUAAUUCAAAUUCCGGCCACCGAGCCAAGUUCUCCAACAAAAUUUCCAAAGAUUAAUGGAAAUAUUCCAAUAGCAAGACUUCCAGAAGCAAUACCCUCUUCCAGCGGCAAUACAUUGUUUAGAACUACAACACUAAAACAUAAAAGCCAAAUACUAUAUUAAACUCAUAAAAAGCUUAUAAUUUACAGGAGAAACUGAAAGUAUCAAUCAAUUUUGAGGCAACCAAUUUGACAAUUUAAUAUUAAACUCAUAAAAAGCAUUGCCAGUAGUGAGUUUAAAUAUACCUGCAUCUGUGUCCUUGCCAAUUCAAUGGGGUAGCAACUAAUACAUGCUAAUGAACGUGCAACAGACCCAGCAACUAGGGGAACAUAUUGUGCCAACAUUGGAGCAUUGUCAAUAGGGAAUUUUCCAUCAAAUUGCGAAAACUGUCAUAACAAGGAAGGUAAAUUCCCACCUGAAAAGAGUAAUUAACAGAAAAAAAAGAAAAUAAUCAUCAUAAUGCAAAAAAAUUUCAAUGCCACACUGAUGUAUGGGAUGAAAUAUUUGAAGAAACACAAGCAAUUUAUGUACAAGAGAGACUUAUUGUUGGCAUAGACAACGCUAAACUUGCAUAAGUGCCUCUCCAUAGUCGGGCAAAUCCCUCCUGCACAUGUUUAGCUCUUAUGAAACCUUUGAUAUUAAAGAUCAAAAUUUAAGAUUCACUAACAGUAGCACCAAGAAAUCUAUUUAUUGAAGGCACAUUAACUACACAAUACAAAAUCUCUUUCCAUAAUAUAUGUAAUCACACUGCAAGUAUAAUGCAGUACACUAAAAUGCCAUCAGUUGACUUGUUCUAAAAAAUGUCUAUAAGACAUUCUGUACAAAUCCCAGUUCUUACGGAGUUAUUUUGCCCAUGGAUCAAAUCACUUUAGGACUGGAAAAAUGACGUCAUCUAAAUAGGAAAUUAGGAGUAAUAACAUGUAAUUCCAAUUGAAUUUAGUUUUUCUUCUUCAUAAUUUUCCUGUGAACUAUAACAACUGCUUUCUAGGAUCUCUUUCUUCUUUAGAGAUACAAUAGUUUUACAAAGAUCCAAUAUAAAACUCUUUAGGAUAAAAAUAGUCCAAGGAAAGCUUUUCUCAACAGCAUAAACUAUACACUUUUGGAAAACUUCAGUUCUUUUUAUUAGAUAUAUGUGUAAUUUAUUCAUAAAGUCCUUGUAUCCACCAACCUGGCAUACGAAUUUGUAGAAAACAUCCAGUGUUCCUUUAUAUUUAUUACAUUCUGGAGCUGGUUUAGAGCCUGGAACUGCACACGUGCAUGAUGGGGAAUUUCUCAUAUCUGGAAGCAUCUACAGAAACAAUUUGAAAGACAACACUUGUCACAAGAUCAUAUAACAAAGAGCAAUAAGAAUAGUAAUUGUUGAGUGUUAGAAAAUGUAUAUUUAUAAAGGAGAAAAUCGUCAUUUUACAUUUCAAGUCUUACUAACAACCCUUACUUUUAUGUAUUUAAGCCUCUUGUAAUUUAAUUAUGUGUGUUUUAUUUUAAUUAAGUAUUUUAUGUAUUUUAGGGACAUCAUAGUCAUUUCACAAUAAACGAGAGAUCAAAUGGCAAAACGACAUCACUUUUGAACUCAAGACGGUCGAAAACCUUAGGAGGAGCAUAAAAGGAAAAAUGGUAUUGUUCACAUGUACGAUACUAUUCACGUGUACGGUACUGUAUACGUUACUGUUCACGACAUGUUCACAUAGACGGAAGAUGACGUGGCAUUGACCGAUGAUGUGCAUUGACUGAUGAGGUGUCACGAUCCUGUUGGACUAAAAUUCUUAUGUACUGGAGGUAACGUGGCAGCAUAUAGUGGACUAAAAAUCUCGCGUACGGUACAUGCAUACACAUGAUUAUUUUCAACCAAACCGCGUUACUGUUCAAACCCGGUCAAAUCGUGUUACUGUUCAUCCGCGUGGUCAAACCGCGUACUGUUGACUGAUGACGUGGCGCAAUCCUGAGUAUCCAAACUGUUUUUAAUCCGAUGACCAUGAUUUACUCCAUGUAUCUAUAAAAGGGGCCUUCCCCCCUAAUUUGCAUCUUGAAUCUAUUUUUGGGAUCCAUUUUCUGUAAUUCCUUCUCCAUUUUGUAUUUUCUACGUAUUUUAAUAAAUUACCAUUUUGCCCCUAGUUCAAUUAUGAGUAGCUAAUUUUCUUUCAAACUUGGGUUGAAGGUGAAAUCUCAACAUGUGUCAUGGGCUUUAUUUGGGAAAUUUAUUUUCUUUUCCCCUCUAAUUUUUGUGGAUGAUUUGACUUUUUCGUCGACAAAUAAUAAUAAUCUUGUCUAAAUACCGCAUUGGUUACACCGGCUCUCUAGUACAAUGUUAUUAUUAUUUGGCACGAUAAGCCCUUAGCACCAUAUUGAUUAGAGCGUGGUUCAUGAGGUGUGGAUUCCCCCCUCAUGAUUUAAUUGCAUUAAUAUGGAUUAUUUAGCCCAUGUUGCAUGUUGAUACGGAUCCAGAUACCCAAGUACAUCAUUUCAAUAGAUUUCACUUCAAUUUAUUCUCACCAUUUCAAUUCCAAUUUUAGAAUAAUCUAAAGUUACUUUCACCACAAAUCCAACCACCCAUUUACAAAAUUAAUUCUACACACAAUUAAAAUCUACCUCCUCGUGGGAUCGACACUCGUCACCAUUGAUCUAUACUACAAUAGAUUCGUGCGCUUGCGAGUACAUUAAAAUUUGCACAACACUAGCCUCCACUUAUAAAUGACUUAUUCACCUAAUUAGGGCAUGUCGUCAUCUCUUUGCUUCCUUUUCUUCAAUUUUCUCUCUAUCUUUUAAAUCAUCAGUCAUUUCUCCACUUUAGGAGGCCAUUUUUAUUCUCCACCUUUAUCAUAUUCUCUAAGAUAUUAUCAUUCUCAAUAUCUUAUUAACAAUCUUCAUUUUUAUCAAUACCAAACAUCUCUGUAUUGCUAUCUAGCUUGUGUUAUUCAUUUUGAAUAAUGUAAAAUCUUAUAUAACCUCUCAUUUAUAUAAUGGAUUGGUGAUGAUCUGCUCUCAUGGAUGUAGGCCAAAAGGUGAAACAUGUAAAUACUGUGUGUUCUUUAUAUUUAUGUUUUAUUUUGCUAUUUUCAAUUUGAGGUCGAGAUUGUUUUUCAUGUAUGAGCUUAUCAAUAGAUACCCAGUUACACCAAGUAUUCUGUGAGACUAUCUAUACUAUUCCUUGAGUAUAUCUGAGCCAUACCUAAACAUAUAUUAGCCCUCUAUCAAAUCCUACAAGACUCCAUUGAGCUCUCCCUAUUUUUCCUCCCACCUGAACUCACUAUAUCUACUACUUUUGCUCACUAUCUAGGAUAAUUCAGCUAAACUACCUGGCCCAAAUACUAUAAAAAUACACGUAAACCCAAACUUAUCACAAGCUCCCUUCAAAUAUAAGUUUAUUUGUUUGAAUCAAAUUUAAACUGGGUCCAAUGAGAAUCAGCCAAUUGGUACGAAUAAGAUCUUAAUGAAAAUUUGGUGAACACAUAUAUUAAAUUAUAGAGUAUGAUUGCUACAACUAUUUUAUUAUACUUAGAAUAAGAAAAGAUAAAAUAUUGUGUGCAUUAUUUUAAUCCAUAUUCCAAGAUACUCAUUGCCCAAAAGAUACCAAAAUCAGUUUCAAGAUUCCAAUAUGUGAAUAUAUAUAUAUACAUAUUUUUAAAUUUCAUCCGUUAAUGCAUACAUACGCAAGAUUCAAAAUCCCAACUACAUCCAUAUAAUUUUUAUUAAUUUAUGAAAUUAAUAGUACCUAUCGAAAUGAUGAAUGAUACAUGACCCACCAUAUUGUCACUUUUUAUAUUUUCUUUAUACAAACAUUUAUUCAUAUCUCUAAAUACCCACUUUGUCAUAGAGUUCGGUUAUACGGUUCACAGCUUAUACAAAUAUAGUGGUUGAUUUUUUAAUCAAAUUUUAAAUUCAAUUUCCCAAAUUGGUUUAAAUUGAACUUUAAAGAUAAAACAGUUAUUUUAUUUUAUUUUAUUAUCACUGCUACACAAAAAGAUAAAAAAUUGAUACAGUUUAUAAAUUUGGAGUUAAAUCGUUAUUCGUUAAACAAUGUAUAUUUUUUGAUUUUUUAAAACUAGAGAAAGUAAUAACUGGACAAUUAAAAUUAAAAAAAUCCAAACUUACAUAAUGCUUGCACAUUAUACAUUGUUGCAACGGUUGUUCCAUGGUCAAAUUUACAUCUGCAUAAAAAGUAUCAUACUUUAACACAUGUAUAUUAUAUCAUUCAUAUACUGAUCUAAUAAAAUUUUACUGUAUACAUAUUCAAUUUUGAGAUAAAUCAUGAUGUGUGAUAGGGAUUUUAUUAAGAAUAUCUGAGGAUAUGAAAAACAAGGAUUUUUCUAGUUUAGCAAGUCGUGAGAGCAUAUCAGGAAUAAGGUUGUGGUCUCUUUUAUAUGUUUCACUGAGAAAUCAUAUUUUGAAAACCAGUCUUUGAGCCUAAGCAACUUUUACUUUUCUAAAAGCUUGUGGCUUGUAAUUAUGACUUUGCUUUUCAAAAAGUGAUAGGGGUCCUGUCCUAUCCUUUUUCUUGGUUUGCCUCCUAUUUAAGCUCGGCUUCUCUUGGUUCCCAUAUGCCUAAUAAGGAUAUCUUGUUAGGAUUUGAUAUCAUUCACCAGAAUAAAACACCUUCAAAUCAUUCCUAUUGAAAUUCGAGUCAAGUCCAUGUUUAAACCAUACAUAGUAGCUAUGCUUAAAAAUCAUUAAACGUGUAAGGUGUAUUUGACACAUUAUAUUACAAUAUAGUGUAUUGCAUUAACAUGCAUUGCAUUAAGUUGUAAUGCAAUACUAUGUUUGGGUAAUAUGGACUCUAUAUAUAAAAUAAUAUUAUAUUAUAUAAAUGUUAAAAUUAAAUAAUAUUUAUUAAUAUUUAAGAUUUUAUUAUUAAUUUUUUAAAUUAAGUACUUACUAAUUACUUUUAUAUAUUAUUAUUAUAAUACAAAAAUGACCUAAUAAUAACUAUUAUUAAAUAAUAAAUAUUAAAUUGGUAAAGGAAAUUAUGCAAGAAAACGACGAGCUCGAAGAAUUUCUGUUGCUUGUCAUAAGUGUGCCAGAAUGGAGUUGCGAUAGAAACCCAUGUUCUUUAGGAAUGGUGUCUGAUAACAGGGAAGAUAAGAUUCAAUUCAUUAGGGAUGGCUUGAAUAAGGAGUCAUUGGAUGAUAUCCUUUUGUCUCUUGAAACGCAUCCCAGUGGAUAUGUGCAAGGAGCGAUUCUCCGGUUAUGGCCAUUAUUCCAGAAAGAGCAUGCACGAUAUAGUCUCGGGAAUCUGACUAUAAACGACCCUGUUUGCCAGUUUAUAAGAAAACUGGAUGGGAAGCCCAUCCUCGACCUAUAGAGGGCGUUCAAGCCGUUUCUGGACGUAAAACCAGAGGAAGAUGUGAGCCACAGUCGCAACUACGUGUAAAUAUCCUUUUACUUUACUGUUAUUUUAUUUCAUUUCACUGUUGUUUUAUUGUUUGCAUUAUUGUCUUUAAUAAUUUUAUUACUGUUUGUUUUUUCCUUUUUACUAUUUCCUUUUUGACUCGCGAGCCACGUGCUUUACGCGUUAUUUGACACUGACAUGUUACCUCAUUCACAGCUGUGAUCCAUUGUCACCAAGAUUCUUAAAUGUGAUUUAUCUUUUGUCAAGCACUCACAAAUUAUUUUUGAGAAAGUAUCACAAUGGCAGCUACUCCCAAUAGACAAUUCAAGAACAUUUGUGUGCUUUCUGGAUUUACCUAUGGCAAACAUAAAGAGUUCGUGGAGGCAGCCAUAGAUCUUGGUCGAAGCAUAGCAGCGAGAAAAUUACAUUUGGUGUAUGGAGGAGGUAACCGAGGGUUUAUCAAAAAUGGUCUCAGAAGCAGCUUUUAUCAGAGGAAGUCAAGUGUUAGGCAUCAUCCCAAGAGUCCUAAAACCAUUGGGCAGUUCGUCUGACUCAUCAACUGGAGAAGAGUUAGUCGUCUCAGGUAUGCAAGAAAGAAUAACUGAAAUGCUUAAUCAUGCUGAUGCUUUUAUUUUCCUUCCAGGAGAUCUUGCAACACUAGAGGCACUUUAUGACACUAGCAUCUUGGGCCCAUCUGCACAUCCACCAGAAACCCAUCGGUUUGUUAAAUGUCAAUAACUUUUAUGAUGGCUUUAUCGCAUUUCUUAACCAUGCAAUAAAAAACUAUUUCAUUCCUUCUAAUGUGAAAAAACUCUUUAUUUGUGCUCACACUGCUAAUGAGCUACUUGAUAUGUUACAAGCUUAUAAACCGGAGCCAGACCCCUGGACCUUUGUGUUGGAGCGACCAAAUAAUGAUGGUAACAGUAGCCGCAGUAAGAAGUACAAAUUAGAUUUAACUCUCCGCCUGUAAAUAUUUUCUUCUGUGUUGCACCACCCAGGUGAUGUCUUCUAAACUCUACUUCUUUCCUUUAAAACAUUGAGGACAAUGUUUCAUUCUGGUUGGGGGGAGGGAAUAGUCGACAAUUGUGGAAUCUUGGUUAAGUUUUUACUGAUUUUUUGUUGUAGAAACUAACUGUUGCUAACGUUUUGUGUUGAAGAUGGCUGAAUAUGGAGUGUAGUUACUCUAGAAACGCAUUUUUUGUUGUAGAAACUAACUGUUGCUAACGUUUUGUGUUGAAGAUGGCUGAAUAUGGAGUGUAGUUACUCUAGAAACGCAUCUUCAUUGUUUAAAAAAAAAAAAAAAAAACCGUUUUCUUCCUCUUUCUCCUUUAUAAAUAUGCAGUUUCAAAUUUUUUAGUCGAAGAUGGCUGAAUAUGGAGUGUAGUGCCUCUAGAAACGCAUCUUCUUAGUUAAAAAAAAAAAAAAAAAAAAAUUCUUUUUCUAAUUAAUUUUUUCUACAUCAUUUUCACAUUUCUGCAUGCAUAUUUUCCUUUCAUGUUUAGAAUAGGUUGGGGGGUAGAAUGUUGUUUAAAAAAAAAAAAAAAAAAUUUUGUGUUAUUUGUUUUAACAUUGGAUGACAUGAUUAAUUUCAAAUUUUAGUAUUUGUAUUAUCUUUGGUCUUAAGUGAUGUUACGCUAUGUUUGCUACUUUACAUGUUGAUGUCAGAGACAAAUAUGAGUUGCUUGAAGGAAUGAACAUGUCAUAAAUAAGUGCCAAGUGAGUAGUUGAGCCUAUCAUUUUUCUUGGAGAGUAACCAUUUUGCGCAUUCUCUAUACAGCUUAGCAGUUUAUUAUUUUAUACACGAUCUCUAGAUUUCUUUUAAGUUAACCCUUUAAAAAAAAUAUGGUAAAAUUAAAAAAAAAAAGAAAAAAAAAAGAAAAAAGAAAAAAAUGUGUGUUGCUACAUUGGGAGGCCCAUCUAACUAGUAGAUAUGGAUAAUUAUUUAGAGCCCUAAAAGACGAUGGAAAGGCCAUCUUUGAUCCGUUUGAGCCUUUCUAGCCAUCCCUUUUAUUAAAUAUCCAUAGUUACCCCUUUUGAGCCUUUAAAAAAAAAAAAAAAAAGAACAAAAACCUUUUCUUUGUCAACUUAUCAUCUUGACCCACUCCGAUUUGGAGUAUUACCCAAUGUCUUUUAAGUUCCAUCACCUAUUUAUGUUUGAGAAAAUGUAAAUAAUUAUGUUGUUCAGUGAAGUUAUGCCAAAUAAAAGCAAAAAGAAAAAAAAAAACAAAAACAAAAGUUGUUGUUUCAAAAGAAUAAAAAUAACAAUAAUAGGUGAAAUCCACCUUGCAAGUUCCAAAAAAAAAAAAAAAAAUUCUGCAUUUUUCUCAAACAUACACUUUGUUUUCCUUAUUUCCUUUCUUUGUUAGCCAUAUCCCUAGCCUACGUUACGUCCUAAUAAAAGUCCUUCUUGAUUUUAGGGAACUAUAGUUUGAAGUAGAAGCUAGUUAUAUGGGCUAAAAAGAUGUAGUGAUGCAUAAUAAAAAAAAAAAAAAAAGAUAAAUAAAGUGGGUUGACUAACAUUUUAUUUGACUUGAGAUCGUAUUAUUUCUAAGCUGAGGGCAUAUUUAUUUCAUCUUGGUGAGAGCAUGUGAUAUCAUUUCUUUAUUAUUUUCUCUCUCAAUUACCAUUCAUUGGAGUGACUAUGUUUAUUGGGUUUUAAUUUCUUUGUGAGAGUGUCAUUACUUCCAGUGAGAUUUUGGGGUUUGACAUGUCAUUCUUGAAAGUAGCUAUAACAAAGUCUACUGGGCUAAUUCAUGUGGAUGGUUGAUGUGGGUGUGAUGUUGCUUUAGACUGAAGAUAAUGCUUAUACUUUUAUUUGAUUGCUAUCAUUAAUCUGAUUGAAUAAACACGAGUGUUUCCCAUAAAAAAAAAAAAAAAUCAUUUUGAAUUUGAAUUUUGUUUUCGCUUUAUUUGCUAGGGACUAGCAAUAAGCUGGUUGGGGGGUGUAUUGAGUGUUAGAAAAUGCAUAUUUAUAAAGGAGAAAACCGUCAUUUUACAUUUCAAGUCUUAUUAACAACCCUUACUUUUAUGUAUUUAACCUUCUUGUGAUUUAAUUACAUGUCUUUUAUUUUAAUUAAGUAUUUUAUGUAUUUUAGGGGCAUUAUAGUCAUUUCACAAUAAAGGAGAGGUCAGAUGGCAAAACGGACAUCACUUUUGAACUCAGGACGGUCGAAAACCUUAGGAGGAGCAUAAAAGGAAAAAUGGCACUAUUCACAUGUACGGUACUAUUCACGUAUACGGUACUGUCUACGUUACUGUUCACGACACUGUUCACAUAGACGGAUCGAUGACGUGGCAUUGACCGAUGAUGUGGCAUUGACUGAUGAGGUGUCACGAUCCUGUUGGACUAAACUUCUUAUGUACUGUUGAUGGUGACGUGGCAGCAUAUCAGUGGACGAAAAAUCUCGCGUACGGUGCAUGCAUCACACAGGAUUAUUUUCAACCAAACCGCGUUACUGUUCAUCCGGGUCAAACCGUGUUACUGUUCAUCCGCGUGGUCAAACCGUGGACUGUUGACUGAUGACGUGGCGCAAUCCUGAGCGUCCAAACUGUUUUUAAUCCGAUGGCCAUGAUUUACUCCAUGUAUCUAUAAAAAGGGGGCCUCCCCCCCCUAAUUUGAUAUCUCUGAAUCCAUUUUUGGGAUCCAUUUUCUGUAAUUCCCUCUCCAUCUUGUAUUUUCUUUGUAUUUUAAUAAAUUCCCAUUUUGCCCCUAGUUCAAUUAUGAGUAGCUAAUUUCUUUUCAAGCUUGGGUUGAAGGUGAAGUCUCAACAUGUGUCAUGGGCUUUAUUUGGUAAAUUUAUUUUCUUUUCCCCUCUAGUUUUUGUGGAUGAUUUGACUUAUCGUCGACAAAUAAUACUGAUCUUGUCUAGAUACCGCCUUGGUUACACCGGCUCUCUAGUAUAAGGUUAUUAUUAUUUGGCACGAUAAGCCCUUAGCACCAUAUUGAUUAGAGCGUGGUUCAUGAUGUGUGGAUUCCCCCAUCAUGAUUUAAUUGGCAUUAAUACGGAUUAUUUAGCCCAUGAUGCAUGUUGAUACGGAUCCAGAUACCCAAGUACGUCAUUUCAAUAGAUUUCGCUUCAACUUAUUCUCGCCAUUGCAAUUCCAAUUUUAGAAUUUAUUAUCGCAAUUUCAAUUCCAAUUUUAGGAUAAUUUAAAUCACUUCCACCACAAUUCCAACCACCCAUUUUGCAAAAUUAAUUCUAUACACAAUUAAAAUCCACCUCCUCGUGGGAUCGACACUCGUCACCAUUGAUCUACACUACAAUAGAUUCGUGCGCUUGCGAGUUCAUUAAAAUUUGCACAACAGACAAAUAAUAAUAAUUUUGUCUAGAUACCGCUUUGGUUUCACCGGCUCCCUAAUACAAGGUUAUUAUUAUUUGGCACGAUAAGCCCUUAGCACCAUAUUGAUUAGAGUGUGGUUCAUGAGGUGUGGAUUCCCCCCUCAUGAUUUAAUUGACAUUAAUAAGGAAUAUUUAGCCCAUGGUGCAUGUUGAUAUGGAUCCAGAUACCCAAGUGUUUCAUUUCAAUAGAUUUAUCUUCAAUUUAUUCUCGCCAUUUUAAUUUAAGUUUUAGAAUAUUCCAAAUCAAUUUCACCAGAAAUCCAACCACCCAUUUACAAAAUUAAUUCUACACACAAUUAAAAUCCACCUCUUAGUGAGAUCGACACUUGUCACCAUUAGUCUAUUGUACAAUAGAUUCGUGCGCUUGCGAGUUCAAUAAAAUUUGCACAACAGUAAUGUCUAUGCAUAAUGAUCAUAACAGAAAAGAGAAUUCAUCUAUCACAUUUAUCAUUCCAACCCUCUCAAAAUACUAACUGAAGGAAAGGAGGAGACAAAUUUAACAAAAGCAAACCAAGGGGGAAAACUAGAGGAAAGCAAAACAGAUGACAUGCAUUUUUAAAACAUUUGGAUUCAUUCUCUUAACAAGUUAUCUAACACUUAAUACAUUUAGUACCUAUAGAAGUUAGACGAUGGCAAGAGCUUAGACCAUAAUAGCAAUUGAUGAAAUUUCAUUACGUAAAAUACCACUCAGUUUUGGUAAGACUGUUAUGUGUGCUCAAUAUAAGUCAUUUUGAUAUCAGUACACUAAGAUUUUUUUUCUUGAUAUGGCUGUUCAUGUAUAGAGAAGAUACCCCACUUUCUCUAAUAUCAAUGUUUCAAGCAUUUUCUUUCCUCAUAAGAUACCAUUUCGGAUAGUGUACAAUGCAAAGUAAAGAAUCCCAAAAAGGGCAGUUCACAUACCAUGUUACUUUCAAAAGAUGCUGUACAACAUAGACCCUCAUAAGGGACGCCAGCAGCCUGGGCUUGCAACCUUGUCUGAAGAUGAAGGCAGGAAAUCUAUUAGCUUUGUAGCUUCAUCAUGAAAUCUCAAAAGAUGAAGCAAUGUGAAGACUAGGAUUUCUGAAAAAAACUGGAGAAGAGAUAGAGGAUCCAUGCAACAAGCAUCACUCAAAUUUAGAAAAUAAUUGGGUGACUUUAGCCCACGUUUAAAAUAUUUAUAAUAAUUAGUAAAAGAAUAGUGAAAAGUAGCUGAAUAAAGAAAAUUUAAUUUUUCCAUCUUUUUGCUUCCUUUUCUUUCAUUCUCCGAAAGAAUCAUAGCUUCUCAAGGACUGAGAAUAAUGACACAACAUUUGGAUUUUAUUCUUGAGAUAAAGAGAAACAAUAAUUAACAUCUAUCCACAAUACCAUUCUCAAAAGUAGAAAAAAUAAUAAUAAUACUAACAAUAAUAAAAAAUAAUGAAAAUGACAAUUAAAGGGAAGAAAAUUUUUGAUAUAACAGACAAAAUUAGCAAUGAAUAAGUUAAAUAAAGAAAAAAUGAAAUGAAAAUUUAGGUGGAGUAGAGUCAUUAUAAAACCUUAGUGACAUCGAGAGGAUUAAUAAUAACGGCAGAAACAAUAGCAGCGCCGUUAGCAGAGAAAGCCCUUUCUGCAAACCCCAAACUGAAAUCUUUUAUGGCUUCUGAAUGUCGUAAAGCUUCCUCUUUAGACGAAGUCUCUGAUGAUACUGAGAUAGACAAAACGCUUCCCUCCAAAUCAACCCUAGUCGCCGCCAACCUGAAACGGAAUUAAGAAGCGGCAGCGAGCUGACUGAGGAGAUCGAAAAUACGCUUCUGAAAAGUAAAAUAAAUUGAACAAAUCUUGAAAAUUUGAACAAACACCCAUAAAUUUGAACAAUUUUUACAAAACAAGAAUCAUCAAAACCUAACUCUAGCAAAAAUUGAAAAUUAAAAAACAAAACAAACAAGAACAUCGAAAUCACACAAGCUAACCCUGAAUAGCGCGAACAAAUCAAAGCUUGAAAUUAUGAAAACACAAUUGAAAUCAUGGCAUAAUGGAUUCACAUAAGCGACGAGAAACAACAUGCAAAUGAGAAAUUGGACAUGAGGAGUGGCUAAGAGGCCGUUGUUGAAGAAGUGCUUGCUGUACCAGUGCUUCUUGCUGCUGCUGAUGCUGCUUCAACCUCUAGUACUGCAUUUUCCUUCAGAAUCGAAGGAUUUGUAAACUGUUUGUCGAAGGAUUUGUAAACUGUUUGGUUCCCAAGAAAAUUUCGUUAUGGUUUCUCGAGAAAAUGAAAUAAAAGAAAUAAACAAAGAAAACGAGAGACGAGAGAAGCAACGUUUUAUUUUCUAAGUGUGUAUUCGUUUAAUACUUAGGGAAAAAAAAAAGGAAGAAAUAAAGUUUAAAGUACCCAAAACGGUACAGUUUUGCUAGCAUUUUUUCUUAAUUAUUAAAAACCACCUUUUGUUUUUUAAAUAAAAUAAUAUAUAAAAUUUGAGUCAAAUAUAGUCAAAGUAAUUUUUCUAUCAUAAUUUCUUGAUAGAUUAAAUUUCUAUCACGAUUCUAUCAUAAGUUCGUGAUAAAUGAUAAUCAUAUCAUAAAGUCAUCAUAUAUUCAUGAUAGAAAAUAUUUCUAUCACAAGACCAUCAUUAAUUAAUGAUAGAUUGAAAAUUAUGUCAUAAGUUUAUCAUAAUUUUAUGAUAUACCUAGAAUCUGUCAUAAGUUGUUUGUCAUCUAUUAGCAAUUUUCUUGUAGUAUUCAAAAUGAAUAACUUUAUUCUACCAUCUCUCAAAUAAUAAAAACAUCAACAGCACAUCAUCGUCAUCAAUAAUAAUAAUAAUAAUAAUAAUAAUAAUAAUAACAACAACAACAACAACAACAAUAAUAAUAAUUUAACUUUGUAGGAUGGAGCUCUCGCAAAUCUUCAAGACACAAAAUGUGCUUGGCCCCGUUGUUGUUAUUAUAAUUUCAAAAUGACUUGAAUUAUAUAAAAUUUGGGAAUAAGACAUAGCAAAAUUGAUGGUACAUAUGUUGCAAUAUACUUGUUCAUGUAGCGACACAUUAAAGUAAAGCAAAACAAUAUACUUGUUCACUCAUUAUGUAGAUUUUCAAUAGAAGUAAUGCAAAUUUCACAAGGGCAAUGGCCUUAUUUCGAAUGUUGCACUUGUGGAAUGACAUGAACCUUCGAUACGUCACAAAUGUAUCAUGAAAGUGUGAUAAAUUUGUGACAUAUAUAUAUAUGUUCAGAGUUUAUAGCAUAUUCAUGACUUAUAAUUUAACUAACAUAAAUAAAUGAUAGAUAUAAGUGAUGCUCAAGUUUUGUGGAUUUAUAAUAUCUUAAAAUGAUGACUAUUUAAACGACAAGUGUUGAAUAAACCCCUCUCUCGCCGCAACCUAAAAUCAAUGAACUUUGAGCCAUUCUCAACAACAUUGUGUAGAACCCUAGCCCUAACCCUCACUUCCACCACCGAUAAAGCUAAGAAAGUUUUCCGUAUAUCAGAACCAUGGCGAAUUGCCUUCAGCUCGUAGGACCCAUAAUAAAUCUUGUAGUCCCUCGCUUUCACUUUGCUAAUUUUUUGUAUUAUUCCAUCUCUUUCACUUUAAUAACCCAAAAUCUUUCUCUGUUUCAAUUGAAAGAAGACCCUAGCUUAAAUUAAGUUGAAAUUUACGUAUCAAAGCUCUCGCUCAGCUUCCCUCCUUCAAUUGAAACAAAACGAAGCCAUAAGACCCCAAUAUGCCACGCCCUUUUGUCUCAGGCCAACAUUCAUUUAAACCCUACCUUUUGGUUCAAUGCCAUUUAAUGCGAUUGCAGAUGCCGUUUCAACUCAUUAUUUAGUUAACGCCAUUCAGUUCUUUGCGGUAAGCCUUAACCCUAAUAACUAAUCAACUGUGGUAGCACGUUGCUGACUGGGGUGGGAAUACAUUAAUUGAAUAUAUGAAUUGGGUGAUGUCAGUGAUUCAUCCCCCUAUUUGCCGUGAAUUGAGAUUUGUGUAUAAUGUUUGUAAGAUUGUUAAAAAUUUCAUGUUCCAGUCGAAUUUCUUGCUUGUGGAAGAUAAAACAAAAGUUUAAUCUAUAUAUAUAUAUAUAUAUAUAUAUAUAUAUAUUAUCUUCUUUAUAGUCAGGCUCUGGCUUUGCUGCUAUGCUUAGAGCAGUUCAUGGUUUCAAGAUUAAAUUAGGUUUAUUUGACGACAUCGAUAUCUUAUCUAGCUCUGCUUGAAAAUGAAAAUGUUUUACUAGCAAUCAUAGACUUUGUUUAUUCAGUUGAUAUUUUAAUUAUACGUAUAAGAAUGAAGGUUUAUUUGGGAAAAAAAGAAAUAAAGAAAUAGGCUCUGUUGAAGCUAAUUAAUACUUCAUUCUUUCUAUACGUGCGACCUGUGGUGGAAACAUGAUAUGAGAAUGUGUUACUGGUGAGGUUGCUGCUUGAGAUGAGAAUGAUGAGAAUGCCUUCUAUUCGGAAAUCCUUGGUAGGUAUUAUAUAAUUAUAUUUGAUGGAAUAUUAAAUAGCUAAAGAACCUGUGAUAAUGUCUUUGUUCAAUGGUUACUGUAGUAGUGUUUGUUGGUCUUUUUCUGGUUGGCGUUUGGAUGUUAAUGUCAUCAUCAGUUGUACUGGUGUGGGAUCCAGGAUGUUGUCCUCUUAAGAGCCUAUAAGCAAAGUGAAACAGAGAGGAUCUGAGAUUUUUCUGGGCCUUUCGUAGAAAAUCAAGGUGAUGAAUGACAGGAUUCAACAAAUGGGGAUGGGGAUGAUGUUCCUGUUGAAAAGUUAGAGAAUAGAGUGGAGGAUAAUCACGAAGAGAUGAAUAUGUAUGAGGGUGAUGGUGAGACGAGUGAAUCUAAGAAUAUGGUUAAUCAAAACCAGGAAGAGAAUUUAGUGAAGGAGAGUUUUGAUGAGAAUACUGAGUCUGAAGAGGAAUCUAAGGCGGUGUCUAAAAAUUACAAUGUUAGAAAAAGGGAAGAUAAGGAAUCUAAAAGUGAAGGUGGAGAUUCAAAUUCAGAAGCUGGAGAAACAGAAGGCGGCGAAUUGAAUAAAAUUGAGCAAAUUGAAUCAGAGAAUAGCUUGGAUGAAAAUAAAUGGAUGAGGCUAAUCAGAUUGAAAAGGAGAAGGAUUCUCAAGAUCAAGAUAAUGACACUGAGAGCCGUUGAAAGGAUCAGGCUUCAACUGAGAUUUUUCCUUUUGGUGACUAGUCAGAAAUUCUGAAGGAAACUAAUGCUCAGAAUGGGGCUUGCUCAACUCAACCUAUUGAGUCAUAGAAUCAGAAAAUAUCACAACAAUCUUCUAUAUCUAAGGACCAGUAUGGUCAUCGUUGGAAAGUGUGUAAUGCCACUGCUAGGCCAGAUUGCAUCCCUUACCUGGACAAUUUGCAAGCAAUUAGAAUGCUUUCCAGCACAAAAGCAUUAUGAACAUCGAGAGAGGUAUUGCCCUGAAGAAACUUGUACCUGUAUUGCUCCUUUACCGGAAGGAUACAAACACUCAAUUAAGUGGCCCCAAAGCAGGGAUAGGGUAUGAUCUUAUAUUAUGCAUUAUAAAAUAUAUACUUGACUACUUUUAAUUCACUUGGGCUAAGAUUUGUUCUCAUGCUGUGUGGGAUAGAUUUGGUAUUAUAAUUUUCCCCACACAAAGCUUGCAGAAGUUAAGGGUUAGCAAAAUGGGGUUAAAGUUACUGGUGAAUACCACAUUUUUCCAGGUGGCAGAAUUGAAUUUGAGAAUGGUGCUCUUCAUUACAUUGACUUCAUUCUGAAGGUGAGCAUUUUUCAUUUAUCAUUUUAUGUCUGUUGUUAGCUUCAAUUAAUAUGUGGCUUAUUCUUUUCUUUGUAUGAACCAUGGGCGGUCCAUUUCAUUUUAUAAGCUAUUUCUUGGGUUUUAGCAAGACAAAUAAUAAGAUUUGUGCUGUUUUUGUUUUAUGCGUCUAUAUAAAUUGUGUGCGCGCAUAUCAUACUAGGGGAGUAUUGCUUUAAUGCUAUAUACAGUCAAGGACACACGGUGGGUCACAUUCUGACUCGUUUCAAUGCUUCUUUUAUAAAUAUUUACUUGUAUAUAUUUUGUAGUACUUUUAGAGAUGUACUCUGCACUGGAUUUUUUAAGUGCUUUUAAUGUAGCCUACUGUCUUUGUCUUUAUCUCUCUUUUUGUGAAACUGAAAGGUUCAUAUAAUUUUUUAGAAACCAGUAAUCUUACAAAAAAUUUUAACCUGUUAAUUAAUGCGGUUUCAUUAUCUUGAAAAAUUUUCAAGCGUGCUUGCUUUUUUCUUUUCUUUCUUUUGAAAUAAUUGUUGAUAUUCCCCUUCUCUUCUAUCAAGUUUCUGAUUCUCUAAAGCCCACAUUAUUUUUGUCUUUCUUUAUACAGGCCUUUAUCAUUUAUUGGCCAGCACCCUUUCCUCGGUUUUAUAUAAGAAUGUAAUUUCGCCGGAAUCUGCCAAAAACCGUGUACUAUUGUCAACAACAAAUCAGAAUUCCAUCUCCACCUCCUGACAAACCAUGCGUCACCACCUGCUUAGGAAUCCGAAGCCUUUGCUGGUGUUGAUAGUAUGUUCUCUCUCUAUCUCUGUUUUUUCCUCAGUUGAGCAUUUAAAACAACAUCAUACUCAUCAUAUACCCUGUUUGGAUUCCUUGAAAUAAUAUUUUUUUUAAUUUUUAUUGUUAUUUUGAAUUGUUUUCUACAUAUUUUGAAUCAGAGUUGUUUGAGUAAAAUUUAAAUAUCAAUAUUACCGAUACGUGCCUAAUCUCAACUUCUUACCUUAAUAGCUUACUCACCUGUGCUUUUUUUUUCUCCCCCCUUUUAAGAAUUCAAAAGCUAUAUUAUGGAUUUUUGUUUUUGUUGUUUAUUGUCAUGAAGUAGGAGUGGGCAGAAAAUUGAAGAACUGUAUCAGAUUCCGUUUGAUAUUUGAUUCGGUUGUGCAAUAACCUAAAUUGGACAGUUUCAUUUCGGUUGGGAUGAAUGAAAACCGAAACCGAACCAAUAAUAAAAUUAACAAGCAAACCAAAUGAAAGUCCCAAAACAGUAACAAAACAAACACGUUGUGGUUUCUUAUCAAAUUUCACAGCACGACAUGGUCAUUCUCUUUGGUAAAAAAAUAGAAAAAAGAAUAAUGGGUCUCGAAAAUUUUUUAGAGCAUUUCUGUCGCUUACAUUUUUUUUCCAUCGAUUAAUGUUAGUUGUAGGUGAAUGAUUGUUGCAAAUGCAUGUUAGCUUGUGAUUGAUUGAAAAUGGCUUGUGAUUUGUUAUGCUGCCGUGUGACAGAUUGAAAAUGGCUCUGAAAUUUUUUUAUUUGUUUAAGGUAUUACUGCUGAUUAUUGAACAGAGAUUCAUGCUAGAUUUUGUUAAAUUGAAGAUGAGAUUUUUUUUAGGAGAUCUGCAAAACCUUCUCUACUAUAGAUUUGGCUUCUAGCAUACCUGGUUGGCUGGAAAUAAUUGUUUAUACAGUCAUUGCUGCCUAUAUUAAUCAGGAAUAUUGAUUAGCAAUGUACUGGGUUAGAGAUUGGUAUAAUUUUGGAAAAUUAGUUGUAGAUGCAACUAGGGGUGGCAAUAUGGGUCAGGAUUUGUUUAUUCGAUUCGAUUUGAUGCGAAUUAAAUGGGUUUGGGUUUGAAAAAAUUGAUUCGUUUAAUAAAUGGGUGAAUUCGAUUUGAUUCGCUAAUUAAACGAAUCGAAUGCGGGUUUGAAGAUUUUGAUUCGUUUAUUCGUUUAGGAUUCGUUUAAUAAACGGGUCAUAAACGAAUCGAAUAUAGGUCGAUUCGUUUAAAAUUUAUUUAUUAUUUGUUUAAUUAAAUUACUUUUUAUCCUUAAAUUUAUUUAAAAACUUUUUAAAAUAUCAAGGUUAAUAUUGUAAUUUUAAGCAUAACUCAUAAAGCCAAAAGAUCAACCCUAAUUUUACACUUCAUUUCCAUCUCCAAAUCCUUUUCUUUUUCUUUUUAAUUUUUGCAUCCAGCAAGUGCUACGUUUUGCCACUGCUCCAAAUCCUUGGAUUUGUGUGAGUGUGAUAAGUAAAAUUUUAUCUUGUUUAAUUAUUAUUUCCUUUAAAAUAUUACAAAUUUACUAUAUAUUUGAUAUUUUUGAAAUUUUACAAUGAUUAUUAUCAAUAUUGCAGUAUGUUAGAUUGUUAAUAACAUUUUAUUUACUUUUUGGUGUAGGAUUUUGUUUUCAAGGUGAAAAAGACAAAUGAAGAGAAUUAAAGAAAUUACCUUACUUUAUAAUUUGAAUUUGAAUUAUUAUUAUUUGUAUUAUUAGGGAUUUAUAAUUUGGUAUUUAGAUGACUGCAUAAUAUGGUUUGAGUUAUUUGUAUUUUGUUGUGGGAUGUUAAACUUGUGAUUUUUUUAUAUUUUAUUUUGCUUAAUUUUAUUUAUUAAUUAUAUUUUUCUAAACGAAUUGUAAACGAAUCCUGAUUCGGUUCGAUUCGUUAAGGAUAAACGAAUAAUAAACAAAUCCAGACUCGAUUCGAUUCGAUUCGUUUAUCAAUUAUUUUAAACGAAUUAAACGAAUCGAACCGAAUAUUCGUUUAAUAAACGAAUCGAAUCCGAAUCCUGAAAUUUCAAUUCGUUUAAUAAACGAAUCGAAUCCAAAUCCUCAUAAUUUUGACCCAAUUAGUUUACGAUUCGAUUCGUUUAUUCGUUUUGCCACCCCUAGAUGCAACCUGAUUAUGGUCUCAAAUAGUGUGAUCUGUCAAUUUUGUUUGCUCUGGCCUAAUAACCUUGAAUAUGAGCUAUGCCACUAUACAAAGUCUGACCUAAUCACACUUGUUAGCCAAUGUCCAAAAUUGCAGUGUCUUUAGAUAAGUCCUGUCUUUUUUGUUUGAGUUAUAAAUGAAAAUUGCAGUGUCUUUGGAAAAAUCACGCUGAAUGUUCAAGUUAUUGACGAGAGGAGACCCCCAGAUUCAAGGGCGGAGCUCCCUGUUAAGAAGCUUUACAUAUAUAGGAUUGUCGCCUGGCAGAGGAUUGAUAUGCCUGGUUUUGUUGUUUGGAAAUAUGGAUGAAGAUUUUGCAUUGAGGCUUUUUUGAUAGAUCAUUUGGCAAAUCAAGCUCCAUGUAUCUAUCUUCAGACUCUUGGAUAUUUAUAAAGCAGGUGCAUGCUCCAUAUGUUACUUAAUGUAUCACGAUUAUUUUUCUAUUGCUUAAUAUAUUUGCAGUCCUUGAUGAAGUUGAGGACAACUUAUGGAGGGUAUACAGAGGCUCAAGAGCUCGAUCGCCAUUCAUUUUACACUGGGCUGGGCUAUAGCAUACCAACUAGUGAUUAAUAAAGAGAAGGUAUGAAGGUCAUGUUGCUGGUGGUAGUAUCAAUCAGAAUUGUUAUUUUACUUAGUCAUACUUACCAUGUAUACUAAUCGUAGGCUUUUUUCAUUUUCAUGCAUUCGCAUCAUCUUCUGGUUAAGCUACAGAUGGUUGAUUUGUGUACUCAUUUGUAUCACUUGUAGCUCUUGAGGAAUAAAAUUUAAAAAUUAUGUUGCAUCUCUUGUACUAAAUAGUAAUUUUUGUUGGCUUUAUGUAUGGGAAAUGGUUUGUUGUCUUAUUUCUUUGAUGUGUAUGGUGUUACAUUGUCUAAAGUUAAGAAGUAUUUCUAUCACUUGUGUAAAAAACAACCUACUUUUUUCAUUCUUCUUAUAUUGAAUAAAAGAGGGACACCAAGAUUGAACGAAAUUUGAUUCAGAAAGCAUAGCAAUUAGGCCAGUGCAAAACAGCUUCCUUCUGAUUCUUUGAUAUUUGACUUAAAUCUUUUGUUUAUUUCAUUUAUCAAAGUCAUUUUGGAAAGUAACGGGGGUGAUUUGAUAUUUUAAUUGCAUUCACAUCCCUUGGCACCAAAACAAACAUGCUGGUACUAACCAAUAAUUUUUUAUUUUCAGUAUACAAAUUAUUUUUUUCUAAAUUAGGGGUAUUAAGAAAAGGUAUAUUAGCACCAGGGGAGGUAUUUGAGAAUACACAAAUAUAAUCUAUUAAACUAAGGUGGCAUUUGUUUUUUAAUUUAAUGACUUAAAGUGACUUAAUUAAUUAAGUUAAUUAGAGGUGUUUGUUUUAUAACUUAAUGAGAUUUUUUAGAUAAUUUAGACUUAAUAAAAUAAGUUAAUUUUUUUUGGCUUUUUUACUUAAUAGAGACAUUUGAAUUAAGUCAAUAACUUUCUAAUGUCAAAAAUAUCCUUGUUUUUAAUUUAUUCUUCAUGCCUAUUCCAAAAUUCACCCAUAGACAUUUAACUCCACAUAAUAAUCUCAUCAUUAUUUUUUUUAGCCGUCAUGAAAUCCCUCCUCACUUGAUAUCAACUCCUCGAGUAUUGAAGAUCAAAAUUACAUGCGAGAAUUUUGAGAUGAAAUGGCAAAUCAACUGUUUCAAGCAUUUUAUUAGUUUUUUUUUCUUAUAUUAUAUACGAUAAAAUUUGAAAUUUAUGAUAUUUUAUAUAUUAAAAUUUCAAAAUCAAUUAUGUAUUCACUUGAAUAUAAUUUUACUUAUAAACGUUAAAAUAUUGUGGUAUUUAAUAUAUUAUUUAUUUUGACAUUCAAAUUUAGUAAGGAUACAAAUGUAAAAGUACAUAUUUCAGUUUUUUAAGUUGAAAAAAACAUAAUUAUAUAAUUAUUUUUCAAGAUUCAAACGAAAAAACAAACAUAUUAUUCUGAUUCAGACAUUCAGAUCUAUUCAGAAUUCAGACUAAUUCAGGUCUAUUCAGAUUUUAAACAAAAAAUCAAACACCACCUAAGAAUAUGCCAAACUUCAGGGGAGGUUUCUGAUAAAUCUCUUUUUCUUUUUCCUCCAUUCACCAUAGGUUCAAUUUAGAAACUGUUGACCAAACGGAAGGUUUAGGUUGGUAAACGCACUAAGUGCCUGUUUGGUAUGGCUUAUUCAAGAGCCAUAAAUGCUUAUUUAAUCGCAUAAGCACUUUUUUAAAUUUUUAUGGUGUUUGGUUAUUUUUUUUAGUAGAGUUUUUUAGCUUAAAUAAGCUAAUUUACCUCUACUAGUAAAAGCCCAAAAUUUAAGCUUUUGGGAGUAGAGGUUAGAGAGCUUUUAAAAAAAUAUAUAUAAUAUAAAAAAAUAUCACACAUUUUAAUGGUUCAAAAGUGUUUUUUUUAUUGACAACCAAACACCUAAUGACUUUUUAUCCAAAAGCUCUAUGGUAUAAGCUCUACUGCUAUAAACUCUACUGUUAUAAGCUCUAUUUAAUAAGCUGUACAAACGGAGCCUAAGUGUUAAUGUCAACAACCCAAGGGGCUUCAUGGUCCUCUGGGCCGAAAUAAUUAUUAAUUCUCCUCUAGUGAAAAUCUUCAUCUUGGGACAAAUAAUUACAAAUUGACAUUAUAGCUGUGGAAAUUUGGAGGUGUAAUUACCGGAAAUUACAUCUAUUUCAAUUUGCUAAAAGUAAUGGUAUCAUUUCUUGUAUGGAAAAUGGAUGAUUAGAUUUUCUUUUUUGUUAUCCGACGAAGGAUAUUCAGUUGUUCUUUUUUGUUCAUAGGCAAGAGCAUGAGCAUAUGCAUAUUUAAUAUAUGCUUCUUGCAUUUUCUAAUUAAGUGCUCUCUUUCCUUGCCUUCUUAGUUUUGAAAGAAAGUUGUGAAGCAAAGCAAACCCAGUGAAAUACACAGAGCAACAGAACCAUCAGAGGAAAAACUAAAUAACAGAACUACAAUUGAACCAAACAAAAUCAAUAAACCGAGGCAACAGAUGCCCUGAAUCAGGCAUCCCUUUUUCUCCAAAGAAAAUAUUUUGCAUGGGUGGGAACCUAGUAAUUGUUGGGGAAAAAUUAGGUUUUUAAAUUUUUAUAAAACCUUUUGAAGAUCGCUCUCAUAUAAUAUAUAAGAAUUUGUAUUCUAGAAAUCGUACCUUGAAAAUUUGAGUUUGCUUUUUCCGCUGAAGUGAUUUAGGCUCCUAGAUCACGAUCCGCCACCACCACUCCUGUUAGAUCACGAUCCGUCACCACCACGCUUGUUAGAUCACGAACUGUCUCCAAUGAUUUUCCAGAUUAUGACUCAGGUUCGAUCUGCACUUGACGUGUGGGCGCCUUUAUCACUACCAAAGCAACUAGCACGAUAAAAUUUUCUCUCAACAAUAGAGAGAAAAAUCUUAUUCUCCGAUUUGUAUAAAGUGGCUUCUCUUAUUCUUUAGAGAAAAUAGCCUUUUAUAUCACCCUUUAGUGAAAACCUUAGGCUCCAAAUAAUGCCCUAAAUAAAUCACGUUACUUUCUUUUUCAAUAGGGGACCCACCUUGUAAAAUACAUAAGGCCCCUUAUACAAAAGCUAAUUAAAUGGAGCCUCCCACUAAAUGAUAUAUUUAGGCUUUUGACCCAAAUAGCUAGUUAUCUUACUUAUUAGUCCAGUAGUGGUGCAGUCAAUUAAAUGAGCUAACCCGGGGAUCAUUUGGGAACAUACAAUAGUGGCUACAAUAAUUAGGCCUGUAAUUAAACUAGCCCAAAUAUUUAAUUCCAAAUCUACUCCACUAAAAGAUUGGAACUGACUUCCAUAAUUGUAUGCUCGAAUAAUAAUUCGUCCCAAGCCACAUUGAUUUCUUUACUGCACAAUCCUUUGUACCACAUCGUUAAUUAAAUUGAUAUCUCAACUGUCCAAUCAAUUUAAUAACAUCUUAUUCCUUGAUCCUUACUGGUUUUCUAAUGAUCAUUUCAACAUACUAAAUAUGUUGACACACUCUGGCCAGAGAAUUCUAUGAUCAAGUGCCGAAAACCCAUCAAGAGAUGUAGAAACUGUUGACCAAACGGAAGGUUUAGGUUGGUAAACGCACUAAGUGCCUGUUUGGUAUGGCUUAUUCAAGAGCCAUAAAUGCUUAUUUAAUCGCAUAAGCACUUUUUUUAAAUUUUUAUGGUGUUUGGUUAUUUUUUUAGUAGAGUUUUUUAGCUUAAAUAAGCUAAUUUACCUCUACUAGUAAAAGCCCAAAAUUUAAGCUUUUGGGAGUAGAGGUUAGAGCUUUUAAAAAAUAUAUAUAAUAUAAAAAUAUCACACAUUUUUAAUGGUUCAAAAGUGUUUUUUUUAUUGACAACCAAACACCUAAUGACUUUAUCCAAAAGCUCUAUUGGUAUAAGCUCUACUGCUAUAAACUCUACUGUUAUAAGCUCUAUUUAAUAAGCUGUACCAAACGGAGCCUAAGUGUUAAUGUCAACAACCCAAGGGGCUUCAUGGUCCUCUGGGCCGAAAUAAUUAUUAAUCUCCUCUAGUGAAAAUCUUCAUCUUGGGACAAAUAAUUACAAAUUGACAUUAUAGCUGUGGAAAUUUGGAGGUGUAAUUACCGGAAAUUACAUCUAUUUCAAUUUGCUAAAAGUAAUGGUAUCAUUUCUUGUAUGGAAAAUGGAUGAUUAGAUUUUCUUUUUUGUUAUCCGACGAAGGAUAUUCAGUUGUUCUUUAUUUGUUCAUAGGCAAGAGCAUGAGCAUAUGCAUAUUUAAUAUAUGCUUCUUGCAUUUUCUAAUUAAGUGCUCUCUUUCCUUGCCUUCUUAGUUUUGAAAGAAAGUUGUGAAGCAAAGCAAACCCAGUGAAAUACACAGAGCAACAGAACCAUCAGAGGAAAAACUAAAUAACAGAACUACAAUUGAACCAAACAAAAUCAAAUAAACCGAGGCAACAGAUGCCCUGAAUCAGGCAUCCCUUUUUCUCCCAAAGAAAAUAUGUUUGCAUGGGUGGGAACCUAGUAAUUGUUGGGAAAAAUUAGGUUUUUAAAUUUUUAUAAAACCUUUUGAAGAUCGCUCUCAUAUAAUAUAUAAGAAUUUGUAUUCUAGAAAAUCGUACCUUGAAAAUUUGAGUUUGCUUUUCCGCUGAAGUGAUUUAGGCUCCUAGAUCACGAUCCGCCCACCACUCCUGUUAGAUCACGAUCCGUCACCACCACGCUUGUUAGAUCACGAACUGUCUCCAAUGAUUUUCCAGAUUAUGACUCAGGUUCGAUCUGCACUUGACGUGUGGGCGCCUUUAUCACUACCAAAGCAACUAGCACGAUAAAAUUUUUCUCUCAACAAUAGAGAGAAAAAUCUUAUUCUCCGAUUUGUAUAAAGUGGCUUCUCUUAUUCUUUAGAGAAAAUAAGCCUUUUAUAUCACCCUUUAGUGAAAACCUUAGGCUCCAAAUAAUGCCCUAAAUAAAACUCACGUUACUUUCUUUUUCAAUAGGGGACCCACCUUGUAAAAUAACAUAAGGCCCCUUAUACAAAAGCUAAUUAAAUGGAGCCUCCCACUAAAUGAUAUAUUUAGGCUUUUGACCCAAAUAGCUAGUUAUCUUACUUAUUAGUCCAGUAGUGGUGCAGUCAAUUAAAUGAGCUAACCCGGGGAUCAUUUGGGAACAUACAAUAGUGGCUACAAUAAUUAGGCCUGUAAUUAAACUAGCCCAAAUAUUUAAUUCCAAAUCUACUCCACUAAAAGAUUGGAACUGACUUCCAUAAUUGUAUGCUCGAAUAAUAAUUCGUCCCAAGCCACAUUGAUUUCUUUACUGCACAAUCCUUUGUACCACACGUUAAUUAAAUUGAUAUCUCAACUGUCCAAUCAAUUUAAUAACAUCUUAUUCCUUGAUCCUUACUGGUUUUCUCUAAUGAUCAUUUUCAACAUACUAAAUAUGUUGACACACUCUGGCCAGAGAAUUCUAUGAUCAAGUGCCGAAAACCCAUCAAGAGAUGUGUUGUACAAAUUCUAUAUUGUUAAUCCAUAACUCCAAUACUCAUAAUUGCUCCCACCAAGAUACCGGGUACUCUGACCACAAUGAUGUGUCGUGCCCAUUGGUAACUCAAAUGGAAUACAAUUACAAUCAUGAAAUCAUAAUUAACUCAAGAUUAAGAUUACAGUAAAAUCAACGCCUAUGAGAUUUAAUAAGUCUGACAGUUAUUACAAAGUUAAUUAAAUCUCAUAUGUGAUCCUGUUCAAUGUAGUCGUACUACAUCAAUAAAUUCAUACAUGAUUAAGACAAAUCAUUCAAUGAAUUUAUUACAGUCUAUACCUAAAUAAAGUGCCCAACUUUAUUUAUCAACUGCGAACUAAAUUUAUUUAAUCAUAAGAUAACUUGUAUUUAUGUCUUCUGUGAAUCCACAUGGUGAUCACAUAAAUACAUAUAAUAUGAUUAAAUGAACUUUUAAUACAAGUAUUAAUGCAAUUAAGAUAUUUGAAUAAAAUACCUCAUUUAUUUAUUAAUCAGAAAAAUUGUUUAUUACAAUUAAAUAAACACAUAUGCUUUAAAAGAGCAUAUUUUCCAACAAUCUCCCACUAGCUCUCAAAGCAUAUCUAGCAUAUUGCUCAUGCUCUAGGGCUCUAAGUGCAGGUUAUAAAGGUUUCCCACUAAUGGCCAUUGUAAUAAGAUCUGCCAUUUAGCAUCUAAUGCCAUUUGGGGUACUGUCAAGUGACCCUUCUGUCCACAUUUGUAACACUUGCCUUUUGGCUUGCCACUUCUUUUAAUGGACAGUUUGCCGAUCCCAACUCUUGCUUGCUCAUUCUUGUCUUUCGACUUAAGCCUUGAAGAGAAUCCUUUUUCAGGAAGUUUUCUGCUAUUAUAAAAUUCUUCUAUAGCAUGUAGUUCGUGCAUUAAUUCAAUUAAGGUCAUAUCUUUAUUGUUAAGAUAUAGCUGACCUUAAACUCUUUGAAUGUAUCAGGUAAAGAUUCAAUCACCAUGUUAAUCUUUGAUUUAUCAUUGAUUUGAACACCAUGAAUCUCUACCUCAUUCAAAUAGUCCAUCAUUUUGAGGACAUGAUCACGAACUUUUGUGCCCUCUUCCAUCUUAGUAUCCAUAAUACGUUUUAAUGCUGCUUCUCUGGCAAAAUGGGUAUUUUGCCCAAACAUCUGAUGAAGACUAGCCAUUAUUUCAGUGGCUGUUUCCAUGCUCCGAUGUUUCUUAUGCAGUUCCAUAGAAAUCGAAGCCAAUAUAUAGCGCUUAGCCAUUUUGUUAGCUUCGCACCAUUUCUCAUAAGGCUCCCUCUGAUUUCUAUAAUCGUAUAACGAUGGUUCAGGAGGGCAAGGCUGGGUCAACACAUAUUUGCUUCCUUUAGCAGUGAGAUAUUAAAUAGAUUGCGUUUCCAAUCUAAAUAAUUUUCGCCAGUGAGUUCAUUUUUAACAAGGAUAAAUAAUAAUGGGUUGAUGGAAGACAUUUUCUGAAAAAAAUAAAAUACACAUGCAUAAAUACUUUGAAACAAUAUUCACAAUAAAUGACAAAAAUGCAAAAAACCAUAAAUGCAUUUUAAUUUAUUGUAACGAUAAUCUAGUACCGCUUCGACAAGCUAUUCGUUGGGGAAGUCAUGUCUACACUUACUAGACCCAAUUAUCCAUUGGAUUAUUUCAUUUCACAUGAUAAAUAAUUAUCGUUAUCCCUUUGGACCUAAAUUUGUUAACAGAGCUUCGUUGGGAAGGUUAAUAACAAACUUUUAGUUGAGUGUAUAACCAUUGUUUCAAUCUACGUAUUUUUCAUAUCAAUAGUCACCGUUGGGGUGAACAAUCGAUUGAAAAAUAUUUCAAUUUUAUCUUUGAAGAAGUUCAUCAAAUAAAAUAUCUAAUAUAUAUACCCUCGAAGGAGCAUCACCGUAUCAUGAAGUCGAGGUAUAUAUAUAAUUUUAUUAUUGAACUAACAAUGGAGCCCGUGGGAAAAUUAUCUUGAAUUUUCCCUCUCCCACUCAAUAUUUUAAAAUUGGUUUUUCCUUUUUAAAACAUACAUAUUGUUAAUUGCAUGCUUCCUAUAAUAUUAUCUAGAUGAUAUCAAAUUAUUAAGCAUACGCAAAUUUCAAACAAUAUAAUGAAAUUCAUUAUUAAUGAAUGACAUGUAUCAUUAUGCAUAGAGUGGCACUACCUAUUCUAUAUGACAUGUUAUCAUGGCAUGUAAUCAUCCAAAACAUAACAUAUAGAAAAAAUAAUUAAAUAAUCUUAAUUCAUGGCUUUCCUAAUAAUGAAAAAUACAUUAACCCUAAGCCUAAUCUUCAUUGGGCUUCUUGUCAAUAUCCAUCUUCCAUAGCUUGUCUUUGUUGAUGGACUAGGGGAAAUUGAGCUUUUAAAUUUAUAAUUGGUCCAAUUUUAAUUUGGAAAGAAAAUAAAUAAUUAAAAUUAAAAUUUAUUAAAAUAAAACUUUUGGACCAAAAAUAAAUUUAAUAUAUUCAAUUUUAUCUAUGCAUUUUAAUCCAUUAAGCCCAAUUGAAAUUGGGCCUAAAACUAGGAUUCAUUAAGCCCAAAACUAUUUUUGGAUUUAAACGCAAAAAAUUAAAAAUGUUUCUGCCCAACUGAAAAAAUAUGAAACUAUAGGGACCUCCACGAUAAAAACCAUGAAACCCUAAAAUCACAUUUUCUUUUCCUCCUCUUCCCUAGCCGCCACCAGCACAAAAACCCAGCCGUUGUUUACUGUUUCCACACCGGACAGCCGUCAUCAACGCCGGAAAGACGCCAACCAAAACGCUCCGCGCCUUCAGCCCACGUUCACGCUGUUGCUUGGGUGCUGCAGCUGCUGCUCGCGCGCUGCGGUUGCUGCUGUGCAGCGCGCGCUGCAGCUGCUGCGUGUGUAGCUCGCGCUGCUAGCAGCGUGGCUGCUGGCCGCUGCGCGUGCAGCGCGCGCUGCUGGCAGCAUGUGCUACUGGCCGCGCGCUGCUCGCACAGCAGCUUGUGCUGCUGGCCGCUCGCUGCUGCGUGUGCUGGUUCGUUGCUGCAGUUUCCGGCCUCGAUUGUUUGCGCUCGUUUUCCAGUGAUGAUGCUUCGGUGAUUUACAAAUUUUCAACGCAAAUUUUUGCUUACAAAAUUUCAAUUACAGUAAAAUAAAUCAAGAGAGAAUUAUGGUGAUAAAAAACCACCCCUCUUGUUACAGAUCCAAACGAAAAAUACAAUAGAAAAUCUAACAAUGAAUUAACUGCGUUUACUUUUUGGAUUGGAGUGGGAAUCCUGAGGAAUGGGAAUCCUUGGAUUAGGAGUGUGGAGUGGGAGUGGGAGUAGGGUGUUUACUUAGACUAAAUGAAAGUAUGGAUUGUCAAUUAGAAUUCCAAUUAUUUGUUUACUUUGUCUUGGAUUGGGAGUAAAUUGUUUUAAAUUACAAUUUUAUCCUUAUGUACAGAAUUAUAAUUUGUAAUUAAAAAUUAAUAAAAAAUAUAUUUGGAAAAUAAAUAAAUAUUUUAUUAUAUUUAUAAAUUAUUAAUAAUUACUAAUAUUCUUAAUUAUGUAAAUCAUAAUUUUUUAUUAAUUUUAAUUUAAAUUAUGUGAAUAAAAAUUAUUAAUAAUAGCAACACAAAUGGAAUAUUAUUAUUGAUAAUAUAGUACAAAAUUAAUAUUUUUAGAAUAAAAUAUUUAUUAUUAUUAAUAAAUAAAUAAUUAAUUAAUAUUUAUUAAAAUUAAUGUUUUUAUUAUUAAUUUAAAUAUAAUAUUAUUUAUUUUUAUUUAUUAAUUUUAUAAAAAAAAAUAUGAAUAUAUAUUUUUUAAUAAAUAUGAUAUUAUUUAUUUUAUGAAAUUUAUUUAUUUAUUAAAUAUUAUUUAUUUAUUAAAAUAUUAUUUAUUUAUUUUAAUUUUAUAAGGAUAAAAUGGGAAGAGGGGGAGUGGAUUCCCACUCCCUCCCCCAAUGGGAGUGGGAAUCCCACUCCCCACUCCAAAUUUAGGUGGGACCCGGAUUCCCACUCCCACUCUCCCUAUUUUUAAAGUAAGUAAACACUGGAGUGGGAGGAAUCCACACUCCACACUCCCACUCCAGAAAGUAAACACUACCUUAAGACAAACCAUAAACAUGCUUUAUUCAUAUAUUAAACAAAUAAUAUAUAUCUGAAUAAAUUGUGCCACUCUAAUACAUAAAUUUCAAGAUUAAUUUCAUACGAAAUUCUUAUUUAUUAAUAUGAGAUGGCUCUGAUACCAAUUGUUAGGGAAAAAUUAGGUUUUUAAAUUUUUAUAAAACCUUUUGAAGAUCGCUCUCAUAUAAUAUAUAAGAAUUUGUAUUCUAGAAAUCGUACCUUGAAAAUCUGAGUUUGCUUUUUCCGCUGAAGUGAUUUAGGCUCCUAGAUCACGAUCUGCCACCACCACUCCUGUUAGAUCACGAUCCGUCACCACCACGCUUGUUAGAUCACGAACUGUCUCCAAUGAUUCCAGGUUAUGACUCAGGUUCGAUCUGCACUUGACGUGUGGGCGCCUUUAUCACUACCAAAGCAACUAGCACGAGAAAAUUUUUCUCUCAACAAUAGAGAAAAAAAUCUUAUUCUCCGAUUUGUAUAAAAUGGUUUCUCUUAUUCUUUAGAGAAAAUAAGCCUUUUAUAUCACCCUUUAGUGAAAACCUUAGGCUCCAAAUAAUGCCCUAAAUAAACUCACGUUACUUUCUUUUUCAAUAGGGGACCCACCUUGUAAAAUAACAUAAGGCCCCUUAUACAAAAGCUAAUUAAAUGGAGCCUCCCACUAAAUGAUAUAUUUAGGCUUUUGACCCAAAUAGCUAGUUAUCUUACUUAGUCCAGUAGUGGUGCAGUCAAUUAAAUGAGCUAACCCGGGGAUCAUUUGGGAACAUACAAUAGUGGCUACAAUAAUUAGGCCUGUAAUUAAACUAGCCCAAAUAUUUAAUUCCAAAUCUACUCCACUAAAAGAUUGGAACUGACUUCCAUAAUUGUAUGCUCGAAUAAUAAUUCGUCCCAAGCCACAUUGAUUUCUUUACUGCACAAUCCUUUGUACCACAUCGUUAAUUAAAUUGACAUCUCAACUGUCCAAUCAAUUUAAUAACAUCUUAUUCCUUGAUCCUUACUGGUUUUCUCUAAUGAUCAUUUUCAACAUACUAAAUAUGUUGACACACUCUGGCCAGAGAAUUCUAUGAUCAAGUGCCGAAAACCCAUCAAGAGAUGUGUUGUACAAAUUCUAUAUUGUUAAUCCAUAACUCCAAUAUAUAAAGUACUAGAUGUUUUACUGAGAAAAUGACUAGAUCAUUUACCAAAUUUCUUGCGCAUAUAUACGUAUGUAUACAGAAAUGGGAAUCAAUGAUUAUAAGACCUUGCAAUGAGACAAUAAUACAUCAUCAAAUCUAAAAAUACACAAGAAAUUCGGGACAUAUAUAUAACAAAGACCUCUCAUUGAGUCAUACAUAUUGAGAAUAAAAUGUCAAAAUGCAUACAAAGAGCUUAUACAGAAAAUGAAUUUACACAUAUUUAGAAUAAAUUGUCUUUGAACUUUUGAUGGUCAAAUAAAGGAAACAGACAGGAUAUAACACACACUAUCAUAGAUGUAGCGACACGGUGAAGUAAAUCAUGAAGAUGGAAACGGAAACCCUUCACAAUAUAAAAUUUGAAUAGAGGGGGGAAAAAAGGCUUCAUUUGGAAUGUUGCACAGAAGAAGAGUGACUUGAAUCUCCAUCAGUAUCCAGACAUUCUACAACACAGUGCUGAGAAUUUUAACAAGAAUAACAGACAAAAUAUUGUGCUUCUAUACUUGUCACAAAACUAGACCAAAUUAGUUCCCUUUUGGUUUGUGAAAACUUGAUAUUUUUGAAAAUUCUAUCCAAUGCUUUUAAACAAUAUUUCCAUAAUAUAGUUGUUCAUAGCUAACCUUUGAUGGUUUAAGCAUUUGUUGUAGGCAUGACGGGCUGAUUAGAUUAUUAUUUUUUUUAUCCGAUGAAUGAUAUUCAGCUGUUCUUAAUUAUGUGUUAAUAGGCAAGAGCAUUUUCUUAAGUACUUUCGUUGCCUUCCAAGUUUCCAAUGAACAAACAGAGCACAAACAAAUUUAACGAAACAAACAGAGCAUUUUCUUCAGUGUGCUUUCUUGAGACAUUUUGAUUUAGUCUCAUUAUGAUUAAAAAAGGAAGCUCGCUUCUCGAGACAUUUUGCUAUAGUCUCAUUAUGGUUAUAAAGAAGCGAUGGUCUAGGAGACAUAUUGUUUUCGUCUCAUUUUGCUAGACAUCUGGACUUUAUGGAAAUGAGCAUGUUGAUCACAUUGUCAUGUUAUUUCCAUAAUUAUACUUGUAUACUACUACAUGGUCACGUGUUUAUAAGUGUCUUGUUAUAUGGAGCAUCCUGUCGGUGCACAUAUGAUUUGAUAUUUAUGGCACAUUUUGGACUUGUUUAUGUUCUGGGUGAUUGCUUGUAUUUGACCUUUUGUUAUAGUCACAUAUUGAUUAAUUCGGUUGUUUUCAAAAUAUUAUUUUAUUUUAAAUUUAUCAUUGGAGUGAUUUCUGUCGUCCAAGUGGGAGAUUGUUAGAUUUAUUUCUCAUAUUAUGUGGACUGACAUAAAUCAUUCUAAUUGUUUUCUAUAUUUUACCGAAUUAAUACGUGACUAUUGUCAAAUAUUAUGGAGCAAUUUUGACAUACCUUGUACAGUAGUAUAUUAUGGACAAGUAUAUCCUUAAUUGUGUUAUUUUCGCCCAUAAUGGGAUGGGCAAUUUUGUACUAACACAUGAGGGGUCCCUGCGCUCAACCACUGUAUUUAAGUAACUUCAGCCCAUUGGAAGUUAACUGUUCAAGAAAUCUGUGGCAUGAGUGCAGUGCAUCUCUCUCUCCGUUUGUCUCCCGUGUGUGUGCACAGUAAAUUUUGAAGCAAGCCGAUCCUUGAGCUAAGGAAAAGAAAGCGGAAUUCAGAAGCUAAACCGAAGCAGCAGCAACUCUGUUGAAGCUCCAUAACAAGCUGCAAGCUUGGAUUCAUGGGAGAUCGUGGUAAAUUUCGAAAUUUACUACAAUAUGUGUUUAAUUUGGAAAUGCACGAUUAAAGGGCAUAAAGUAUGUUUUUGUUUCAUCAAUUGGUAUCAGAGCCCAUGGUUAUGCGUUUCCUUGUAAACCAUAGUUGUUUUGUUGAAGAAAUCUCACUCAUGGAAUUUUUUUUUUAUUUUCGGAUUUUUCGAAUUCUUCGAAUUUGGACAUAUUUCCUCAAACGGUUGUUAAAUAAUGCAUGAGUGAUGAUUUUGGAGCAAAGAUAUAAUUUUUUCGUGUUUUUUGGUGGCCAAAAUCGGGUUGGUAUGGAUGUGGAUGCUGUAAAUGUACUGUACAAUACUGUAGCAACAGCCCGAGGUUGAAGAUGAUGGGACAAUUUCAUUUGGAUCCCUAAAUUUUGUGAAUUGUCACUAUGGCCCAAAAUCUUUGCAAACUUUUCGAAAAGGUCCUUGACCGAGGGUCAACUAUGUAAAAGAUAAGUUGGUCCCUUGAAUUUUGGGAAAUUAUAGUAUGGCCCAACAGUUUAUUUUAUUUUAUUUACAGUUUGGGCCAAAAGUUUUAAUAGUUAAAACAGUAAAUAAUUCUGAAAAUUUUUCAUUUUAGUCCAAAAUCCUUUCAAUUUUGGCGAUUUUUCAGAAUUUAAAUUUUAAAAUAAUCCAUCAGUUAUUGAAUCUUAUGGGCAUAUCAUUUAUAUAUUUUAUUGAGGCAUGUAGAUAUUUUAUUUGAUUUAAUAUCUUGUUAAUUUCAUUUGACAAAAUUUAUUUAGCCUCAAUUUUGUUAAUAUACGAAAUAUAUAUAUGAUGCAAAACUACAAUUUAGAGUGAUUGUGUAUCUACUUAUCGUAGGACCAAUCAUGAUAAAUUAUUUGGUGGUUUGCAAUUGAUUGUCCAUUUACAAUUAUGAAUUAUGGAUUAUGUGAUGGAUUGUUAUUGUUUGACCAAGAUCCAUACGGGUGAUGAUACUGCCCUGUCGGCAAAUCACUACUUGGUACUUGGUAGGAUGCUUGGGAAGAUAAAGAGAUUUGUUGAGUAUUUUCUACUGAGUGGCUUAAUUACCCUGUCGGUAAUAGGUCAAUGUUGGUGUUAUAUUCAACUUGUCUGCUUUAUCUUUAGGUUAGUGCAUUCCUAUAUUGUUAAAGGAUGCCUAACAUAUUGUGUUGCUAUUGGAGAAACUUAGAAUGAGGAGCAAUUGAUUAUAGCAUGAUUUUAAUUUUUGCAUGCUUGAUAUUCUUUUGUUAUUGCUUCCUCAGCUCUAGAUAUUCUCUCCUUUCUCCAAGUAGCCUCCCUCAAGAAUUUAACUGGGACAAAUUUUGAGGACUGGCGUGAGUCCAUUUUGUUUUAUUUGUCUACACUGAAUAGAGACUUGGCAUUAAGAGUUGAUGAACCAGCCAAGCCCACAGAUAAGAGCACUGCUGCUGAAAAAGCAGAGUGGGCAGCUUGGGAUGAAUCCAAUAGACACUGUCUGGAUACAAUGAAAUACACCAUUGAUAGAACCACUAGAGAUAGCAUCCCUGCAUGUGAUAAGGCCAAAGAUUACUUGGCAGCUGUGGGAAGAACCUUUAAGAAGGUAGAUAAGGCAGAAAAGGGUAACUAUCUGAGGCUGCUUGCUAAUACCCAGUAUGAUGGUGUUUUCUGGGGUCAGAGAACACAUCCUUAAGAUGACUAGUUACCAUAAGAAGCUGAAGGACAUGGAUGUCACUUUGCCUGAUGACUACCUGGUCUUCCAAAUCCUUGAAUCUCUUCCACCACAAUUUGGCAAUUUGAGAAGCCAAUACAAUACUCAGAGAGACACUUGGAAUAUCACUGAGUUGACUGCUUAUGUGGUUCAGGAAGAGGAAUCAUUGAAGAAGGGGAAAUCUCACACUGUCAUGGUGGCAACUACUCAAGAGAGUGGAAGUGUGAAGAAAGGCUCUUCAAAGGGCAGCAAUAAGUUUUUUAAGAAGAAAAAGUUUGGCAAGAAAACUUCACGUGGUACUUCUUCUACCACUUCUGGUUCCACUUCUGAGAGCUUUAAGGGAAAGUGCCACUUUUGUAAGAAACCUGGGCACAAGAGAGCUGACUGCAGGGGAUUCAAAGCAUGGUUGGAAAAGAAAGGUAUUCCUGUAGCCUUUGUAGGCUUUGAAUCUAAUCUUAUUGAUGUUCCUUCUGAUACUUGGUGGUUGGAUACUGGUGCAACCAUUAAUAUAACGAAUUCCUUACAGGAAUUCAGAAGCAGGAGGGAGCCCAAUGAAGGGGAGUUGAUAGUUCACAUGGGCAAUGGAGUGACAGCCAAAGUUGAAAGCAUAGGAGUUGUCAGACUACAUCUAGCCACAGGCCAUGUUUUGGAUCUAUUAGAUACAGCUUAUAUUCCUUCUAUUAGGAGAAACUUGAUAUCUGUAUCUAUUUUGGAUAGAUGUGGCUAUACUUUUCAUUUUGGUGAUAGAAAAGUUUACUUAUUCCGCAAUUCAGAGUUAGUUGGUUCUGGCACUCUAUAUGAUGGCUUGUAUAUGAUUGAUUUAUUUUCUCGUGCUGUUGAAUCAUCAUCCAAUGCUCAUGUUAUGCAUGUUGUUAGCUCUAAUCGUGUUAGGGUUGAUGAAAAUUCCUCUAUGUUGUGGCAUAAACGGUUAGGUCACAUUUCUAAACAGAGGAUGAGAGGCUUAUUAAAGAUAUUCUACAUAAGUUGGAUUUCUCUGAUUUUGGCACUUGUGUUGAUUGUGUCAAAGGCAAACUUACUGCCAAAACCAGAAAAGAGAGAACUCAGAGGAGUCAACAGGUGCUGGAGUUGGUACAUACAGACAUUUGUGGGCCAUUUACUCCUAUUGCCAUUGGAGGUUAUAAGUACUUCAUCACGUUCAACGAUGACUUUUCUCGUUAUGGUCAUGUUGAACUUCUUGCUGAAAAGUCUAAAUCCUUAUCUGUGUUUCAAGCCUUUAAGGCUAAUGUUGAGCUCCAAAAGGGCAAGCAAAUUAAAGCAGUAAGGUCAGACAGAGGUGGUGAGUACUAUGGGCGAUAUGAUGAAACUGGGCGUAAUCCUGGACCUUUUGCUAAAUUUCUUCAGGAAUGUGGAAUAGAAGCCCAGUAUACAAUGCUCGGGACUCCUGAACAUAAUGGAAUUGCAGAAAGGAGAAAUCGUACCCUUCUUGACAUGGUGCGGUGUAUGCUGAGUAACUCCACCUUACCAGAUUUUCUGUGGGGUGAAGCCUUAAGAACUGCAGCUUACAUUUUGAAUCAGGUACCUAGUAAAUCGGUGCCCAAAAGUCCUUAGUUGUGGUCAGGAAAGAGACCGAGUCUUCGUCAUUUUCAUGUAUGGGAUGCAGAGCAGAAGUGAGGCCCUAUAAUCCACAAUCAAGGAAACUUGAUCCGAAAACAAUUAGUGGUCAUUUUAUUGGCUAUUGUAUCGGCUCAAGGGUUUCUAGAUUUUAUUGACCUUCCCACACUACUAGAAUCAUUGAGUCUGAUCGUGCCAUUUAUUUUGAGGAUGAUCACAAUGGUGGGAGUUCUGAGCCUCGCAGUCUGACAUUGAGAGAAGAACGUGUGGUUUUGCCUAUUCCAUCUUUUCCGACUUCUGCGAUGGGAUUACCACAUAUUGAUGAUUCUUCUGUUGAUCCUAAACUUCAUCAUAAUAUGGAGCCUAUGAUUGUAGAGGAUGAUGGUACUGAUGUGCCAUUGAGGAGAUCAGAGAGGAUCAGGAGACCUGCAAUUUCUGAUGAUUAUGUUGUUUACUUGCAGGAGCAUGAUUUUGAUGCUGACUCUUCAUCUGAUCCUAUUACCUUUCAAGAGGCCAUCAGUUGUUCAGAAUCAUCAUCUUGGAUACAUGCGAUGCAUGAUGAGAUGGCAUCUAUGUAUCAUAAUGAGGUUUGGGAUUUAGUUGAGUUACCAGAUGGAUGCAGACCAAUUGGUUGCAAAUGGGUUUUCAAAACCAAAAGAGAUGCCAGAGGUCAGGUAGAGAGGUAUAAGGCCAGGCUUUGUGGCUAAGGGUUUCAGUCAAAGAGAAGGCAUUGAUUACACUGAAACCUACUCUCCUGUUUCUACCAAGACUCUUUUCGUAUUAUCAUGGCAUUGGUAGCUCAUUUCAAUUUAGAAUUGCAUCAGAUGGAUGUGAAGACAGCUUUUCUUAAUGGGAGCUUGUCUGAAGAUGUAUACAUGGUGCAACCUGAUGGUUUUGUUGAGUCUGGUAUAGAAAACAUGGUGUGUAAGCUUAAAAGGUCCAUUUAUGGACUUAAGCAAGCAUCCAGACAGUGGUAUUUGAAAUUUCACGAUAUUGUCACCUCUUAUGGGUUCCAGGAGAAUGCCGUUGAUCAGUGUAUAUACUUGAGAGUCAGUGGGAGCAAGUAUAUCAUUUUGGUGCUUUAUGUGGAUGAUAUCUUGCUCGCUGCUAAUGACAGUAAUUUGUUACUUGAGACAAAGCAAAUGUUGUCAUGCAGCUUUGAUAUGAAGGAUCUUGGUGAAGCCCAUUAUGUAUUAGGGAUAGAGAUUCUUCAUGAUAGAUCUAGAGGAAUUCUAGGUUUGUCUCAAAAGACUUACAUUGAUCGCAUUUUGAAAAGGUUCAAUUUGCAGUCUUGUGCUCCUGGGAAAGCUCCAAUUUCGAAAGGUGACAAAAUUUCCAAGUCUCAAUGUCCCGAUAAUGAUGUAGACAAAGCUAGAAUACAAACAGUCCCGUAUGCAUCCGUUGUGGGUAGCUUGAUGUAUGCUCAAGUCUGUACUCGCCCUGAUAUUGCUUUCCAGUGGGAGUACUUGGAAGAUACCUGAGCAAUCCUGGAUUUGAACACUGGAAGGCUGCAAAGAAAGUACUCAGAUAUUUGCGAGCCACUAAAGAUUUUGUAUUGACAUAUCAGCAAUCUGACUUUUGAAUAUAGUUGGAUAUUCUGAUGCUGAUUUCGCAGGGUGCUUGGAAGACAAGAAAUCCACAUCUGGUUACAUCUUUAUGAUGGCAGAGGAGCUAUAUCGGAAAGUGUCAAGCAGACACUUAUAGCUUCUUCAACAAUGGAAGCAGAAUAUGUAGCAUGCUUUGAGGCUACACGUCAUGCUUUAUGGAUGCAAAAUUUUAUCACAGGGCUAGAUUGUAUAGUGGCCGUACCGAGGCCAUUAAAGAUAUACUGUGAUAAUUCUGCUGCUGUUUCUUUUUUCACAAUACAGGGAGUUCCUCACGUUCCAAGCACAUUGAUAUUAAAUACUUGUUUGUGAGAGAGAAAAUUGCUCUAUCUUGUGUAUCAGUAGAGUAUAUCCCUACAGAACUCAUGUUAGCCGAUCCACUUAUUAAAGCUUUAGCUCCAAAAGUAUUAGGGAGCAUGUAACGCAUAUGGAUUAUUUGAAUCCACUUAUAUAUGCUGAGUCAGUGGGAGUUCUGGUUGUAUUAUGAGUUGCAACUUAAAUGAGCUUAUGUAUUACUCAUUUUGUUAUCAUGCAUGCAUGUUGUUAUGUGAUAUUGAUAUGCCAUAUAUUGUGUACACAUUUGGCUGCGUAUGGCAUUAUGUAUAGAAUGAGGAUACGAUGGUCCGAGACAUUUUGCUCAGUCUCAAUAUGGACAUUAAAGACUGAAGCAUUAUGAUUUUCUUCAGUGUGCUUUCUUGAGACAUUUUGAUUUAGUCUCAUUAUGAUUAAAAAGGAAGCUCGCUUCUCGAGACAUUUUGCUAUAGUCUCAUUAUGGUUAUAAAGAAGCGAUGGUCUAGGAGACAUAUUGUUUUCGUCUCAUUUUGCUAGACAUCUGGACUUUAUGGAAAUGAGCAUGUUGAUCACAUUGUCAUGUUAUUUCCAUAAUUAUACUUGUAUACUACUACAUGGUCACGUGUUUAUAAGUGUCUUGUUAUAUGGAGCAUCCUGUCGGUGCACAUAUGAUUUGAUAUUUAUGGCACAUUUGGACUUGUUUAUGUUCUGGGUGAUUGCUUGUAUUUGACCUUUUGUUAUAGUCACAUAUUGAUUAAUUCGGUUGUUUUCAAAAUAUUAUUUUAUUUUAAAUUUAUCAUUGGAGUGAUUUCUGUCGUCCAAGUGGAGAUUGUUAGAUUUAUUCUCAUAUUAUGUGGACUGACAUAAAUCAUUCUAAUUGUUUUCUAUAUUUUACCGAAUUAAUACGUGACUAUUGUCAAAUAUAUGGAGCAAUUUUGACAUACCUUGUACAGUAGUAUAUUAUGGACAAGUAUAUCCUUAAUUGUGUUAUUUUCGCCCAUAAUGGGAUGGGCAAUUUUGUACUAACACAUGAGGGGUCCCUGCGCUCAACCUGUAUUUAAGUAACUUCAGCCCAUUGGAAGUUAACUGUUCAAGAAAUCUGUGGCAUGAGUGCAGUGCAUCUCUCUCUCCCGUUUGUCUCCCGUGUGUGUGCACAGUAAAUUUUGAAGCAAGCCGAUCCUUGAGCUAAGGAAAAGAAAGCGGAAUUCAGAAGCUAAACCGAAGCAGCAGCAACUCUGUUGAAGCUCCAUAACAAGCUGCAAGCUUGGAUUCAUGGGAGAUCGUGGUAAAUUUCGAAAUUUACUACAAUAUGUGUUUAAUUUGGAAAUGCACGAUUAAAGGGCAUAAAGUAUGUUUUUGUUUCAUCAAUUGGUAUCAGAGCCCAUGGUUAUGCGUUUCCUUGUAAACCAUAGUUGUUUUGUUGAAGAAAUCUCACUCAUGGAAUUUUUUUUUUUUUCGGAUUUUUCGAAUCUUCGAAUUUGGACAUAUUUCCUCAAACGGUUGUUAAAUAAUGCAUGAGUGAUNUAUUCUAUAUGACAUGUUAUCAUGGCAUGUAAUCAUCCAAAACAUAACAUAUAGAAAAAAUAAUUAAAUAAUCUUAAUUCAUGGCUUUCCUAAUAAUGAAAAAUACAUUAACCCUAAGCCUAAUCUUCAUUGGGCUUCUUGUCAAUAUCCAUCUUCCAUAGCUUGUCUUUGUUGAUGGACUAGGGGAAAUUGAGCUUUUAAAUUUAUAAUUGGUCCAAUUUUAAUUUGGAAAGAAAAUAAAUAAUUAAAAUUAAAAUUUAUUAAAAUAAAACUUUUGGACCAAAAAUAAAUUUAAUAUAUUCAAUUUUAUCUAUGCAUUUUAAUCCAUUAAGCCCAAUUGAAAUUGGGCCUAAAACUAGGAUUCAUUAAGCCCAAAACUAUUUUUGGAUUUAAACGCAAAAAAUUAAAAAUGUUUCUGCCCAACUGAAAAAAUAUGAAACUAUAGGGACCUCCACGAUAAAAACCAUGAAACCCUAAAAUCACAUUUUUCUUUUCCUCCUCUUCCCUAGCCGCCACCAGCACAAAAACCCAGCCGUUGUUUACUGUUUCCACACCGGACAGCCGUCAUCAACGCCGGAAAGACGCCAACCAAAACGCUCCGCGCCUUCAGCCCACGUUCACGCUGUUGCUUGGGUGCUGCAGCUGCUGCUCGCGCGCUGCGGUUGCUGCUUGUGCAGCGCGCGCUGCAGCUGCUGCGUGUGUAGCUCGCGCUGCUAGCAGCGUGGCUGCUGGCCGCUGCGCGUGCAGCGCGCGCUGCUGGCAGCAUGUGCUACUGGCCGCGCGCUGCUCGCACAGCAGCUUGUGCUGCUGGCCGCUCGCUGCUGCGUGUGCUGGUUCGUUGCUGCAGUUUCCGGCCUCGAUUGUUUGCGCUCGUUUUCCAGUGAUGAUGCUUCGGUGAUUUACAAAUUUUCAACGCAAAUUUUUGCUUACAAAAUUUCAAUUACAGUAAAAUAAAUCAAGAGAGAAUUAUGGUGAUAAAAAACCACCCCUCUUGUUACAGAUCCAAACGAAAAAUACAAUAGAAAAUCUAACAAUGAAUUAACUGCGUUUACUUUUGGAUUGGAGUGGGAAUCCUGAGGAAUGGGAAUCCUUGGAUUAGGAGUGUGGAGUGGGAGUGGGAGUAGGGGUUUACUUAGACUAAAUGAAAGUAUGGAUUGUCAAUUAGAAUUCCAAUUAUUUGUUUACUUUGUCUUGGAUUGGGAAGUAAAAUUGUUUUAAAUUACAAUUUUAUCCUUAUGUACAGAAUUAUAAUUUGUAAUUAAAAAUUAAUAAAAAAUAUAUUUGGAAAAUAAAAAUAAAUAUUUUUAUUAUAUUAUAAAUUAUUAAUAAUUUACUAAUAUUCUUAAUUAUGUAAAUCAUAAUUUUUUAUUAAUUUUAAUUUAAAUUAUGUGAAUAAAAAUUAUUAAUAAUAGCAACACAAAUGGAAUAUUAUUAUUGAUAAUAUAGUACAAAAUUAAUAUUUUUAGAAUAAAUAUUUAUAUUAUUAAAUAAAUAAAUAAUUAAUUAAUAUUUAUUAAAAUUAAUGUUUUUAUAUUAUUAAUUUAAAUAUAAUAUUAUUUAUUUUUAUUUUAUUAAUUUUAAUAAAAUAAAUAUGAUAUAAUUAUUAUUUUUAAUAAAUAUGAUAUUAUUUAUUUUAUGAAAUAUUAUUUAUUUUAUUAAAUAUUAUUUAUUUUAUUAAUAUUAUUUAUUUAUUUUAAUUUUAUAAGGAUAAAAUGGGAAGAGGGGGGAGUGGAUUCCCACUCCCACCUCCCCCAAUGGGAGUGGGAAUCCCACUCCCCACUCCAAAUUUAGGUGGGACCCACGGAUUCCCACUCCCACUCUCCCUAUUUUAAAGUAAGUAAACACUGGAGUGGGAGGGAAUCCACACUCCACACUCCCACUCCAGAAAGUAAACACUACCUUAAGACAAACCAUAAACAUGCUUUAUUCAUAUAUUAAACAAAUAAUAUAUAUCUGAAUAAAUUGUGCCACUCUAAUACAUAAAUUUCAAGAUUAAUUUCAUACGAAAAUUCUUAUUUAUUAAUAUGAGAUGGCUCUGAUACCAAUUGUUAGGGAAAAAUUAGGUUUUUAAAUUUUUAUAAAACCUUUUGAAGAUCGCUCUCAUAUAAUAUAUUAAGAAUUUGUAUUCUAGAAAUCGUACCUUGAAAAUCUGAGUUUGCUUUUUCCGCUGAAGUUGAUUUAGGCUCCUAGAUCACGAUCUGCCACCACCACUCCUGUUAGAUCACGAUCCGUCACCACCACGCUUGUUAGAUCACGAACUGUCUCCAAUGAUCUUCCAGGUUAUGACUCAGGUUCGAUCUGCACUUGACGUGUGGGCGCCUUUAUCACUACCAAAGCAACUAGCACGAGAAAAUUUUUCUCUCAAACAAUAGAGAAAAAAAUCUUAUUCUCCGAUUUGUAUAAAAUGGUUUCUCUUAUUCUUUAGAGAAAAUAAGCCUUUUAUAUCACCCUUUAGUGAAAACCUUAGGCUCCAAAUAAUGCCCUAAAUAAAACUCACGUUACUUUCUUUUUCAAUAGGGGACCCACCUUGUAAAAUAACAUAAGGCCCCUUAUACAAAGCUAAUUAAAUGGAGCCUCCCACUAAAUGAUAUAUUUAGCUUUUGAACCCAAAUAGCUAGUUAUCUUACUUAUUAGUCCAGUAGUGGUGCAGUCAAUUAAAUGAGCUAACCCGGGGAUCAUUUGGGAACAUACAAUAGUGGCUACAAUAAUUAGGCCUGUAAUUAAACUAGCCCAAAUAUUUAAUUCCAAAUCUACUCCACUAAAAGAUUGGAACUGACUUCCAUAAUUGUAUGCUCGAAUAAUAAUUCGUCCCAAGCCACAUUGAUUUCUUUACUGCACAAUCCUUUGUACCACAUCGUUAAUUUAAAUUGACAUCUCAACUGUCCAAUCAAUUUAAUAACAUCUUAUUCCUUGAUCCUUACUGGUUUUCUCUAAUGAUCAUUUUCAACAUACUAAAUAUGUUGACACACUCUGGCCAGAGAAUUCUAUGAUCAAGUGCCGAAAACCCAUCAAGAGAUGUGUUGUACAAAUUCUAUAUUGUUAAUCCAUAACUCCAAUAUAUAAAGUACUAGAUGUUUACUGAGAAAAUGACUAGAUCAUUUACCAAAUUUCUUGCGCAUAUAUACGUAUGUAUACAAGAAAUGGGAAUCAAUGAUUAUAAGACCUUGCAAUGAGACAAUAAUACAUCAUCAAAUCUAAAAAUACACAAGAAAUUCGGACAUAUAUAUAACAAAAGACCUCUCAUUGAGUCAUACAUAUUGAGAAUAAAAUGUCAAAAUGCAUACAAAGAGCUUAUACAGAAAAUGAAUUUACACAUAUUUAGAAUAAAUUGUCUUUGAACUUUUGAUGGUCAAAUAAAGGAAAACAGACAGGAUAUAACACACACUAUCAUAGAUGUAGCGACACGGUGAAGUAAAAUCACAUGAAGAUGGAAACGGAAACCCUUCACAAUAUAAAAUUUGAAUAGAGGGGGGAAAAAAAGGCUUCAUUUGGAAUGUUGCACAGAAGAAAGAGUGACUUGAAUCUCCAUCAGUAUCCAGACAUUCUACAAACACAGUGCUGAGAAUUUUAACAAGAAUAACAGACAAAAUAUUGUGCUUCUAUACUUGUCACAAAACUAGACCAAAUUAGUUCCCUUUUUGGUUUGUGAAAAACUUGAUAUUUUUGAAAAUUCUAUCCAAUGCUUUUAAACAAUAUUUCCAUAAUAAUAGUUGUUCAUAGCUAACCUUUGAUGGUUUAAGCAUUUGUUGUAGCAUGACGGGCUGAUUAGAUUAUUAUUUUUUUUUAUCCGAUGAAUUGAUAUUCAGCUGUUCUUAAUUAUGUGUUAAUAGGCAAGAGCAUUUUCUUAAGUACUUUCGUUGCCUUCCAAGUUUCCAAUGAACAAACAGAGCACAAACAAAUUUAACGAAACAAACAGAAGCAUUUUCUUCAGUGUGCUUUCUUGAGACAUUUUGAUUUAGUCUCAUUAUGAUUAAAAAGGAAGCUCGCUUCUCGAGACAUUUUGCUAUAGUCUCAUUAUGGUUAUAAAGAAGCGAUGGUCUAGGAGACAUAUUGUUUUCGUCUCAUUUUGCUAGACAUCUGGACUUUAUGGAAAUGAGCAUGUUGAUCACAUUGUCAUGUUAUUUCCAUAAUUAUACUUGUAUACUACUACAUGGUCACGUGUUUAUAAGUGUCUUGUUAUAUGGAGCAUCCUGUCGGUGCACAUAUGAUUUGAUAUUUAUGGCACAUUUUGGACUUGUUUAUGUUCUGGGUGAUUGCUUUGUAUUUGACCUUUUGUUAUAGUCACAUAUUGAUUAAUUCGGUUGUUUUCAAAAUAUUAUUUUAUUUUAAAUUUAUCAUUGGAGUGAUUUCUGUCGUCCAAGUGGGAGAUUGUUAGAUUUAUUUCUCAUAUUAUGUGGACUGACAUAAAUCAUUCUAAUUGUUUUCUAUAUUUUACCGAAUUAAUACGUGACUAUUGUCAAAUAUUAUGGAGCAAUUUGACAUACCUUGUACAGUAGUAUAUUAUGGACAAGUAUAUCCUUAAUUGUGUUAUUUUCGCCCAUAAUGGGAUGGGCAAUUUUGUACUAACACAUGAGGGGUCCCUGCGCUCAACCACUGUAUUUAAGUAACUUCAGCCCAUUGGAAGUUAACUGUUCAAGAAAUCUGUGGCAUGAGUGCAGUGCAUCUCUCUCUCCCGUUUGUCUCCCGUGUGUGUGCACAGUAAAUUUUGAAGCAAGCCGAUCCUUGAGCUAAGGAAAAGAAAGCGGAAUUCAGAAGCUAAACCGAAGCAGCAGCAACUCUGUUGAAGCUCCAUAACAAGCUGCAAGCUUGGAUUCAUGGGAGAUCGUGGUAAAUUUCGAAAUUUACUACAAUAUGUGUUUAAUUUGGAAAUGCACGAUUAAAGGGCAUAAAGUAUGUUUUUGUUUCAUCAAUUGGUAUCAGAGCCCAUGGUUAUGCGUUUCCUUGUAAACCAUAGUUGUUUUGUUUGAAGAAAUCUCACUCAUGGAAUUUUUUUUUUUAUUUUCGGAUUUUUCGAAUUCUUCGAAUUUGGACAUAUUUCCUCAAACGGUUGUUAAAUAAUGCAUGAGUGAUGAUUUUGGAGCAAAGAUAUAAUUUUUUUCGUGUUUUUUGGUGGCCAAAAUCGGGUUGGUAUGGAUGUGGAUGCUGUAAAUGUACUGUACAAUACUGUAGCAACAGCCCGAGGUUGAAGAUGAUGGGACAAUUUCAUUUGGAUCCCUAAAUUUUGUGAAUUGUCACUAUGGCCCAAAAUCUUUGCAAACUUUUCGAAAAGGUCCUUGACCGAGGGUCAACUAUGUAAAAGAUAAGUUGGUCCCUUGAAUUUUGGGAAAUUAUAGUAUGGCCCAACAGUUUAUUUUAUUUUAUUUACAGUUUGGGCCAAAAGUUUUAAUAGUUAAAACAGUAAACAUAAUUCUGAAAAUUUUUCAUUUUAGUCCAAAAUCCUUUCAAUUUUGGCGAUUUUUCAGAAUUUUUAAAUUUUAAAAUAAUCCAUCAGUUAUUGAAUCUUAUGGGCAUAUCAUUUAUAUAUUUUAUUGAGGCAUGUAGAUAUUUUAUUUGAUUUAAUAUCUUGUUAAUUUCAUUUGACAAAAUUUAUUUAGCCUCAAUUUUGUUAAUAUACGAAAUAUAUAUAUGAUGCAAAACUACAAUUUAGAGUGAUUGUGUAUCUACUUAUCGUAGGACCAAUCAUGAUAAAUUAUUUGGUGGUUUGCAAUUGAUUGUCCAUUUACAAUUAUGAAUUAUGGAUUAUGUGAUGGAUUGUUAUUGUUUUGACCAAGAUCCAUACGGGUGAUGAUACUGCCCUGUCGGCAAAUCACUACUUGGUACUUGGUAGGAUGCUUGGGAAGAUAAAGAGAUUUGUUGAGUAUUUUCUACUGAGUGGCUUAAUUACCCUGUCGGUAAUAGGUCAAUGUUGGUGUUAUAUUCAACUUGUCUGCUUUAUCUUUAGGUUAGUGCAUUCCUAUAUUGUUAAAGGAUGCCUAACAUAUUGUGUUGCUAUUGGAGAAACUUAGAAUGAGGAGCAAUUGAUUAUAGCAUGAUUUUAAUUUUUGCAUGCUUGAUAAUUCUUUUGUUAUUGCUUCCUCAGCUCUAGAUAUUCUCUCCUUUCUCCAAGUAGCCUCCCUCAAGAAUUUAACUGGGACAAAUUUUGAGGACUGGCGUGAGUCCAUUUUGUUUUAUUUGUCUACACUGAAUAGAGACUUGGCAUUAAGAGUUGAUGAACCAGCCAAGCCCACAGAUAAGAGCACUGCUGCUGAAAAAGCAGAGUGGGCAGCUUGGGAUGAAUCCAAUAGACACUGUCUGGAUACAAUGAAAUACACCAUUGAUAGAACCACUAGAGAUAGCAUCCCUGCAUGUGAUAAGGCCAAAGAUUACUUGGCAGCUGUGGGAAGAACCUUUAAGAAGGUAGAUAAGGCAGAAAAGGGUAACUAUCUGAGGCUGCUUGCUAAUACCCAGUAUGAUGGUGUUUCUGGGGUCAGAGAACACAUCCUUAAGAUGACUAGUUACCAUAAGAAGCUGAAGGACAUGGAUGUCACUUUGCCUGAUGACUACCUGGUCUUCCAAAUCCUUGAAUCUCUUCCACCACAAUUUGGCAAUUUGAGAAGCCAAUACAAUACUCAGAGAGACACUUGGAAUAUCACUGAGUUGACUGCUUAUGUGGUUCAGGAAGAGGAAUCAUUGAAGAAGGGGAAAUCUCACACUGUCAUGGUGGCAACUACUCAAGAGAGUGGAAGUGUGAAGAAAGGCUCUUCAAAGGGCAGCAAUAAGUUUUUUAAGAAGAAAAAGUUUGGCAAGAAAACUUCACGUGGUACUUCUUCUACCACUUCUGGUUCCACUUCUGAGAGCUUUAAGGGAAAGUGCCACUUUUGUAAGAAACCUGGGCACAAGAGAGCUGACUGCAGGGGAUUCAAAGCAUGGUUGGAAAAGAAAGGUAUUCCUGUAGCCUUUGUAGGCUUUGAAUCUAAUCUUAUUGAUGUUCCUUCUGAUACUUGGUGGUUGGAUACUGGUGCAACCAUUAAUAUAACGAAUUCCUUACAGGAAUUCAGAAGCAGGAGGGAGCCCAAUGAAGGGGAGUUGAUAGUUCACAUGGGCAAUGGAGUGACAGCCAAAGUUGAAAGCAUAGGAGUUGUCAGACUACAUCUAGCCACAGGCCAUGUUUUGGAUCUAUUAGAUACAGCUUAUAUUCCUUCUAUUAGGAGAAACUUGAUAUCUGUAUCUAUUUUGGAUAGAUGUGGCUAUACUUUUCAUUUUGGUGAUAGAAAAGUUUACUUAUUCCGCAAUUCAGAGUUAGUUGGUUCUGGCACUCUAUAUGAUGGCUUGUAUAUGAUUGAUUUAUUUUCUCGUGCUGUUGAAUCAUCAUCCAAUGCUCAUGUUAUGCAUGUUGUUAGCUCUAAUCGUGUUAGGGUUGAUGAAAAUUCCUCUAUGUUGUGGCAUAAACGGUUAGGUCACAUUUCUAAACAGAGGAUGGAGAGGCUUAUUAAAGAUAGCAUUCUACAUAAGUUGGAUUUCUCUGAUUUUGGCACUUGUGUUGAUUGUGUCAAAGGCAAACUUACUGCCAAAACCAGAAAAGAGAGAACUCAGAGGAGUCAACAGGUGCUGGAGUUGGUACAUACAGACAUUUGUGGGCCAUUUACUCCUAUUGCCAUUGGAGGUUAUAAGUACUUCAUCACGUUCAACGAUGACUUUUCUCGUUAUGGUCAUGUUGAACUUCUUGCUGAAAAGUCUAAAUCCUUAUCUGUGUUUCAAGCCUUUAAGGCUAAUGUUGAGCUCCAAAAGGGCAAGCAAAUUAAAGCAGUAAGGUCAGACAGAGGUGGUGAGUACUAUGGGCGAUAUGAUGAAACUGGGCGUAAUCCUGGACCUUUUGCUAAAUUUCUUCAGGAAUGUGGAAUAGAAGCCCAGUAUACAAUGCUCGGGACUCCUGAACAUAAUGGAAUUGCAGAAAGGAGAAAUCGUACCCUUCUUGACAUGGUGCGGUGUAUGCUGAGUAACUCCACCUUACCAGAUUUUCUGUGGGGUGAAGCCUUAAGAACUGCAGCUUACAUUUUGAAUCAGGUACCUAGUAAAUCGGUGCCCAAAAGUCCUUAUGAGUUGUGGUCAGGAAAGAGACCGAGUCUUCGUCAUUUUCAUGUAUGGGGAUGCAGAGCAGAAGUGAGGCCCUAUAAUCCACAAUCAAGGAAACUUGAUCCGAAAACAAUUAGUGGUCAUUUUAUUGGCUAUUGUAUCGGCUCAAGGGGUUCUAGAUUUUAUUGACCUUCCCACACUACUAGAAUCAUUGAGUCUGAUCGUGCCAUUUAUUUUGAGGAUGAUCACAAUGGUGGGAGUUCUGAGCCUCGCAGUCUGACAUUGAGAGAAGAACGUGUGGUUUUGCCUAUUCCAUCUUUUCCGACUUCUGCGAUGGGAUUACCACAUAUUGAUGAUUCUUCUGUUGAUCCUAAACUUCAUCAUAAUAUGGAGCCUAUGAUUGUAGAGGAUGAUGGUACUGAUGUGCCAUUGAGGAGAUCAGAGAGGAUCAGGAGACCUGCAAUUUCUGAUGAUUAUGUUGUUUACUUGCAGGAGCAUGAUUUUGAUGCUGACUCUUCAUCUGAUCCUAUUACCUUUCAAGAGGCCAUCAGUUGUUCAGAAUCAUCAUCUUGGAUACAUGCGAUGCAUGAUGAGAUGGCAUCUAUGUAUCAUAAUGAGGUUUGGGAUUUAGUUGAGUUACCAGAUGGAUGCAGACCAAUUGGUUGCAAAUGGGUUUUCAAAACCAAAAGAGAUGCCAGAGGUCAGGUAGAGAGGUAUAAGGCCAGGCUUGUGGCUAAGGGUUUCAGUCAAAGAGAAGGCAUUGAUUACACUGAAACCUACUCUCCUGUUUCUACCAAAGACUCUUUUCGUAUUAUCAUGGCAUUGGUAGCUCAUUUCAAUUUAGAAUUGCAUCAGAUGGAUGUGAAGACAGCUUUUCUUAAUGGGAGCUUGUCUGAAGAUGUAUACAUGGUGCAACCUGAUGGUUUUGUUGAGUCUGGUAUAGAAAACAUGGUGUGUAAGCUUAAAAGGUCCAUUUAUGGACUUAAGCAAGCAUCCAGACAGUGGUAUUUGAAAUUUCACGAUAUUGUCACCUCUUAUGGGUUCCAGGAGAAUGCCGUUGAUCAGUGUAUAUACUUGAGAGUCAGUGGGAGCAAGUAUAUCAUUUUGGUGCUUUAUGUGGAUGAUAUCUUGCUCGCUGCUAAUGACAGUAAUUUGUUACUUGAGACAAAGCAAAUGUUGUCAUGCAGCUUUGAUAUGAAGGAUCUUGGUGAAGCCCAUUAUGUAUUAGGGAUAGAGAUUCUUCAUGAUAGAUCUAGAGGAAUUCUAGGUUUGUCUCAAAAGACUUACAUUGAUCGCAUUUUGAAAAGGUUCAAUUUGCAGUCUUGUGCUCCUGGGAAAGCUCCAAUUUCGAAAGGUGACAAAAUUUCCAAGUCUCAAUGUCCCGAUAAUGAUGUAGACAAAGCUAGAAUACAAACAGUCCCGUAUGCAUCCGUUGUGGGUAGCUUGAUGUAUGCUCAAGUCUGUACUCGCCCUGAUAUUGCUUUUCCAGUGGGAGUACUUGGAAGAUACCUGAGCAAUCCUGGAUUUGAACACUGGAAGGCUGCAAAGAAAGUACUCAGAUAUUUGCGAGCCACUAAAGAUUUUGUAUUGACAUAUCAGCAAUCUGACUAUUUGAAUAUAGUUGGAUAUUCUGAUGCUGAUUUCGCAGGGUGCUUGGAAGACAAGAAAUCCACAUCUGGUUACAUCUUUAUGAUGGCAGGAGGAGCUAUAUCAUGGAAAAGUGUCAAGCAGACACUUAUAGCUUCUUCAACAAUGGAAGCAGAAUAUGUAGCAUGCUUUGAGGCUACACGUCAUGCUUUAUGGAUGCAAAAUUUUAUCACAGGGCUAGAUUGUAUAGUGGCCGUACCGAGGCCAUUAAAGAUAUACUGUGAUAAUUCUGCUGCUGUUUCUUUUUCUCACAAUACAGGGAGUUCCUCACGUUCCAAGCACAUUGAUAUUAAAUACUUGUUUGUGAGAGAGAAAAUUGCUCUAUCUUGUGUAUCAGUAGAGUAUAUCCCUACAGAACUCAUGUUAGCCGAUCCACUUAUUAAAGCUUUAGCUCCAAAAGUAUUUAGGGAGCAUGUAACGCAUAUGGGAUUAUUUGAAUCCACUUAUAUAUGCUGAGUCAGUGGGAGUUCUGGUUUGUAUUAUGAGUUGCAACUUAAAUGAGCUUAUGUAUUACUCAUUUUGUUAUCAUGCAUGCAUGUUGUUAUGUGAUAUUGAUAUGCCAUAUAUUGUGUACACAUUUGGCUGCGUAUGGCAUUAUGUAUAGAAUGAGGAUACGAUGGUCCGAGACAUUUUGCUCAGUCUCAAUAUGGACAUUAAAGACUGAAGCAUUAUGAUUUUCUUCAGUGUGCUUUCUUGAGACAUUUUGAUUUAGUCUCAUUAUGAUUAAAAAGGAAGCUCGCUUCUCGAGACAUUUUGCUAUAGUCUCAUUAUGGUUAUAAAGAAGCGAUGGUCUAGGAGACAUAUUGUUUUCGUCUCAUUUUGCUAGACAUCUGGACUUUAUGGAAAUGAGCAUGUUGAUCACAUUGUCAUGUUAUUUCCAUAAUUAUACUUGUAUACUACUACAUGGUCACGUGUUUAUAAGUGUCUUGUUAUAUGGAGCAUCCUGUCGGUGCACAUAUGAUUUGAUAUUUAUGGCACAUUUUGGACUUGUUUAUGUUCUGGGUGAUUGCUUGUAUUUGACCUUUUGUUAUAGUCACAUAUUGAUUAAUUCGGUUGUUUUCAAAAUAUUAUUUUAUUUUAAAUUUAUCAUUGGAGUGAUUUCUGUCGUCCAAGUGGGAGAUUGUUAGAUUUAUUUCUCAUAUUAUGUGGACUGACAUAAAUCAUUCUAAUUGUUUUCUAUAUUUUACCGAAUUAAUACGUGACUAUUGUCAAAUAUUAUGGAGCAAUUUUGACAUACCUUGUACAGUAGUAUAUUAUGGACAAGUAUAUCCUUAAUUGUGUUAUUUUCGCCCAUAAUGGGAUGGGCAAUUUUGUACUAACACAUGAGGGGUCCCUGCGCUCAACCACUGUAUUUAAGUAACUUCAGCCCAUUGGAAGUUAACUGUUCAAGAAAUCUGUGGCAUGAGUGCAGUGCAUCUCUCUCUCCCGUUUGUCUCCCGUGUGUGUGCACAGUAAAUUUUGAAGCAAGCCGAUCCUUGAGCUAAGGAAAAGAAAGCGGAAUUCAGAAGCUAAACCGAAGCAGCAGCAACUCUGUUGAAGCUCCAUAACAAGCUGCAAGCUUGGAUUCAUGGGAGAUCGUGGUAAAUUUCGAAAUUUACUACAAUAUGUGUUUAAUUUGGAAAUGCACGAUUAAAGGGCAUAAAGUAUGUUUUUGUUUCAUCAAUUGGUAUCAGAGCCCAUGGUUAUGCGUUUCCUUGUAAACCAUAGUUGUUUUGUUGAAGAAAUCUCACUCAUGGAAUUUUUUUUUUUAUUUUCGGAUUUUUCGAAUUCUUCGAAUUUGGACAUAUUUCCUCAAACGGUUGUUAAAUAAUGCAUGAGUGAUGAUUUUGGAGCAAAGAUAUAAUUUUUUCGUGUUUUUUGGUGGCCAAAAUCGGGUUGGUAUGGAUGUGGAUGCUGUAAAUGUACUGUACAAUACUGUAGCAACAGCCCGAGGUUGAAGAUGAUGGGACAAUUUCAUUUGGAUCCCUAAAUUUUGUGAAUUGUCACUAUGGCCCAAAAUCUUUGCAAACUUUUCGAAAAGGUCCUUGACCGAGGGUCAACUAUGUAAAAGAUAAGUUGGUCCCUUGAAUUUUGGGAAAUUAUAGUAUGGCCCAACAGUUUAUUUUAUUUUAUUUACAGUUUGGGCCAAAAGUUUUAAUAGUUAAAACAGUAAACAUAAUUCUGAAAAUUUUUCAUUUUAGUCCAAAAUCCUUUCAAUUUUGGCGAUUUUUCAGAAUUUUAAAUUUUAAAAUAAUCCAUCAGUUAUUGAAUCUUAUGGGCAUAUCAUUUAUAUAUUUUAUUGAGGCAUGUAGAUAUUUUAUUUGAUUUAAUAUCUUGUUAAUUUCAUUUGACAAAAUUUAUUUAGCCUCAAUUUUGUUAAUAUACGAAAUAUAUAUAUGAUGCAAAACUACAAUUUAGAGUGAUUGUGUAUCUACUUAUCGUAGGACCAAUCAUGAUAAAUUAUUUGGUGGUUUGCAAUUGAUUGUCCAUUUACAAUUAUGAAUUAUGGAUUAUGUGAUGGAUUGUUAUUGUUUUGACCAAGAUCCAUACGGGUGAUGAUACUGCCCUGUCGGCAAAUCACUACUUGGUACUUGGUAGGAUGCUUGGGAAGAUAAAGAGAUUUGUUGAGUAUUUUCUACUGAGUGGCUUAAUUACCCUGUCGGUAAUAGGUCAAUGUUGGUGUUAUAUUCAACUUGUCUGCUUUAUCUUUAGGUUAGUGCAUUCCUAUAUUGUUAAAGGAUGCCUAACAUAUUGUGUUGCUAUUGGAGAAACUUAGAAUGAGGAGCAAUUGAUUAUAGCAUGAUUUUAAUUUUUGCAUGCUUGAUAAUUCUUUUGUUAUUGCUUCCUCAGCUCUAGAUAUUCUCUCCUUUCUCCAAGUAGCCUCCCUCAAGAAUUUAACUGGGACAAAUUUUGAGGACUGGCGUGAGUCCAUUUUGUUUUAUUUGUCUACACUGAAUAGAGACUUGGCAUUAAGAGUUGAUGAACCAGCCAAGCCCACAGAUAAGAGCACUGCUGCUGAAAAAGCAGAGUGGGCAGCUUGGGAUGAAUCCAAUAGACACUGUCUGGAUACAAUGAAAUACACCAUUGAUAGAACCACUAGAGAUAGCAUCCCUGCAUGUGAUAAGGCCAAAGAUUACUUGGCAGCUGUGGGAAGAACCUUUAAGAAGGUAGAUAAGGCAGAAAAGGGUAACUAUCUGAGGCUGCUUGCUAAUACCCAGUAUGAUGGUGUUUCUGGGGUCAGAGAACACAUCCUUAAGAUGACUAGUUACCAUAAGAAGCUGAAGGACAUGGAUGUCACUUUGCCUGAUGACUACCUGGUCUUCCAAAUCCUUGAAUCUCUUCCACCACAAUUUGGCAAUUUGAGAAGCCAAUACAAUACUCAGAGAGACACUUGGAAUAUCACUGAGUUGACUGCUUAUGUGGUUCAGGAAGAGGAAUCAUUGAAGAAGGGGAAAUCUCACACUGUCAUGGUGGCAACUACUCAAGAGAGUGGAAGUGUGAAGAAAGGCUCUUCAAAGGGCAGCAAUAAGUUUUUUAAGAAGAAAAAGUUUGGCAAGAAAACUUCACGUGGUACUUCUUCUACCACUUCUGGUUCCACUUCUGAGAGCUUUAAGGGAAAGUGCCACUUUUGUAAGAAACCUGGGCACAAGAGAGCUGACUGCAGGGGAUUCAAAGCAUGGUUGGAAAAGAAAGGUAUUCCUGUAGCCUUUGUAGGCUUUGAAUCUAAUCUUAUUGAUGUUCCUUCUGAUACUUGGUGGUUGGAUACUGGUGCAACCAUUAAUAUAACGAAUUCCUUACAGGAAUUCAGAAGCAGGAGGGAGCCCAAUGAAGGGGAGUUGAUAGUUCACAUGGGCAAUGGAGUGACAGCCAAAGUUGAAAGCAUAGGAGUUGUCAGACUACAUCUAGCCACAGGCCAUGUUUUGGAUCUAUUAGAUACAGCUUAUAUUCCUUCUAUUAGGAGAAACUUGAUAUCUGUAUCUAUUUUGGAUAGAUGUGGCUAUACUUUUCAUUUUGGUGAUAGAAAAGUUUACUUAUUCCGCAAUUCAGAGUUAGUUGGUUCUGGCACUCUAUAUGAUGGCUUGUAUAUGAUUGAUUUAUUUUCUCGUGCUGUUGAAUCAUCAUCCAAUGCUCAUGUUAUGCAUGUUGUUAGCUCUAAUCGUGUUAGGGUUGAUGAAAAUUCCUCUAUGUUGUGGCAUAAACGGUUAGGUCACAUUUCUAAACAGAGGAUGGAGAGGCUUAUUAAAGAUAGCAUUCUACAUAAGUUGGAUUUCUCUGAUUUUGGCACUUGUGUUGAUUGUGUCAAAGGCAAACUUACUGCCAAAACCAGAAAAGAGAGAACUCAGAGGAGUCAACAGGUGCUGGAGUUGGUACAUACAGACAUUUGUGGGCCAUUUACUCCUAUUGCCAUUGGAGGUUAUAAGUACUUCAUCACGUUCAACGAUGACUUUUCUCGUUAUGGUCAUGUUGAACUUCUUGCUGAAAAGUCUAAAUCCUUAUCUGUGUUUCAAGCCUUUAAGGCUAAUGUUGAGCUCCAAAAGGGCAAGCAAAUUAAAGCAGUAAGGUCAGACAGAGGUGGUGAGUACUAUGGGCGAUAUGAUGAAACUGGGCGUAAUCCUGGACCUUUUGCUAAAUUUCUUCAGGAAUGUGGAAUAGAAGCCCAGUAUACAAUGCUCGGGACUCCUGAACAUAAUGGAAUUGCAGAAAGGAGAAAUCGUACCCUUCUUGACAUGGUGCGGUGUAUGCUGAGUAACUCCACCUUACCAGAUUUUCUGUGGGGUGAAGCCUUAAGAACUGCAGCUUACAUUUUGAAUCAGGUACCUAGUAAAUCGGUGCCCAAAAGUCCUUAUGAGUUGUGGUCAGGAAAGAGACCGAGUCUUCGUCAUUUUCAUGUAUGGGGAUGCAGAGCAGAAGUGAGGCCCUAUAAUCCACAAUCAAGGAAACUUGAUCCGAAAACAAUUAGUGGUCAUUUUAUUGGCUAUUGUAUCGGCUCAAGGGGUUCUAGAUUUUAUUGACCUUCCCACACUACUAGAAUCAUUGAGUCUGAUCGUGCCAUUUAUUUUGAGGAUGAUCACAAUGGUGGGAGUUCUGAGCCUCGCAGUCUGACAUUGAGAGAAGAACGUGUGGUUUUGCCUAUUCCAUCUUUUCCGACUUCUGCGAUGGGAUUACCACAUAUUGAUGAUUCUUCUGUUGAUCCUAAACUUCAUCAUAAUAUGGAGCCUAUGAUUGUAGAGGAUGAUGGUACUGAUGUGCCAUUGAGGAGAUCAGAGAGGAUCAGGAGACCUGCAAUUUCUGAUGAUUAUGUUGUUUACUUGCAGGAGCAUGAUUUUGAUGCUGACUCUUCAUCUGAUCCUAUUACCUUUCAAGAGGCCAUCAGUUGUUCAGAAUCAUCAUCUUGGAUACAUGCGAUGCAUGAUGAGAUGGCAUCUAUGUAUCAUAAUGAGGUUUGGGAUUUAGUUGAGUUACCAGAUGGAUGCAGACCAAUUGGUUGCAAAUGGGUUUUCAAAACCAAAAGAGAUGCCAGAGGUCAGGUAGAGAGGUAUAAGGCCAGGCUUGUGGCUAAGGGUUUCAGUCAAAGAGAAGGCAUUGAUUACACUGAAACCUACUCUCCUGUUUCUACCAAAGACUCUUUUCGUAUUAUCAUGGCAUUGGUAGCUCAUUUCAAUUUAGAAUUGCAUCAGAUGGAUGUGAAGACAGCUUUUCUUAAUGGGAGCUUGUCUGAAGAUGUAUACAUGGUGCAACCUGAUGGUUUUGUUGAGUCUGGUAUAGAAAACAUGGUGUGUAAGCUUAAAAGGUCCAUUUAUGGACUUAAGCAAGCAUCCAGACAGUGGUAUUUGAAAUUUCACGAUAUUGUCACCUCUUAUGGGUUCCAGGAGAAUGCCGUUGAUCAGUGUAUAUACUUGAGAGUCAGUGGGAGCAAGUAUAUCAUUUUGGUGCUUUAUGUGGAUGAUAUCUUGCUCGCUGCUAAUGACAGUAAUUUGUUACUUGAGACAAAGCAAAUGUUGUCAUGCAGCUUUGAUAUGAAGGAUCUUGGUGAAGCCCAUUAUGUAUUAGGGAUAGAGAUUCUUCAUGAUAGAUCUAGAGGAAUUCUAGGUUUGUCUCAAAAGACUUACAUUGAUCGCAUUUUGAAAAGGUUCAAUUUGCAGUCUUGUGCUCCUGGGAAAGCUCCAAUUUCGAAAGGUGACAAAAUUUCCAAGUCUCAAUGUCCCGAUAAUGAUGUAGACAAAGCUAGAAUACAAACAGUCCCGUAUGCAUCCGUUGUGGGUAGCUUGAUGUAUGCUCAAGUCUGUACUCGCCCUGAUAUUGCUUUUCCAGUGGGAGUACUUGGAAGAUACCUGAGCAAUCCUGGAUUUGAACACUGGAAGGCUGCAAAGAAAGUACUCAGAUAUUUGCGAGCCACUAAAGAUUUUGUAUUGACAUAUCAGCAAUCUGACUAUUUGAAUAUAGUUGGAUAUUCUGAUGCUGAUUUCGCAGGGUGCUUGGAAGACAAGAAAUCCACAUCUGGUUACAUCUUUAUGAUGGCAGGAGGAGCUAUAUCAUGGAAAAGUGUCAAGCAGACACUUAUAGCUUCUUCAACAAUGGAAGCAGAAUAUGUAGCAUGCUUUGAGGCUACACGUCAUGCUUUAUGGAUGCAAAAUUUUAUCACAGGGCUAGAUUGUAUAGUGGCCGUACCGAGGCCAUUAAAGAUAUACUGUGAUAAUUCUGCUGCUGUUUCUUUUUCUCACAAUACAGGGAGUUCCUCACGUUCCAAGCACAUUGAUAUUAAAUACUUGUUUGUGAGAGAGAAAAUUGCUCUAUCUUGUGUAUCAGUAGAGUAUAUCCCUACAGAACUCAUGUUAGCCGAUCCACUUAUUAAAGCUUUAGCUCCAAAAGUAUUUAGGGAGCAUGUAACGCAUAUGGGAUUAUUUGAAUCCACUUAUAUAUGCUGAGUCAGUGGGAGUUCUGGUUUGUAUUAUGAGUUGCAACUUAAAUGAGCUUAUGUAUUACUCAUUUUGUUAUCAUGCAUGCAUGUUGUUAUGUGAUAUUGAUAUGCCAUAUAUUGUGUACACAUUUGGCUGCGUAUGGCAUUAUGUAUAGAAUGAGGAUACGAUGGUCCGAGACAUUUUGCUCAGUCUCAAUAUGGACAUUAAAGACUGAAGCAUUAUGAUUUUCUUCAGUGUGCUUUCUUGAGACAUUUUGAUUUAGUCUCAUUAUGAUUAAAAAGGAAGCUCGCUUCUCGAGACAUUUUGCUAUAGUCUCAUUAUGGUUAUAAAGAAGCGAUGGUCUAGGAGACAUAUUGUUUUCGUCUCAUUUUGCUAGACAUCUGGACUUUAUGGAAAUGAGCAUGUUGAUCACAUUGUCAUGUUAUUUCCAUAAUUAUACUUGUAUACUACUACAUGGUCACGUGUUUAUAAGUGUCUUGUUAUAUGGAGCAUCCUGUCGGUGCACAUAUGAUUUGAUAUUUAUGGCACAUUUUGGACUUGUUUAUGUUCUGGGUGAUUGCUUGUAUUUGACCUUUUGUUAUAGUCACAUAUUGAUUAAUUCGGUUGUUUUCAAAAUAUUAUUUUAUUUUAAAUUUAUCAUUGGAGUGAUUUCUGUCGUCCAAGUGGGAGAUUGUUAGAUUUAUUUCUCAUAUUAUGUGGACUGACAUAAAUCAUUCUAAUUGUUUUCUAUAUUUUACCGAAUUAAUACGUGACUAUUGUCAAAUAUUAUGGAGCAAUUUUGACAUACCUUGUACAGUAGUAUAUUAUGGACAAGUAUAUCCUUAAUUGUGUUAUUUUCGCCCAUAAUGGGAUGGGCAAUUUUGUACUAACACAUGAGGGGUCCCUGCGCUCAACCACUGUAUUUAAGUAACUUCAGCCCAUUGGAAGUUAACUGUUCAAGAAAUCUGUGGCAUGAGUGCAGUGCAUCUCUCUCUCCCGUUUGUCUCCCGUGUGUGUGCACAGUAAAUUUUGAAGCAAGCCGAUCCUUGAGCUAAGGAAAAGAAAGCGGAAUUCAGAAGCUAAACCGAAGCAGCAGCAACUCUGUUGAAGCUCCAUAACAAGCUGCAAGCUUGGAUUCAUGGGAGAUCGUGGUAAAUUUCGAAAUUUACUACAAUAUGUGUUUAAUUUGGAAAUGCACGAUUAAAGGGCAUAAAGUGUGUUUUUGUUUCAUCAGGGAACUCUCAAAACAAAAUACUCAAAUUAAAUUAAAUUAGACCAAAAGACGCUCAAUGACGCAAAAUCUGCCCAUAAAAGCCUGAACGAAUCAUGAAAAGUGCAUUCCAUAUUGACAGUAAACCAAGUGACCCAUUCUAAACAAUUGAGAUGAAAUUGUGAAACAACCCACGAGAUCAAAUAAAUAAAAUAAGAAUUAAUUACCAGCUGGGACUUUCUUCUUCAAAUUCGUAACUCCAAGUCAUAAGAAGCCAAUGAAAUUAGUCGUAAUCCACAGAGUAUGACGACGACCCCGCCAACAGCUGAAAAUAAAAUUCUUAUUCAUCAAUUUAAACUAACUUUAUAACAAAUAUCUUAUCGAUAUUUUAUUUAAAAAGAAAAAGCAAAUUUUGUAAAAUUUUUCCAUGGGAGAUAGAGAGUAACACGUAUAUCCGUACCUUCUCAGCAUGUAAUUGUUGUAUGGUCGUGUUAAGAUCAUUACUAGCCCAACGCCGUUGAUUCGAUGUCUCUCCAUACCAGACGUUUACUCUUGGAGGCGUGCUUGAUUCUCCUCUAGUGAAAAUCUUCAAUUUGGGACAACCAAUCACAGAUAGAUCUUGCAAAGAUGGGAAUUUGAAGGUGUAAUUGGCAGAGCAGAAACUUGUGAGGCUGUCUAAAUCACGCAGUUCCAACCUCUUCAAUUUGCGGAAAACAAUCUCUUCUUUUUCAACCCCGUCUUUGUCAUUUAUUACCACCUCUGUCAUUGCUCUGCAUCCGUAUACACAAAGUGAUACGAGUCGCACUAGAGUUUUUGCUGUGGAGGAUGUUACUAAGUGUAUCAAUUUCUUGCAAUCGAAAGCUACAAGUUUUGUUAGGUUCCCAAAAGAUACCGAUGAUGUUGGCAAUAGAAUUAACAGACUUUGACAAUGAUAUACUCUUAGAAUUUCAAGAUACUGAAAAAUGGGGCCAAAUUUGGAGUCUUGUUUGCACAGCUGCUUCAGAUGAUAGUGCCGGUACAGCUCUAAUUCUUUUAUCAUUGCCAACUUCCCCACAUGUUUCUCUAAGCAUCCUUCCAUCGAAAAUACCUCUUCGUGGAAUGAAAAAUAACACAGUACGAGCAUUUCGAGAUUGUGAAAUCUCUCCAGUACAUUCCAGAUUGGAAAACAAGCUGAGUCAUCAGCAGCAAUCCCUAGAUCUCUAAGACUGCCAAAAAGGUGUUGUGGGAAAUCGGCCUGCAAAAUCAUCUUCACGUCUUUUCCGCAUAGUGAUAGUUCCGUCAAGUUGGGUAAGAUCUGAUCAUCAUCAAUCAUAAUAACUAAUAAGGUCAAUUGAUGUUUUCUCAAAUGAUUUUGAGUAAUCCAAUCAUAAGCAGUGAGUUUAUAGUAUUUGUUUUAUAUUAUAUUUUAAAAAAAAUUGUAUUAUUGAUAAAAUUUAUUAAAUGAUUUUUUAUAUGUUAAUUUUAGAGGUAAAAAAGAAAUUAGGGAAAAAAGGUUGAUUUAUACUGACUCGAAAUUAUUUUAUUGCACAAUAAUAAAUUACUAAUUUAUUUUGUAAGUUCUUCUAUAUGGAAAGACUCAAGAUUCUUUUACAAAUGCUAUACCUAAAAAAGUUUAUAUAAUCAUUAAUCUACCACAUUGAUCCCUUAGUCUAGACUAGCAAAGAUUAUUGUAUAAUAAAAGUUUUCAAAUUUAUUGAGCAUUAAUUUAUCAAAGUUAAAAAUAAGCUAUAGAUAAAAAAUCUAGAAAAUGGCUUCAUACCUUUUCCAACGGCAAUAGGGGCUGUUGUGCAGGAAUACCAAGUUGAUCAUUCCCAUUAUUCUGCGAUAAAUCUGCCGCGAAUAUCUUUAAUCUGUCACAACGAUACACUAAAAGAAUUUCUAGGGCGGGCCAUUCCGAAGUAUGCAUUCCAGGGUACAAACAUCUAAGUUUUGGUAGAUCAUGGAGUAUCAAAGUGGUGAGCUGUGGAAAGACAAAAUAAGGGAUCACUUGAUCUGCUCUGUUUUCAGAAAUGAUCUCCUGUAAAUCCUCACAGGAGCGUAUUUCUAGGCGUUGGAGCUGCUUAAGGCUUCCGAUCAUAGACGCUGAAAAUAUGUAUUUUAAUUUGUGACAACCCCACACAAUCAAUCGUGUUAAACUUUGAAAGUGAGGAAACACUGCAGCUGGAAUUUGAUUGUAGUGCCAAAUCUUGUCGACAUUAAUUUCAGAUAUCUCCAAAGCCUCCAAGUUAGGCAACGCAACCUAAAAAGAUAAGAAUUUCUUGUUGAAAAUUUCUCUUUGAUUACAAAUUAAUGCAAGUCAGAAUCAAUUUCCAACUGACAGCUGAGUAUGCAUUCUAAUUCAUACUACUUGUUAAGAGCUCAAUUAGUGAGUGCGUGAGAUUAUUUUUUUCCCCAUUGUUUUCAUUUUCUUUCAAUUCUCUAAAUGAUUUAAUUAUUUUCCACGUUUGACAUAAGAGAACGCAUGAUAGAAUAAACUCUGUUAUAUAUAUAUAUGAAUAAAAUGUUAGCCUACGCACCUUCUCAUUGAAAAGCAAAGUUGAAAUAUCCAAAGUGAUUUCGCUGGAGCAAUACAUAGUCGUCGAUUCCUCUUGCGACACUUGUCUGUUCGGUGAUGCUGAAGGAGUCUCCACCUCACGGCAAAAACUUGUAACCUCUGGAAGAUUCCCCAGACUCAAAGAUCUUAAUUGAGCAAACUCUAUCUUCUCAAUUGCAUUAUCAACUUCUUUCCCAAUUGCAAAAAUCUCUUUCAUCUUGCUGCAAUUAAUAACUGCAAUUCUCUCAAGUCUUGGAAGGCAUUUUGUAGUAGAGAGCCAAAAGAUAUUACUCAACUUAUCACAAUUAUAUACUUCUAUGUUUUUUGAGUUCGUUGAAAGACUCUACUUUGAGCCGAUCAAUACAUAUCCUCUCCAUGUUGAUCAAAUUGUGAAGGGCAAGUGACUCCAAAAGAGGAAAGGCAUCACAAGCGACCAUCUCCCUUGAAUCGACGAUACAAAAGAAGUCAGGAUUAUUUUGAACCCAGAGGACCUUCAAUUGUGAAAAGCCCUCCGUGUCCAAAUUGAAAAGAACAUUCUCGAUGCCUUGCAGCUUGUCCAACCGUAAGUAUUGAACGUUAUUGAUGCCUUGCAAUUUCAUGGAGCAAAUGUCCAUAAAAUCAAGCUUGAGCUUCAAUGCUCUUGAAAUCUUGCGAUUACUGUCGAUCAAAAAGUGCAGCUGACUUUUAAACCAAUGUUGUCCAAAAAGCAUGGGAUGCAUGAAUAACCCAUUUCCAAUAUGUAUUUUGAACCUUUCGAGCUUUCUGGCCAAAAGCCUUCUGGUAACAUACUCUCAUUUUUAACAUCAAUUUCUAGAGUAGUUAGCCGAGGUAAAUGCAUCAAUUCGUCAAGGCUAGCAUUACUUCUUUUGCUGUUGGCUCUUUC
rnacentral:lncRNA from 1 species